GUAACAGUAUCCAAUGAUGUACUUGGCUCAUCAUUAGAGUUCUCACAGUUAUGAACCUCCAUUGUUGUUACAAGAGGAAGUUGAUGGAAUGGCUUAGGAGGCAUCUCAAGGAGUUCAACAUUAGAUUCAAGCAUCUUCAAACUUUACUCAUUGCUGGAUCAGAAGGCAGUAAUUGUAUACAUCCAAAGGCUGUUAUUAUCAUCUUCUUCACCAUUACUUUUUCAUCGUCAAAAAUAUCUCCCAACUCCAAGUCCUCUCCUUGAUCCAAUUUGUCAUAAAUCCAAGAUGGAAAAUACAUUUGACUAGUGUGGUCAGCUAGUCCAUUCACGUUCUUUCUCCUUCCUACUAUUUCCAUUAGUAACAUUCCAAAACUAUAGACAUCAGCUUUAUAUGAGAUGCCUCCAAGAUUUUUGUAAACCAAUUCAGGAGCAAUAUAUCCUAUCGUUCCUCGUGAUGCAGUGAGAGAGAUAAUGCUAUCAUCUACUGAAUACAAUUUAGCAAGACCAAAAUUUGAAAAUUUUGGAUUAAAAUUCUCAUCAAGAAGAAUAUUGUGUAGUUUGAUAUCAAAAUGAAGAAUUUGCAUGUUACAUCCUUGAUGCAAGUAGUGAAUUCCUUGAGCCACCCCAAGCACAACAUCAAACAUUUUUUUCCAACCCAAAGUGUUCUUAUUUUCUUCUGUAAAUAUGAUUUUAUCUAAAGAUCCAUUAGACAUAUGAAGUCAUAUACUAGAGCUUGCUUUGAUCCAUUCACGCAAAAUCUAAUAAGUUUUGUCACAUUAGCAUGAUGAAUUUUCCCAAUAUAAGCAACUUCAUUUCUGAAAUCUUGCCAUUACCCUUUGAUUUGCCCAACGAUUUUACUGCUACAUGAUCCUUACUAUGAAGUUUUCCUUUAAAUACAGAACCGUAAACCCCUUGACCUAAUUUAUUUUUAAAAUUUUUAGUCAUUUUCCUAAUUUUUUUUAAAAUACCUUAUCGGCACCAGAUUAUUUUGGCUUUAAAGAAGCUCUUUAAUCGUAUCAUCCAUAGAUAAAUGUCUUCUUCUCCAUUUGUACGUAACAAGAGCAAGCAGACAAAUUAUCCGAGAAAACGACCACAAAAAGUUAACUCCUCCUUGAAAGGAUUACAAUGCAACACGUCAAUACUUUUGAAAUUAAUCAAAUAAUAUAUAUCUUACAUUCCCAAAAAAGUAUAUAAUGUUAUAGUUUUAUGCUCUUUUAUAAUUAACUACUACUUGAAAGAGGGGCAUAUUUCACUACUUUAUGGAAUUAAUUUAGAAAUAACAGUUAGUUUGUUAGAUAGCAUCAUUGAUGCCUUGCAUUUACUCUUCUAUACCAAAUGAAAAACUUUGAAAGGCCAUUGAGAACCCAAGAAAAAUAAUUUCGAAUUAUGUGUUAUGUUUAUAUACUAGUAGGUGCACCUCAACAAAUUCAAACUUAAAACUUCACACACAAAGAAGUAAAUCAAUAAAUCAUGCAAAUUGGAUACCAAUUAUUUUAACCUCACCAUGGUCCAUCAAGGAUACUCAACUUAUAUAUUCAUGUCAAAUAUACUUUGAAGAAGGACAAAGUACAAAUAUGAUAACCUUCUAUCUUCAUAAAUGAAUCACAAGUCCAGAAUCACCAAAAGAUGCAAGACAACCAAAAAAAAAAAAAGAAUUGAUCGAUUCAAGAGCUAACUUUGUUGGAUGUUUUAGCAAACUAACUUAUAACCUGUGAAAGUUCUAAACAAGAUCAUUAUGAACACAAACUUAACCAAAACUCCAACAUCUUUCUUUACUUGACAGAAAUAUUCUUUCAUAUAAUAGAAGAAGAUUGUUUUCAGCAUUCAAACUCCUUAAAGAAUGCUAUAGAUUUCUUAGUUUUGCAGUGAAAUUACAUAUAAACUUGUAUAGAAUGAUAGGCUCCUAAUUCUUUUUUUGUUCUCCCAGAAUAUAGCUAAUAUUUUUUCUCAACUAGUGCUAGAAUUUGUAUCUGUGCAAAUGUAAAUCUGCAAAUCUAAAAUUAAAUAUACAGUUAUUGCCAAACAGAGAAUAUACGUUCCUGUAAAAAAACACCACGAAUGAAAACGAAAUAUAAUUAUUUCAAGAAAGCAAUGAAACAGCACUAUCAAAGCACUUCUAAUGAAUUUUGGGAAGCAUACUUCUUGGUCGAUACAAUGAAUCGUAGACAUGGAAAGGGAAAUGUUCAAAGCUGUCCAUAUAGUUUCUGAAGGCAAUUUCCAACCCUGACAAUCUGAAUUAUAUAUUCAACAAAUCAAAGUAAAAUUAAUAAAGGGAUGUAAAGGAAAAUUCCAAAGUUGUGUAAAGAAAAUCAAUGUAAGGUAAUUUAAAACAUUAAAUUCUGUUUUGUGGUAUAUGCUAAAAAUAUUACAACAAUUCUUUACAUAUUUUUUUUUUGGUACAAAGUAUGCAAUGUCUAUUACAGUAUUAAGAAUUUUUAGGUAACGAAAGUUAUUCUAUAUAAUGAAAGGUGAGACAAAUUUUAUUUAAAUUAAUUAAUACAAAAUACAAAUUAUAGCAUUAAAAGAUUUUUUUUUUAUUAUGCUAUAAAAGAAUUUUGCGAUAAAAUUUAACUCAUCCACAAUGGUGGAAUUUUUGCGUACUACCAACUAAAUUGAGAAUUCAUGAUAUCUCUUCUUCAGAUAUAUCAAAAAUAAAAAUAAUAUACUUAAAAAAGACACACAUUAUAUGUUAAUAAGGUUUACAGAAUCUAGAAACAUCAUGGUUGUAAAAACAUAAUAAAAUUUAAUUGCCAAAAAUGUGAAUACAAUAAAAGGAGAAAAAACACAGCAGAGGCAGUUGCACAUUGAUCUGUCCAUGCCUCAGUUCGCCUAUUUCUUAUUAAUACAACCGAGAUUGGAUAUGGGUUUUUUCAUUUUAGCCCACGUUGAAUUCAAUUUAAAGGAAAAUAUUUUUUAAUUUAAAUUUAAUUGUAUAUAAUUAAUAAAAAUAUAUUUAAUUUUAUUAAUAUAUAUAGUGAAACAGGCCAUUAAUUUUUUAUUAAUAAAAACAUGCAAUUUUGAACCGUUGAAAAAGAAAAAAAAAUUCUAGUAAUUACUGUUAAAUGAAAAUGGAAAAGCCUUUUGAAUAUUAUCUUGAUUGAUAUUGUAUUAUUAUCAAUGUAAGAGAAUAUGAGUUUGAGUACGCUGAAACUCAUUACCCUCAUAUUUAUGGGUUGGAGAGGAACUAUCGAUAGUUUUAAGUAUUAUAUAAAAAAAAAACAGAUUUUAUCAAACAAAAACAUGAUGUUUAAUUUUAGGUCUUCAUAAAUUUUAGGCACAAAAACAUGAUACUUAAUUAGCAUGAUAAAAUUUAAUAGCGAAAAAAGGUAACAUAAAAUAAGAGAAAAAAAGGUAGGUCAUACAAAAAGCAAAGACAUUUUGUAACUAAAAAUUUCAGUACUCUAAUGAUAUAAUUAGUGAUCCCACCACUCAGAAUGUAAAUUAAAAUCAUUCAAAAAACUUACACAGCAUUAAAUGAAACUUUGUCUUUGUCGCAUUUGAUGUAGUAGCAUACACUCCAUCCAUCCCAAGCACCUUCUAAUAAUUUAGAAUAGAUAUCCAUCGAAAUCACCACUUUCACUAUGCAAGCUUGAUUUAUAUCAGUUGGGUAAGUAUUUCUAUUUAAAAAAUAGAAAUGGGAAGUUGGAAGGAAAGAUGAAGUAUUAAAUUUGAUGGUACAACGAGAAGCCUCAAUAUAAAGUGAUGAUUUUAUAGGUUUCGUGUAGUUCACAACAUACAUGAUGUUAGCCUUUAACUCUCUACCAUAAUAAAAAGGAAAAUGAUCUAAAACAAUAGAAAAAGAAAACAGUUUAUAAUAACUAUAAUCAUAAGAAGAAUAUGCGGAACUAAGAGAAAGGGAGUUGCAAUCAUCCACAUCCAAACUCGCAUCGACCACUCGUAUUGUAGAAUUUUCGUAAAAAAUUUGUUAGACAGAGAAUUUCCCAUUCUCUCCCAACUAAAAUGGCGUAAUUGUUGUUGUCACACUCAAAUUCCAGGUCAUACCAACCACACUGGGGAGGUUGGUUUUUUAAUCGGAAUGGAAAACUGAUAUUCAAAUUCCCACAGAAAAUAGAGCCACAAUCUUGGUUAAUAAGAUGCCUAGCAAAGCAAGCACAGGGAAUAGAAUUACAAAUGAAGCAAAAGCGGCCAUUAGGUGACCAAAGAAUGGUAGUUUUGCUUUUAAUUUUGGAAUGCUAAAAUAUUGGGUAGGAUUGAAGAACAUCAAUGGGGGCAAGGAAAUAUAUAAUAAAAUAUUUAAAAUAUUUUUAGUUGAUAGUUUUUAUAUUUUAUAACUAAAUUUAAAUUUAAAAAAAUAUUUCUUUUACUAUUUAAAUUAAAUUUAAACCGAACUAAUCUAAAUAUAAAAAUAUUUAUCCAAAUCUAACUCAAAUCAAGUUGGUGGGGUCACAUUAGCAGAGAUUGUAGAAAAUGAAGGUGUGUAAAGUUGAAGGAUUAGAUAGGGAUUUGGACUUCAUUUAUGAAAAUGAAAUUGAAGGUAGGUUUAAUUUUUAACUAAUAGAAGAUGUGAUUGAAGCCCAUUCUUUUAGGAAUUUUGGGCUCUUUGAUUUCUGUAUUCCCACUUCAUCACCCAUUCAUUUAUUUUAAUUCUUGGCAGUGUGUGGCCCACUAAAUUUAUUUUAAUUUUAUACACCCGUAUUGUUAUUAGGGAUAAUAUAAUUUUUGACCCCUAAUCUUGAUAGUUAAGUGCACUUCAGUACAUAUUUGUUUUGGUCUAUUUUGUCACUUGAAUUUGACUAUUAGGUAUAUUUUAAUUUCUAAACUUGAAAAAUACAAAAGUUUUAUGAUUCGACUUUUUGAGAUUGUGCUACAUCAUCACAUUAAAAUUAAAAAAUAUAUAUUUAUAUAAAUUUUUAGAGGAUGACGUGGUACAAUCUUUAAGUGCCACGUCCAUUAUUUUAAUAAUUGGAUUUGUGGUUGAAUCAGUCAAAACCACUAGUUCUCGAUUCAACCAGCUUGAUCAGUUUGACUAUUGGACCAACAAUAAUUAAAUAAAUCAUUAAAAAUUCAUAAAAAUCUAAAAAAAUAAAAUAAAAUUUUGUUAAACCGAAUAAUCAUGGUCAACAAUCGAGGGGUUUUCUCAAUUUUCGAUUUUUACCAAUUUCAAGCAAUUUCUUAUUAAAUUGGUUCAACUUCUUUGUUCAAAUCAUUAUAUCGAUUGAUUCUAAAUCCAGCUGGUUUGAUCAUUAUCCCAUGUGAGAUAUUUAAAUAAAAAGAUUUACCCUCUUUCAAAUCACUUACAAAAAAACUCUAAAAAUUCGAGAUAAAACACAAAAAAAAUUGAGAUCCAAAAGAAAAUAAAUGCAUUAAAAAUGUUAUUUGUACGGGUAGUAAUGUAACCAAUUAGUCUUGAUAGGUUCCAAAUCAAUUAGCUUGAUUCAGUGUAAAGCGUAAAUUAUAGUAUAUUUUAUUUGCUCGAUUAAUAAAAUUUAUUUAAAAAGAACCAAAUGAAAACCACUAUACAACUUUAUAAAGUGGACAACACAUCCAACACUCAAAAGCACGAAGAAACUAGAUAUAUAAGUCACCAAUAAAACAAUAAUCUCAACAUUCUCAAACAUGGCAACAAAAAUAUUCUAAAAAAAAGAAGGAAAUAGGACAUCCCACCUAGAGUGUUGAAAUACUUGGACUCAAUCGUUAUAACAACGAAAAAGGAGACAAGACAUCCAACAUUCUCGUCACAAUGCAUUCUCCUCUAACUCACCGGCAAUCUCUGCAAUGCGAUAACACAAUUAAAGGCUACUGUGAUAGCAACUCUUAUAAAUAUUCAAAAAUUAACUUUUAGACACAUCUUAUCUUAAUAUAAGGUAAAUGGUUGAUUCAAACAUGAAAAUUUGAACCAAUUCAUCUCACCUCAAUUCAAUUGAACAUAACUAAAUUGAGACAAAAAUCUAUUCAUAUGGUGUACAUUUAAUUUAUAUAUGAUUUCAAUUAUGGUUUAAAAUUUAAAUACUUUUAACAAAAAUUUUAAAUACUUAAUAUUGAACAAAUAAUCAAAAAAAAUUUAUUAUUAUGAAUAAUAACUUAACACAUAGGUAAAAGUUUUUUUUUUACUUAAUAAUAUUAUUAGCAAUCAGACAUUAUUAAUUGUAUAUAAAAAUAAUGAAGCUUAAAAAUUAAAAUUCAAAGGUAAUAUCAUUGUCAAAUUUACUCAAAAUUAUUUUUAACUAUGGUUAUCUAUGUACAUAUGUGACACACAUAAUAAGAUACUUUUUAUCUAUAUAUAAGACAAAAUAAUACAAAGCCAAAAGGUUGAGAUAAUGAAGUGAAAUGUUUCUAACCUUAUCCAAUAUUUGAACUUGUUAUAAUAACAGUAUUCAAUGAUGUAGUUGUCUCAUCAUUAGAGUUUUCACAGCUAUCAACCUUUAUUGUGAUGUUUUAAGGGGAAGGUGAUGGAAUGUCUUAGGAGGCAUUUCAAGGAGUUCAACAUCAUAUUCAAGCAUCCUCAAGACUUUAUUCAUUGAAGGACGAUCAAAAAGAAGUAAUUGUAUACACCAAAAGGCUGUUAUUAUCAUCUUCUUUGCUAUUUGGACAUUUAUAAUAAUUUUUAAGUCUAAACCAGAAUUGCUUAAACCUAAUUUGUUUUCAAACCUAUAGUAGUCUAUAUCUGUAUCUAUAUACACAAAAGAUAUAUAUACAUAUAUGAUUAAUAAUUACUAUUAAUUAAAACAAUGAAGGCCAAUGUAUUAUGAAAUACUUUAUGAAGGAGAAGAUAUGCAAAGUUAAAUUCCCCUAGUCCAGCUCCUCCUUUUCUUCAUCUCCCUAGGAACCAAGAAUGACACAACUUCUUCUUCCUGAAAAAUGAUAACAACUCCUUUAGUUUGAUACAUGCUAAUUCAGUUUAGUUAAUAAUAUCCUCUUUAUCAGCCUUUCCUUCCACAAGUUUAGUAAUAUUAUAUUGAUUUCAAUCGCUUAGCAAUAAUAAAAUUCUUUAAACCUCAAAACAAAAUUUAUAUAUAAAGACUUACCUUAGAAAGUGCACAAUCUAUAUGAGCAACAAAUAUUCCUGGGCAUUCUUCACAAUAGUAAACAUGAUGGUUUGGGUGUCUUUUUUCUUCACAUGCAUCACAGUAAUGCUCAUCUGAAUCAUCUUCGAUAUACGAAUCUUUAAGAGUUAAAGGAUGGAUGUGGCAUUUGGAUUUGAUAAUUUGAGGUAAGGAUAGACAUUCUAGGUGGAAAUUGAUGAAACACUCAAGACAACGAUAGAAAGAUUGCCCGCUGCAAAUUUCACCACAGUGACUACAAAAUAGUCCAGCAUAGAUAUCAAUGAAGUCACGGUACAUGGCAAAGAAUCGAUCAAAGUCCGUCCCAAAAUAAUAAAGAUGGUGCAUGUGAGAGUCAAGUUUUAGAGGGCGUGUUAGGGAAAUUGCACAUGCAAUAUGGUAGUUGACGCCACAAUCUUUACAACCAUAGUUAUAACUCUUAUGAUAGCCAGAUGGUAACAGCUUUAGUGAACAUGCAUGGCACCCUCCAUAUCUCGUGUAGCUUAGAGUCAAAGUGUGUUGGGAAUGAAAAGGUACUUGCAUUUCUUGUGGUAACCUAAGGCAAGAUUCAUGAAGAACCCAACCACAGCUCAUGCAAUGGUAUGUUGGACCAAAGAUUUGCAGUCGACAAAGAUUGCAUUGUCUUUUAACUAGAGGGUCAGUAAAAUUGCAAAACAGUAGCUUGUGCUUGUGGGUGAAAUGGAAUAGCUCAGUUUCCCUCUCCGACUCUUUCAAUGUUGUGCGCCCACUUUCAGAGGGUGCUCGAGUUGCGCAUUUCAGAUCGAGCUUGAAAUCACAGUGCUCGCAAAGAUAAAAGAAGCCGAAGUACAAAUCUUGACACUUAUCACAUAUAUUUUGGUCCAGCGACAUAGAUGUAGCGUAGAGGUUGAGAUGAUGUUGAGGAUGAAGAGGGUGUUGUAUCACAUCGGGUAAUUUAGCACAGUUUUCAUGUAGGAUAUAUAGGCAUCCUUUACAGAUGUAGCCUGGACCACUAAGUUCUAAACGACAAGCUCCGCAAACCCUUUCCCCCAAGUUUUCAGUUACCUCGCAAAAUUUCAAUGGAUGUUUAUGGAAGACUGGUCGGACCUGUACUUGUAAAUAAACAACCAACAAACCUGUUAAUUCAUCAUGUUAAAUAUAUGUAAAGAAAAUAUAUAUAAUUCCUUUGUUUCCUACUAACCAGAAUCGUUUCAGUCUGCUCCAUUUCCUUCAGCUCCGAAGCUUUAGCAUCCAUGGAUAUGGGAGGGGAGGAUGAUGAGUCCUGUUUUGUUGAUGUUUCCUCCUAAUGUACAGCAAACAUUCCAUUAUUAGAAAACGAGGAAUAAAGUAAUAUAUAAAAGUAAAGCAAACUAAGGAAAGGGUGCGACCUGAUUGAGCACACAUUCAAUAUGAGCAAUAUAUGUGCAUUUUUGGCAAUAAUAAACUUCAUGUGUUGGAUCUCGUUCUUUCUCACAAAUAUCACAGUAAUACUCUCCAAUCUCAUCUUCUCUAAUUGGUUGAUUAAGGAGGAGUGGAUGUCUAUGAUAUCUGUGUUUAGCUAAAGGUGGAACUGGAACACAUUUAAGAUGGAGAUUGAGAUCACACUGCACACAACGAUAAAAGGUGUCUAAACACAGCUCAUGGCAGGAGCUGCAUUGGAAAUGAUAUUUGAGAAUUGGAUCCCUGAAAGUGGGACCAACAUAAGUGAGACCGUGGUUGUGGCCCUCAUGUUUAAGGGUAGGUAAUAGUUUUGCACACCCAAAAUCAAGGUUGAAAUUGCAAAUUUGGCAACCAUAGGCGGCGGUGGAGAAGUCUUUACUCAUACUAAUCCAUUGUGUACAAGCAUUGCAAGUUGCGUCAACGAAAUCCAAGCGAAGAGGGUGUGAUGGAUGGAAAGGAUGGUUCAAUGUUUUGGGUAUCUUAUCACUGCAAAAUUCAUGAAGGAAGAAGCCACAACUUUUACAACCGUAGAAAAUGCCCGCCAGUGGCUUGUCACACCAACGACAAUUAUAAUCAUGUUCUCCCUCAUUGCUAUACUUGUAGAGGACCAGCGGGUGGAUGUGGCAGUAAUGCUGCAUUGCCUGUUUCCUAUCUGCAUUGGAUCUCUGCCUCUUCUUCCUAGCUACAUGAUCAUCACUGCUUGCAAAAGCGCAAACUAAAUCGAGCUCGAAGGCGCACCGACAACACGUGUAAUUGGUGCCCGAAGAAAUCUUCAAACAUAGAUCACAGGUAAAUGGUGCGAAAGGACCAGACCAAUCUAACAUAAGAUGGUGGUGUGAGUGGAGAGGAUGUGUAAUCUCUCGAGGCAGAUAUUGUAUAGCUUUGGCGCACAAUUCAUGCAACCAGAGUUCGCACCUUACGCAUGCAUAGGCUGCACCACAGAUUUUCUCCGUGCAUUUCUCACACCAUUUAUCAUCUGUCUCAUCAUCGAGACAAUGAUAGCCCAUUGAAUGCUCAUGACUGGCAAGUUUGAUCUCCAUAUCUCAAACAAAGAUAAGAUUAAAUGAUAAAAGAUAAUAUGGGAAGAAAACAUUUGAUUUCUAAUUAUAUAUAUAUAUAUAUAUAUAUGUAGGUAUUAAUAGACACUUCAGUUUCAAUCUUUAGUAUUACUUUUAUCUUUGAUAAAAUGCCAUUUAUUGAAAGAUUUAUAGCUUUCAAAUAAUUAUUUAUUAAGUUAUUGGUGAUGUAUCUUAAUAUUGUUCAUAAUAAUAUAUAAACCUGUCAGUUAAUUAAAUAUAAACUAUCAUUAUUAUUAUUUCUUUCUACUAUUGUAUUUCACUAGAAUUAGCCUUUAAAGGACGCCAAUAACUUUUUGAACUAAUGAUAAAAGUAUUAGGUUGUAUGUAUACCUUAUCCCAUACCUUAAUUAUAAAAAAAAAUAAUUAUUCACUCCCAUAUAUAUAUGAAGAAAAUAUUGAUAGUUAAAAAGUAUAAGUAGUUUUUUAAAUUUAAAUUUAAAUUUUAAGAUAAUAACUAUUCACUUUGUGUUUAGAGUACAUAAUUUUUACACAAAUGUGGUAGAGUUUUUAGUUUAAGAUAAUAUUUUAUAUAACUUUUUUUACUUUUUACUUUUUUUUUCCAACUGAAUUAAUUUUCAGUUAACUCAAUUAAAAUUAUAGAAAUGAAUAAUUUUAUGAUACUAUAACUAAUUUAUAUUUUUUAGAAUUAAAAUAUAUUAGGUUGGAUUUUAAAGUAGGCAUAUAUUUCCCAUCAUACAAGAAAAUAAUAUUAUUUUGCGAUUCAUCACGCAAAGAAGUAACAUAUAUUCUUUUUAAAGACAAAGGGCAUAUUUUUAUUUUGGGUAGGACACAACGUUAAGGAAUGUAUCUUUUUCCUUUUGCUUUUUUGGAAUGAUUCUAUUAAUUCUUUGAUAAUAUAUCUACUUGAUUAAUUAGCAUAAAACUUUUUGUUUAAUAUGGCAAGGUUCAUUGGGAUUUAACUUAAGUUUUUUUUGCUUCAUUUUGCUCCAAAUUCUCAUAUAUCAUGUCAGAGGCACUUUUGAGGGGAUUGGCAUUGGCCUCGGCCCCUCUUAAAAUAAAAAAUUAUCAUUUAGGCUCUCUAAAUUUUUUUUAAAAUUUUAAAUUAGUAAAUAUAAAAUUACACUUUGGCACCCUAAAAUUAUAAAAAUUCAAUUUAAUCCUUUAAAAAUUAUAAAGAUAUAGACUAUAAAAAAUUAAAAUUUCUUUUAGCCCCCUAAAAAAUUGUUCUGGCUUCACCCUUGUAUCAUGUUAACUUAUUAUUAGACUAUAAUACUAAAUUUUCCUCCUCUCCCAACCAAAGUGGUGCGAUUGUUGUUCUCACACUCAAAAUUCUAAGUCAUAAUAACCACACUGGGGAGGUUGGUUUUUUAAUGUGGAAAACUGAUAUUCAAAUUCCCCCAGAAAGUAGAGCCGCAGUCUUGGUUAAUAAGAUGCCUAGCAAAACAAACAGCAGGAAAUAGAAUUACAAAUAAAGCAAAAGCGGGAAACAAUGUCAGUUUUGCUUUUAAUUUUGGCCUUUGGGUAGGGAAGAUGAAUAAUAAUGGGAGCUAACAAUUAAGUUUCUAACUAAAUUAGGGAAAUAUAUAAGAAAGCUUCAGUGGGAGAAGAAGCAUUAAUGGGGACACAAGACUUUGACUACUCUUCAGUUUUAGUUGGGAUGAAUAUUUUAUUUUUAUUACAUAUUUUACACCUUUUAUUCUCUCUUAUUUUCUUUUCUGGGAAACACCUCAAUCAAAGUACAUUUAGUUCCAAGAAGAGAGCCAUGGUUAUCUCACCAGGAGGACCAAGGGGACAAGACUUUAAAAAAUAAAUAAAUUCCUUAAGUAUAAAGAAAUUAGAUUUUCAAUUUAGAAUAUAUAAAAUACAUGUAAAUAAGAUCUUACAAUUAUUUAAGUUUAUUUAUUAUCAAAUUAAUAUUUAAAUAUUAGAUAUGAUAGUCAUUUAACCUUAUUUUUUAUCAAAAUAAUAUUUGAUAUUACUUUGUAUUAGUCUAUUAAAUUAAAUUAAAAAUAUUACUAAAUAUUGUUGUUACCGAAUGAAUAUUUAGAUACUACUUAAUAUUAAUUUAUCAAAUUAAAAUUAAAAAUAUUACUAAAUUUAUCAUAAAAUUUUAUAAUUAUAUAAAGAAAUCAAACUAAAAAAAAAUUAUCAAAUUAAAUUAAAUUUAAAAUUAUUACUUGGUAUAUUGUUAGUGAAAAGGAAAAAAAUUCAGAAGCAGAGUUAAAAUAAUUACAUGUGUCCAUUUAUUUAAUUUUAGAUUUUUUAGAAUAAAAUUUCAUAAAUAAAUAAAAAAAUGAUAGAAGAGAGAGAAUCUAAGCCACACGCAUUUAAGCGCUCAACCAAAAUUUUAUUUUAAUGCACAUUAUAUAUUUUUAUUUUAAUAUAUGUAAUUUAUUAUUUUCAUCAUUGCACAUAUUAAUAUUGUUGUACGUUAAUUAAAAUAAUAUAAUGUCACAAACUAACUCGACAAUAACUCACAAUUGAAGAUUAUAUCACAAUGAACAAUUAUAGGAAGAUUGGAAGCAUGUUUUGUCAGCAGUGGAUGCAUAAACCUUUUUAUGGAGUAUGUAAGUUGAGUUCUCCCAACUACAAUGAUUGACCAAAACAAUGCGAGUUCGUCAGAGUCUUUUUUAAAGAAAAAUAAAAGUAUUAUGAGACGUUGAUAGCUAAUUAAGAGAUAAACCCACUAAGUCAAUGCAAGUCAAUUCUUCUUAAAAAAAAUAUAAAAACAAUUGAGGCUCUGGGUUUGACCCACUACGCCUCCUUUUGCAUCAAUUCAUAAGAGAUUUUGUUGCCAAGGAGCUUGAGAAUCCUAUAAAGGUAUCACUUCAAUGAUACAAAGCUACAUAAAUUUUAGUUGUCUUUGAGAUAUUUUCAUAAAAGCAUGUGCAAAAUCUUUUAGAUUUUAAACAAUAUUAUUUAUUUUUAAACAACAUCUAGCAAUGUAUUUUUUAAACAUUUAUUUGAAAAGAACCAAAUGAAAACUAUUAUAUAAUUUUAUAAAAUUGACAACAUAUCCAACAUUUAAAGCACAAAAAAACUAGAUAUGUCAACAAAAAAAUAAUAAUGCCAACAUUCUCAAAUACAGCAACAAAAUUAUUCUAAAAACAAAAUAUAAGACAUCACACCUAGAGUGUAGAAAUACUUGGAUUUUAAUCAUUAUAACAACGAAAAAGAAAACAAAACAUCCAGCUUCCUCAUCAUAAUGGAUUCUCCUCUCACUCACCAAUAGCCUUUGCAAUGCAAUAACAUAAGAAGAGGCUAUUGUGAUAGCAACUCUUAUAAAUAUUCAAAAAUUAACUUUUAGAUGCAUCAUGUCUUAAUCUAAGACAGAAUUUAUCCAAACAUAUGAAAAAUCUAAUCAACUCAACUCAAUUCAAUUCAACCCAACCUCAAUCUAUCUAUGUAGUUUACUUUUAAUUAUGAUUUAAAUUUAAAUAUUUUUUAACAAAAAUUUUAAAUACUUAAUAUUGAACAAAAAAUAGUAUUAAUGAAAAUUUACAAUUAUGAACAAUAACUUAACAUAAAAAUCUUUUGUUUUAGGAAUAAAACUUCAUAAAUAAAAAAGACAACUUUUUUCUUUUUUAAAUUUUAAAAGGGACAAAUAUCAAAACUAUACAUAAAUUAUGGUUUAAUAUGUAAUUGUAUACAUGAACUUUGAUUUUAUGUAAUUUUAUAUAUGAAAUAUUGAUUUGAUCCAAUUUUUAUAAAUUACUAACACAAUUAUUGUUAUAACAUCAUUUUAUAUUUAUAUAUUGCAUAUAUAAAUAAUUAUAUUUAUCCAAUAUAAAAAUAAAUUGAUGUAUUUAUUUCUUUAAAUGUCUAUGAUUAAAUCAAAAUGAAAGUUUCAAAUAUACAUUUGAAUUACAAUUAGAGCUUCAUGUGUAUAAUUGGACCAAAUUGAAGUUCAUGUAUACAAUUAUACAUCAAAUCAAAAUUCAUGUAUAAUUUUGAUAUUUAUCUCUUUCUAAAAUAUAUAGAAACAUUGGCAAACAAAUUUCAACUGUUAAAUCUUUUCAUUUUAUGGUCUCUCCUUGAUUUGUUUAUUUAUUUGAACUUAGGAAGGUUUGAAGUUAUUUCUCUCAACAAAUGAAUACAUCCAUACUAUGUUUAGGAGUUUAAUUGAGAUGGUGCUAUUGUCACUUAUCAAUUAAGUCUCAAUUCAGUUGUAAAAUUAAUAAAAAAGUUCAUUAUUUUUCAAAAUGAAAAAGAAUAUUUUUGAGAUAUUUUUAUCUUUUAUAUGAACUUUAUAAAAAUACAUCCAUUCAAUAAAAUUUAAACUCAAAUAUCAUAAUUUACCUUUUAUCACACUACACCAAAACAGGCUUUUAGCGGCGCUUUUCCCUCAAACGCCGCUAUAGAAUAACCUUUAGCGACGCUUUUCAAACAAACGCCGCUAAAAAUAUAUCUUUUAAAAAAUAAUUUUUUUUCAAAUAAUAUUUAUUUCUAUAAUAAAUAUUAUAUUAUGUUUUAAGGAUAAAUAAAAAAUAUUAUUUAAAUUAAAUUUUCUACAAAAAUUUUAACUUUCAAACUAAAUAUAAAUAUAAAAAUUAAUGAAUUUAAAAUUUAGAAUUUAAAAUGAUAAAUUAAUAACACAAAUAAAAUCCAAAAGUUAGAACACUUAAGUAAAAAUAAAAAUUUAGAAUCAAAACUAAAAUAAAUAAUACAUAUGCAAGGUAAUAAAAUAUACAAUGAAUUUUCUUAAUCAAGUAAAUCUUGGUUACAGAACUAACACAGUAUACAGUAAGUUUCGUCUUUCACAUUUUACAAAAAAAAUAAUAGCAUGUUUGUUUGCAUGCUACCAUGAUCAAAACACAAAAAUGAAGUUCUCCACCUGAUACAAAUUUCUCCUACGAAUGUGUAGAAUCAGAUCUCUAGAUUCUUGGAGUUCUUCAUCUGGUGUUGUCUCGAUGGUUUUGAUUAUUGUAUCAUCUAGCUGGAUUCAAAAAAAGAAUAGAAUGCAAAGCAUGUUAUACAUUUGGACUCCAAAUUUUUAGCAACUCAAAAGAAUGCUAAGCAUGUUGUCCAACCUUCCAGUACUCACAAGGAUCCUGAAUAAAAAUGAAAUCAGACCUCACCACUUCAGAUAAGAAGCCUACACAACUAAUUACACAAAAGAAAAAGAUGAGAAAAAAUAACAAUGUAAAAAAGACAUUUGAAUGAGAUAAUAUAGAACCCAGAGUUAACUCUGUGAAUACCUUCACUUUGAGUGGGUGUACACAGUUCGAUAAAGAUCAGCAAAAAUAGCAAAUCACUUGUGGAUACUAAGAUCUAGCAAGAGCACCCAUUACCAUUAUUAAGGAGGAGUAAAAAAACACUAAAAGAACUAAACAUGUAUUUUGCAAGUAAAUGAAAUAGAUGAUACUAACAGUCUUUAGCACGAUAGCAGAUCUCAUCACCCAAAACUCGCAUAGUCUUCAUGAACCUGCAGGUGGUGUAGCAUGUAUAUUAAGUUUCGCUUACUUAUCCACAUCAAUUCCAUUCUGACCAUUUGCAACAAUAUCAUAUAAGAAUUGCUUCUCCUUUGCACUCUUCAAAGUAAGCACAAAAUAGUGUAUGUGUUAGAUAAAGCAAAGAAACAAAGAAUGUCUGUACUUCAUACUGGAGCAAAAUAUAAAAAAUCCAGUGAUCAACAUGUGCCUACACUUAAAAUAUAAAAAAUCCAGUGAUCAACCGAAAUUAAACUAUUCAUCAAAAUGAUUGCAAUUAACUGAGUUAAAACAUGAUUUUUUUUUCUUUUCUAGCAAAUAUCCAAAGUCUUUUAUACCUUCCCAAAUGGUGAAACAAGCUGGUGAAGUGCUUGAAUUCUGUCUCCUAAUUUUUCUUUCCUCACCUGCCAUAUAACAUAUAUAUGUAUAUAUAUACAAGUUAGAAAAAAAGAAAAAGUAGGUGAUUAAUUUACUAUUUUACUUUCACUUAAACUAUAUUCUCUUUUUCAUACAUUAAUAGAAUAUGAUAGUUACAGCAAAAAAAAAAAAAGAAUCAUCCCUCUAGAAAUCGACAACCAAACAAGGACAACAGUUUUUACCACCCCACAUGUAUUUUGUGUAUGUGUAUAUACACAUAUAUAUGCUUGUAAGUGUGCGUGUGCGUGCAAUCUGUAUUGAGAUAAAAAAAACAUAUAUUUAAUUAUAUAAAAAUUAUGGUAAAAGUAUCAUGGAAGUCCCUGUACUAAAAGUUGGAUUACAUUUUGCCCUUUUACUCAAAUGGUUUAAUUUAAUCACUCAUUCAAUAGCUAUUACCUAAAAUGCUACCACUUUUGAGGUAUAAAAUCAGUGGAAGUCUAAAUCAACAAAGUCCUAAGCCAAUCAAAACAAAGUCACCAUGAAAUGAAAAGAACAAUCUGUUCUUAUCCUUUCGAAACAGUGACCAAAUACAAUGAAUUCAAAAGGUUGUUCUUUUCAUAUCUGCUUAUCAACCAAAUACGCAAUGAGAAAAAAAAAAUCAUGAUCCGCCAGCAGAAAAGCUUGAAAUUUGAAUGGAUCAAAUGAAACAUAAAUCUAAUGUAAAACACACCUGGAGAAAGCUUAAAAGAAGAGCUUUGAUGAGAUUUUCUGGUGUGAGCUCUGGCUGACGCUGCUGAUAUCUUCCUUCUAACUUCCCCAUUAUCGUCCCUCAAAACCCAAUAAUCUGUAAAAUGAAGACUCCCCCAAAUUACUUCAGAUGUCUCUCUUAAAUUCUAUUUAAAAAAAAUUAAAAAUCUAUAAAAAAAUAAAUUACUAUAAAAAAAAGAUAAGUAUGAAUUAAAAAUAUAAUCCCAAAUACUGAUUCAAUUGCAGACUGGGAUUUAUUUCUUACCUCAAAGGUACAGCAAUGGUUGUAACCUCUGUAACCUGUUUGUGAAACCUCUGUAACCUGUUUUACUAGUAAAGCCGAUAAUAAUCCAGAAACUGGUUGUAACCUCCUUGUAUUUGCCUGGGAAACCAGUAAAUCUUCUCAUUAUCAGCAUAUGUUGAUUUUUUUUAUAAUGUCGCAGGGAGGGAGGGAGGGACAGAAAGCAAGAGAGACGGCGUGUUUGCAAAGUUAAGAGUUUUAGGGGGGAAAAUUAGGGGUUUCACGGGGGAAAUUUGGGGAUAAAAUGGGGGAGAAUUUUUAAAAGUGAAAUUAGGGCUUUUAGGGGAAAUUUUGGAAUAAAAUGGGGCCAAGUGAAAUUAUUUUUGCGGCGUUUUUAUAAAAAAAACGCCAGUAAUGCACUUUUUGUGGCGUUUUUUUGAAAACACUACUAAAAAAUUUAAAUUCUUCUAUUGAAAUGGCAUCCUUUUGAGAAAUAUUAAUACAUAGUAACGGCGUUUUUUGCUGAAAAUGCCGCUAAAGCUCUCAUAUUUUUUAUAUUCAAUUAUUGUAUCUUUCAUAUAAAUUAUACAUAAAAUAAUUAUUAAAAUUUUAAGUAAUAUUUAAAAGAAUUAAAUAAUAUUAUAAAUUUUAGUUUUUUUAUUUCAUUUUUAUUUUUGUAUUUUUUUCUUAUAAUUUGGUCCUACCCAAAUUAAAUAAUUACCUAUAUAUCCAUAUCAAAUAUAUCAAAUGGUUUAAAUUAAAUAUUUUUAAAUAUAAAAGCAUUAAUUAAUUGUAUAAAAUUGUAUCAUUUAACAAAUCUCAAAUAAACCUUAAACCCUAAAUUAACCAUUCAAUAUACAGAAAGUCUAUCUAUUAUAUAUCUCUUAAAUAAUAUAAACUAUACCCAUAAUUUCAAUAUAUUAAAUUUAUUAUUAUCUCUUUUACAAUUAUAUAAGAAUAUAUUUAAUAUAUAAAUUAAAAAACUAAUUAAUCUAAACCCUAAACAUUAACCCGACCCUUGAAACCCUAGAUCCCUAACUCCUAACCCCUAAACCUUAAAUCCCAACCUUUAAACCAUAAUCCCUAAAUCUAUAUAUAAUCCCCAAACCUUAAAAUAGUAACUCCUAAACUGACUUUAAAUAUUAAAUUAAUCAUAUACCGUAAACCAUAAACCCUAAACUAUAAUGAUAAUUAAUUAAAUAUUUUAAAAUUAAUACUAUCUUAUAUUUUUCAAUUAUAUAUGAAAUUAUUUAAUAUAUAAAUUAAAAAACAUCUUUAAAAUAUAAAUUAAAAUGCUUUUUUGGAUGAUUUAAUGAAUAUGGUAGGAUUAACUCUAAACCCCUAACCUCUAAAUCCUAAACCCGACCCUAAACCUUAAACCCCAACCCUUAAACCGUAAACCAUAAAAAAUAAUCCCUAAACUAUAAUGAUAAUUAAUUCAAUAUUUUAAAAUUAAUACUAUCUCUUUUACGAUUAUAUAAGAUAUUUUUAAUAUAUAAAUAUCAAACACGUCACAGACACUUAAAACUUUGAGAUAGUUAUACUAUUUUUUAUUUCACUUAUAGGAACCUCAUAUACUCAAGCACUGCAAGUCUUUUGUGAAUUAACCAAUGCUUAUGAAAAUCUACUACUUCCUGUUAUCAAUGCCAACUGGAAUCACAAAUAUUAACAAGAAUCAGACAUAGAUAGCAAAAUUAAUCAAGCACUUUCAAGGGACAUCAGGGACAUCAUUCUAGCAGUUCUUUAAAGAAAUGGAUUUCAAUUCAAAAUUCAGUAGUUCUGUAACUAGCCUAGCAGACAGAUGGAAAAAUAAUAUUUAUUUUAAAGAUCAGUCUACCUCUUAACUGGAAUAACUUUUUGUAAACUUUAACCUUUUGAACUUUUUUUAUUAAUAUAUUUCUUCUAAUACUUGUUAGAGAUAAUCACAGUCAAGAGAUUCAACCAUUAAGAUUCAAUGGAUGGUUAAUAUAAGACCAAACAAAGACAAUGCAUCUAAUUUAAUAAGCUAAGCAGUGCUCAUGAACAAAGCAAAACAGUGUAUAAUAAAUUAUUUAAUAUGUAAAUUAAAAAACACUCAGUAAUGUACCCGAAAAACUUAAAAAUUAUUUUAAAUAAUGUACCCAAAAAACUUAAAAAUAUUUUUUGCGGCCCUUUUAAAAAAACGCCGCUAAAAAUAGAGCAUUAGCGGUGCUUUUUCAAAAACGCCGCUAAAGACCCGAGCAUUAGCGGUGAUUUUCAAAAAACGCCGCUAACGCCCCGAAAAAUCAAAAAAGACAUCGUUGUGCUUGGGUUUUUUGCGGCGCUUUCUGAAAAAUGCCGCUAAUGCUAAUUUUUAGCGUCGUUUUCCAAAAAACGCCGCUAAUGCUUGAUUUUUAGCGGCGUUUUUUAUCCAAACGCCACUAAAAAUGCCGCUAAAAGCCUGUUUUAGUGUAGUGUCAUUAAUCUAUACCAACUUGAGUGAGGAGGACCAAGACAAUGCAAGUCUCAAGUCUUCUUUGAAACACAAAAAUAUUUAAGUGGUUAAGAGCGACAAGCCUUAUUGGUCCUUGUUGGUUAUGUAAGUCAAUUGUAGAGAACGGUUGUUGGAUAUUUCUAAGAAGUAAGUUAAUAGUUAGAACGGUCAAGGAAGGCACAUUCCAUCCCAAUCCAAGCAUCAUGCUAGAUAAGACUACUUAAAUAUUUUUAAAUGUCCUUUUAAUAUAUUUAUAAGUGUUUUCGUCUAUUUUACAUGAAUUUAAAAUAUUGCAAAUUAAAUUUUAUUUAAUUAAAUUUAAACUAAAAACUAAAUUAUAAUUUUAAAUUUAAAUUUAAUUAUCCAAAACAAUUGACUUAAAUUAAUUCAAAAACUUGAAUUUAGAAUUACAUUAAUAGAUUUCAAAUUCGUUUCAUUUUAAAUGAAGUCAAUUUAGUAUUAAGAUGACAAUAGAUCGGGUCAAGCUGAAACAAGAUCCAAUUCUAAAAAAAAAAAUUUAAGUAUUUAGUCUUUUAUCGACCCAACCCUCAAAAGCUAGAUUUUUUUUCUUAUUAAAAAAUAAAAAAAUAUUAAAAAUAUUUUAAUUAAUAUUUCAUAAUUAAAUUUAAAUUUUAAAAAUAUUUUUUUACUAUUUAAAUUAAAUUUGAACCAAAUUGAUCUAAACACAAAAAUACUUAUCCAAGCCUAACUCAAAUCGGAUUAUACGGGAUCAUAAGUGUAGUUUAGCAGAGUUUGUUGAAAGUGUGUGUAAAGUUGAAUGAUUAGAUAGGGAUUUGGAAUUCAUUUAUGAAAAUGAAAUUGAAGGUAGGUUUAAUUUUUUAACUAAUAGAAGAUGUGAUUGAAGCCCGUUCUUUUACGAAUUUUGGGCUCUCCCGCUUCAUCACCCAUUCAUUUAUUUUAAUUCUUGGCAGUGUGCGGCCCACUAAAUUUAUUUUAAUUCUACAUACCUUCGAUAUUGUUAUUUUAGGGACAGUAUAAAUUUUGACCCCUAAUCUUGAUAGUUAAGUGCACUUCAGUACAUACUUGCUUUGGUCUAUUUUGACACUUGAAUUUGAAUAUUAGGCAUAUUUUAAUUUCUGAACUUAAAAAUUAUGAAAGUUUUAUGAUGCGACUCUAUAAGAUUAUGUUACAAUCAUCUCUUGAAAAUUAAAAAACUUUUUAUAUAAAAUUUUAGAGCAUGACGUGGUACAAUCUCUAAGUGCCAUGUCCAUUAUUUUAAUAAUCGGAUUGGUGGUUGAAUCAAUCAAACUAUUAGUUUUCGGUUCAACCAAUUUGAUCAGUUUGAUUGUCGGACCAACAAUAAUUAAAUAAAUCAUUAAACAUUCAUAAAAAAUCUAAAAAAAUAAAAGAAAAUUUUGUUAAAUCGAUUAAUCAUGGUCAACAACCGGGGGUUUUCUCAAUUUUUGAUUUUUACCAAUUUCAAGCAAUUUCUUAUUAAAUUGAUUCAACGUCUUUGUUCAAACCACUAUACCAAUUGAUUCUUGAUCCAAUCGGUUUGAUCAUUAUCCCAUGUGAGAUAUUAAAAUAAAAAUAAUUACCCUUUUUCAAAUCACUUGCAAAAAAACUCUAAAAAUUCGGGAUAAAACACAAAAAAAUUUAAGAUCCAAAAGGAAAUAAAUGCAUUAGAAACGUUAUUUGUACGGGUAGUAAUGUAGCCAAUUAGUCUAGAUAGGUUCUAAAUCAAUUGGUUUGAUUCAGUGUAAAGACUAAAUUAUAGUAAACUUUAUUUGUUUGAUUAAUAAAAUUUAUUUAAAAAGAACCAAAUGAAAGCCACUAUACAACUUUAUAAAGUCGACAACACAUCCAACAUUCAAAGCACAAAGAAACUAGAUAUGUCAACAAUAAAACAAUAAUGCCAACAUUCUCAAACAUGGCAACAAAAAUGUUCUAAAAAAAAGGAAAUAGGACAUCCCACCUAGAGUGUUGAAAUACUUGGACUCAAUCAAUAUAACAACAAAAAAGGAAACAAGACAUCCAACAUUCUCAUCACAAUGUAUUCUCCUCUAACUCACUAGCAACCCUUGCAAUGCGAUAACACAAUUAGAGGCUAUGUGAUAGCAACUCUUAUAAAUAUUCAAAAAUUUAACUUUCAGACACAUCUUGUCUUAAUAUAAGGUAAAGGAUUGAUUCAAACAUGAAUAUUUUAACCAAUACAUCUCAACUCAAUUCAAUUGAACAAAACUAAAUCGACACGAAAAUUUACUUAUGUAGUGUACUUUUAAUUUAUAUAUGAUUUCAAUUAUGGUUUAAAUUUAAAUAUUUAGUAUUGAAUAAAUAAUCAAAUUGAUGGAAUUUUAUAAUUAUGAACAAUAACUUAAAACAUAGGUAAAAGUUUUUAUUUUUUUUACUUAAUAAUAUUAUUAGCAAUCGGACAUUAUUAACAAUAAAAUACUUAUAUAUAUAUAAAAGGAAAAAUAAUUCAAAGCCAAAAGGUGAGAUAAUGAAGUAAAAUGUUUCUAACCUUAUGCAGUAUUUGAACUUGUUAUAAUAACAGUAUCCAAUGAUGUACUUGACUCAUCAUAAGAGUUUUUGCAGCUAUCAACCUUCAUUGAUGUUUCAAGAGGAAGUUGAUGGAAUGGCUUACGAGGCAUUUCAAGGAGUUCAACAUCAAAUUCAAGCAUCUUCAAGACUUGAUUCAUUGAAGGACGAUCAGAAGGAAGUAACUGUAUACACCAAAAGGCUAUUAUUAUCAUCUUCCUCACCAUUGCUUUUUCAUCGUCAGAAACAUCUCCCAACUCCAAGUCCUUUCCUUGAUCCAAUCGGUCAUAAAUCCAAGAUGGAAAAUAUAUUUGACUAGUGUGGUCAGCAAAUGCAUUCACAUUCUUUCUCCUUCCAACCAUUUCCAUCAGUAACAUUCCAAAACUAUAAACAUCAACUUUGUAUGAGAUGCCUCCAAGAUUUUUGUAAACCAAUUCAGGAGCAAUAUAUCCUAUCGUUCCCCGUGGCGCAGUGAGAGAGACAAUGCUACCAUCUACUGAAUACAAUUUAGUAAGACCAAAAUCGGAAACUUUUGGAUUAAAAUUCUCAUCAAGAAGAAUAUUGUGUGGCUUGAUGUCAAAAUGUAGGAUUUGCAUGUCACAUCCUUGAUGCAAGUAGUGAAUUCCUUGAGCCACCCCAAGCACAAUAUCAAACAUUUUUUUCCAGCCGAAAGUGUUAUUAUUUUCUUCUGUAAAUAUGAUUUUAUCUAAAGAUCCAUUAGACAUGAAGUCAUAUACCAGAGCUUGCUUUGAUCCCUCCACACAAAAUCCAAUAAGUUUUGCCACAUUAGCAUGAUGAAUUAUCCCAAUAGAAGCAACUUCAUUUAUGAAAUCUUAGCAAUUACCUUUUGACUUACCCAACAAUUUUAUUGCCACGUGAUGCCCACUACGAAGCUUUCCUUUAAACACUGAGCCAUAACCUCCUUCACCUAAUUUAUCUUUAAAAUUUUUGGUCAUUUUUUUAAUUUCUUUAAAAGAAUACCUUAUUGGCACCAGAUUAUUUUGACUUUGAAGGAACUCUUCGAUCAUAUCAUCCAUAGAUAAAUGUCUUCUUCUCCAUUAGUACGUAACAAGAGAAAGCAAACAAAUGAUCCCAGGAAACGACCUCAAAAAGAUAACUCCACCUUUAAAGAAAUACAAUGUAACACGUUGAAAUCAAACAAAUAAUAUAUAACUUACAUUCUCAGAAAAAAGUAAAUACUGUGAUAGUUUUAUGUUAACUAGUAUUUGAGACUAGUCUAUGGACUAAUCGAGAGUAGUCUGAAUUAUAUGUUAUGUUUUGGUCAUUAGCAGGUAUAUCUCAACAAAUUAAAAUUCAGAAUUUCAAACACAAAAGGAGUAAAUCAUGCAAAGUGGAUACCAAUUAUUCUAACCUCACACAUUCCAAUAGAUUUGACAGGGUCAUGACAUUCACCCAAAUUAACACCUUCGUAACCCCAUCCACUUAGCAAAUUCUAAAGAAAGAACAUGAUUCUUAACCAUGAAGGAUACUCAACUGUUGUCUCUAUUCAUGCCAAAUAAACUUGAAGAAGGACAAAUUAAAAAUAUAAUAACCUUCAAAUUUCAUAAAUGAAACAAAAUCUAGAACCACCAAAAGAUGCAAGAGAACCCCCAAAAAACAGGUUUGAUAAAUUCAAGAGCUAACUUUGUUGAAGUUUUAGCAAUAUGAAUAUCCACCAAACUUAUAACCUGUGAAAGUUCUAAACAAAAGCAUUAUGAAAACAAACUUAAGUAAAACUCUAAUAUCUUUCUUAACUUGACAAAAAAAUUUCUUUUAUAUAGAAGAAGAUUGUAUUCUGCAUUCAAACUCCUUAAAGAGUGCCAUAGGUUUCUUAGUUUUGCAGUGAAAUCAAAUAUAAACUUGUUAAUAUGAUAGGCUCCUUAUUCUUUUUUUUCCCCCAGAAUAUAGCUAAUAUUUUUUCUCAACUAGUGCUAGAAUUUGUAUCUGUGCAAAUGCAAAUGUGCAAAUCUAAAAUUAAAUAUACCUGUUAUUGCCAAACAGAGAAUAUUUCCUGUAAAAAAAACCACGAAUAAAAACGAAAUAUAAUUAUUUCAAGAGAGCAACGAAAUAGCAAAAUCAAAGCACUGCUAAUGAAUUUUGGGAAGCAUACUGCUUGGUCGAGACAUUGAAUCGUAGCCAUGGAAAAGGAAAUGUACAAAGCUGUCCAUAUAUGUUGCGCGGAAGCGUGUGAAAGAGUAAAAUUAUUGUACUGAAAAAUCACACUAAGUUCAAUUCCCAGGAAAGAGAGGUGGAUCACGAGGAUCGCUUACAUACCAGAUCUUUCCUAGCCAGAAUAUCCCUCUAUCGUAAUUUAAUAGCACAAUAAAUCACUACAAUGACACUUGCAAAAUAUGCAGAACAAAAAUAAAGAACACUAGAAUUUUAACGAGGUUCAGCAAAUUUUGCCUACGUCCUCGGGCACUACCAAAUAUAUUUCACUCCAAAAAUACAAGUGAAAGUUUACAAAUAGGGAGAGAGAACAAUUGCCUUAAGUAGAGAAUGGCAAGUGUGGGAUGAAGAAAGUAAGAAAUGGUUAGGCCUAUUUAUAGUUGAGGUUCAAGGAUCAACUUGCAAUGUCCCUAUACAAUUAGGGACCAAAAUUGCAAUUAUCCCAUGCCAACUUUUAACCCAACUUGCCAACCAAUUUUACUUUCUACUUUCGGUGCCCACCCUUUUUGACUUUUCAAACAAUGGGUGGGUUCCAAUAAUCUCCACCUUGAAGAUUUGAUUAGGAUAAUCUUAUCUUCACACAAUUCUUUCUGCCUUUGACAACAAUACUUAAUAGUGCCUUCUUCAACUGUUAAACUUGCAGGAUAUUAAUCAAGUUCAAACAAUGUUCGAACUUGGUUGCUGUUACCACCUUGGUCAUCAUAUCUGCGGGAUUAUUUGCAGUCUUGAUCUUCUGAAGACAAAUUUUCCCCUCUUCAAUAAUUUCCCGCACAAAAUGGAAUCGUACGUCGAUAUGUUUUGUACGUGCAUGAUAGACUUGAUUCUUUGCUAAAUGAAUAGCACUUUGACUAUCACAAUACACAUUAAUAUGCUCCUGAACCAACCCCAAGGUUUUAGCCAUACCUUGUAACCAAAUAGCCUCCUUUACAGCCUCUGUUACAGCCAUGUACUCGGCUUCUGUGGUUGACAAUGCAACUGUAGACUGUAGUGUAGACUUCCAACUUAUUGGUCCUCCAGCAAGUGUAAACACAUAACCGGUGGUUGAUCUUCGUUUGUCCAAAUCACCGGCAUAGUCAGAAUCAACGUACCCAAUAACACCUUUACCAAGUGUAUUAUCCUGCUUGAACAGUAAUCUAACAUCCACGGUCUUCUGAAUAUACCGUAGAAUCCAUUUCACAGCUUGCCAAUGUCCUUUUCCAGGAUUAUGCAUAUACCUGCUCACUAUACUAACUGCCUGUGAAAUGUCGGGUCUUGUACACACCAUUGCAUACAUCAAGCUACCCACUGCAUUAGAAUAUGGAACUUGCAACAUGUAUUCUCGUUCCGUAUUCGUCGAAGGAGAUAGUUGUGCAGAAAGCUUGAAAUGAGAAGCCAACGGGGUACUUACAGGUUUGGUCUGCUCGUUCAUGCCAAACUGCUGUAGUACUUUCUUCAAAUACUGCUUCUGAGACAAGCUAACUCUGCCAUGAGCUCUAUCUCUACAUAUUUCCAUGCCAAGAAUCUUCUUAGCUUCACCUAGAUCUUUCAUCUCAAACUCGAGAUUGAGUUGAGUCUUCAAUCUCUCAAUCUCAACUUUGCUCUUAGAUGCUAUCAGCAUAUCAUCAACAUAUAAGAGCAAGUAUAUGAAAGUUCCUUCUUGUAGCUUCUGAAAAUAUACGCAAUGAUCAAAUUUACUUCUUGUGUACCUUUGCCCUUUCAUGAACUGAUCAAAUCGCUUGUACCACUGCCUCGGAGAUUGUUUCAAUCCAUAAAGCGACUUUGUCAGUUUGCAAACCCAAUUUUCUUUAUCAGCAACAUUGAAUCCAUCAGGCUGAGUCAUAUAGAUUUCCUCUUCCAAAUCACCGUGUAAAAAUGCUGUCUUCACAUCAAGUUGAACUAGUUCAAGAUCGUAUUGCGCAACCAAGGCUAGCAAAAUUCGAAUAGACGAAUGCUUCACAACUGGAGAAAACACUUCAUUGUAGUCUAUUCCUUCUUUCUGAGCGUAACCCUUUGCUACCAAUCUAGCCUUGUAUCGAAUUUCAUUUUUACCAGGAAAUCCUUCCUUCUUUGCAUAUACCCAUUUGCAUCCAAUUGCCUUCUUUCCCUUGGGCAGUCUCACCAACUCCCAAGUCCUAUUUUUAUGAAGAGACUGCAUUUCUUCAUUCAUAGCUUGCUUCCACUUUACACCAUCAGAGUUACUUAUUACUUCUGUGUAAGUGGAAGGAACAUCAUCAUCUGCAAUUGGAAGUGCAUAGGCCACCAUAUCAUCAAAGCGAGCAGGCUUACGAAUCUCUCUUCUUGGCCUCCUAUAUGCAAUUGAAUCUUGUUGCUGUAGAAGUUCUUGGGUCGAAACUUCUUCAUCAUUUGUUCUUUCAAUAUUAGCUGGAUCAUCAUUAACCUUUUCAAACUCCACCUGCUGCAAAGUACUACUGGUUUGGUCAUCCUUUUGUGAAUCCUCGUUCUUCAUCAUGGUUGAUUCAUCAAAAGUUACAUCUCUACUGAAAAUAAUCUUCCUUGUAUCAGGACACCAGAGACGGUAUCCUUUUACACCACCAGUUAUACCCAUGAAUAAUGCUUUCUUUGCUCUUGGGUCUAACUUAGAUUCUUUUACAUGAUAAUAUGCAGUGGAACCAAAAACAUGUAAAGAGUCAUAAUCAGUAGUAGGUUUACCAGUCCACAUCUCCAUAGGAGUUUUUCCAUUUAUUGCAGCUGAUGGCAAUCGGUUAAUUAGAUGGCACGCAUAUGUAACUGCCUCAGCCCAAAAUUCCUUGCCCAAUCCAGCAUUGGACAACAUACAUCGAACUUUCUCCAGUAUAGUCCGAUUCAUGCGUUCUGCCACCCCAUUCUGCUGUGGUGUAUCUCGAACAGUGAAGUGUCGCACAAUGCCCUCAUCUUGACAUACUUGUAGAAAUGGAUCGUUUUUGUACUCAGUACCAUUAUCUGAUCGAAGUCGUUUGACCUUUCGACCAGUCUGAGUCUCCACCAUCUUCUUCCAUUUCAGAAAUGCAUCCAAAACUUCACUUUUUCUUUUCAUUAGAUACACCCAUACUUUUCUUGAAUAAUCAUCAACAAAAGUAACAAAAUAGUGCAUACCUCCCAAAGAAGCUACUUUGGUAGGUCCCCACACAUCACUGUGAACGUAGUCCAGAAUUCCUUUCGUAUUGUGAAUUGCUGGACCAAAUUUUACCCUCUUCUGCUUGCCCAGAACACAAUGUUCACAGAAUUCCAUUUUGCAAGAAUUUGCACCUUUCAAUAAGCCUUGCUUCACCAAUGUCUGCAAAGCUUUUUCACCAGCAUGUCCCAAUCGCAUAUGCCAUAAUCUGGUAGCCUCUGAAUCUACAUCUUUUGUAGAAACUGUUGAUGUUGAUCCAAUAACUGUACUUCCAUUUAAAAAAUACAAGUUAUUUCUUCUUGUGCCUUUCAUCACCGUCAGUUGCCCAGCUACUACUUUUAGUAAUCCAUCUCUCAAAGUGAUUGUGAGCCCUUUAGAUUCUAGGGCACCUAAUGAGAUGAGAUUUUUCUUCAGGCUAGGUACGUAGCGAACAUCUGUCAAGACUUGGAUUGAGCCGUCGUGAUUCUUCAAUUGGACUGUACCCACUCCCAUUGUCUUACAAGCACUAUCAUUGCCCAUAAGAACAAUUCCACCUUCUAGCUCUUUAAGACUAGAAAACCAGUCCUUAUUAGGACACAUAUGGUAAGUACAUCCUGAAUCCAAAAUCCACUCAUCCGUUUGACAUGCCAUUGCCAUGCCAACCAAGCUAAAGUCUGACUCCUCAUCAUGCUCCGCUACACAUGCAUUAGAAAUAGCCUUGCCCUUUUGUAGCUUAGGACAAUUCUUUUUCCAAUGCCCUUUUUCACGGCAAAAGGCACAUUCAUCUUUGGCGGGUCUCCCUUUGGACUUUCCCCUUCUACCAGAUUUGCUGCUGUGUGAACGACCUCUUACUGUUAAGACUUCUGCGGUUGUAUCUCUGUGAUCUCUUUUAUCUUUCUUUCGAGUCUCAGAUCUAUACAACGCACUACAGACUGCAUCAAAUGUGAUCGUGUCCUUCCCAUGAAGCAAUGUGGUGGUAAGAUGAUCAUAUUCAUCAGGAAGGGAAUUCAACAACAAUAAUGCCUUGUCUUCAUCUUCAAAUUUCUCAUCCAAAUUUAGCAAGUCUGCUAAAAUUUUAUUGAAUGAGUUCACAUGGUCAUUCAUCGACAUACCGGGUGCAUACGUGAAUCGAUAAAGUUUCUUUUUCAUAUAAAGCCUAUUUUCAAGACUUUUCGUUAGAAACUUUUCUUCCAAUGUAUCCCACAGCUUCUUCGCUGAUGUCUCCCUCAUGACGGAGUACUUCUGCUCUUUGGCCAAACAUAGGCGGAUUGUACCACACGCCUGUCUAUUGAUCUUGGCCCACUCCUUGUCAUCCAUCUUGUCAGGUUUUUCUUCAAGGGCUAUAUCCAGCUCUUGCUGACAUAAGACAUCCAGGAUCUCACACUGCCACAUACCAAAAUUAUUGGUACCGUCAAAUUUCUCUACUUCAAAUUUUGCAUUUGUCACAGUAGUCCUUGCUGAUGACGAUGCUGCUGCCAUUUUUCUCCUCAAUCCCAACUACUGUAUACGUGAACAGUACCGUAUACGUGAAUAGUGCCGUAUACGUAAAUAGUACUGUAUAUGUGAAUAGUGCCGUAUACGUGAAUAGUACCGUAAACGGUCGUAUUCCCCAAGUACGAACCUGGCUCUGGUACCAAUUGUUGCGCGGAAGCGUGUGAAAGAGUAAAAUUAUUGUACUGAAAAAUCACACUAAGUUCAAUUCCCAGGAAAGAGAGGUGGAUCACGAGGAUCGCUUACAUACCAGAUCUUUCCUAGCCAGAAUAUCCCUCUAUCGUAAUUUAAUAGCACAAUAAAUCACUACAAUGACACUUGCAAAAUAUGCAGAACAAAAAUAAAGAACACUAGAAUUUUAACGAGGUUCAGCAAAUUUUGCCUACGUCCUCGGGCACUACCAAAUAUAUUUCACUCCAAAAAUACAAGUGAAAGUUUACAAAUAGGGAGAGAGAACAAUUGCCUUAAGUAGAGAAUGGCAAGUGUGGGAUGAAGAAAGUAAGAAAUGGUUAGGCCUAUUUAUAGUUGAGGUUCAAGGAUCAACUUGCAAUGUCCCUAUACAAUUAGGGACCAAAAUUGCAAUUAUCCCAUGCCAACUUUUAACCCAACUUGCCAACCAAUUUUACUUUCUACUUUCGGUGCCCACCCUUUUUGACUUUUCAAACAAUGGGUGGGUUCCAAUAAUAUAGUUUCUGAAGGCAUAUGUCAAGCUUGACAUUCUGAAUUAUAUAUUCAACAAAUCAAAGUAAAAUUAAUAAAGGGGUGUAAAGGAAAAUUCCAAAUUUGUGUAAAAAAAGCAAUGGAAGGUAAUUUAAAACAUUAUAUUCUGUUUUGUGGUAUAUGCUCAAAAAAAUUAUAACAAUUCUUUACAUUUUUUUUGUUUGCAAAAAGUAUGCAACAUGUAUUACAGUAUAAGAGCUUUUAGGUAACUAAAACUAUUUAAUAUAAUGAAAGGUGAGAUAAAAUUAAUUAAUCCAAAAAGUAUAUAUUAUAGCAUUAAAAGAGUUUUUGCAAAAAAAAAAUUAAACUCAUCCACAAUGGUGGAAUAGUUACGUACUACCAACUAAGUUGAAAAUUCAUCAAAACUUAAAAAUGAAAAUAAAAAGAGAGCCAUUAUAUUUUAAGAAAGUUUGCAGAACAUUGUGGCUGUAAAAACAUAAUCAAAUAUAAUUGUCCAAAAAGAAGACAAAACAGCAGAGGUAGAUACUAAAUUAGAAAUGCUUUUAGUUCAUUUGAUUGUUAGAUGUUGAUCAAUUUUAGAUGCAAAAUCAUAAUACUUUAUUAGCAUCAUAAAAUUUAAUUGCAAAAAAAGUAACAUAAAAUAAAACAAAACAAAAAGUAGUAGUUGUAACUAAAAAUUCCAGUAUGAUGCACACUCAAAAUGCGAACUUAAAUUAUUAAAUAAACUUACAUAUCUUUCAACAAAACAUUGUUUUUAUAGUCGAAGCAACUCUGGUAAUCGCAUUUAUCCCAUUCGACCCAAAAACCCUCUAAUAGUUUUUUGUAGAUAUCCAGCGUAGACAUGCCUGUUAUAUUAUCAACCAUAAUUGGAACCUCCACUUCGAUGGUGCAAGCUUGAUUGAUAUAAGAUGGCUGGGUGUUUCCAUUUAAAAAAUAGAAAUGGGAAGUUGAAAGGGAAGAGGAGGUAUUGGAUUUGAUGGUACAACGAGAAGCCUCAAUAUAAUUAUGUGAUGAUUUUAUAGGUGUCGUGCAAUUCAUAACAUAAAUAAUGCUACCCUCUAACCUUCUAUUGUUGUAAUGACUAUAAUAAUAAUAAUUAUUAGAAGAAAGGUAAAAAUUUGAUAGCUCAUAAUCAUAAUAAUCUACAGAAGUAAGAGAAAGGGAGUUGCAAUCAUCCAUGUCCAAGCUCGCAUCGACCAUUUGUAUUGUAUAAUUUUCGUAAAAGAUUUGUUGGACAGAGAAUUUCCCUCCUCUCCCAACCAAAGUGGUGCGAUUAUUGUUCUCACACUCAAAUUCAAAGCCAUAAUGACCACAGUGGGGAGGUUGGUUUUUUAAUCGGAAUGGAAAACUUGUUGGGUAUGGGUCCCAUUAUGUGGAAAACCCAUAUUUUCUGCCACAAUGUUUUGCCUUCUUUUUUGGUUUUGUCAAAAGCCAAUUUUUUUAGCCUUUUAACGUGGGAGUUGGCAGAAAUUUUAGUAGAGCUAAAACAAAAAAAAAAAUCUCAAAUUAAAACGGAGAGAAAGAGAGAAGAAAAUUUCAGUUUUUCAAGUUUGGUGCAGCAGUGAUCAACUCUUCGAUCGAAGGUUCAUCCGUGGUUCAAUUGAGCUAAUUUUUGGACAGCAGCUAGGCGAUAAGGUGUUCUUGACUUUGUACGGUCGGAUUUUUCAUCCGAGUCUUGUAGCGUCGGAAAUACCCAUUUUUCAGCAGCUACAUUUUUGGUGAUGUUCUCUCAUUUUUCUCUCUUUUGCUAAAGAUUACAUAUUGUUAGCCUUGUCGGAGUUGAAUGCUUGUUGUAGGCUUGAUAUUGUGAUCUUGUAGUCGAACAUUUGAUGAUAGUAGAGCUCUUUAUCGGACUCUAAAGUCCCGUGGUUUUUACCCUUGAUUUAAAGGGGUUUUCCACGUAAAAAUAUCGGUGUCUCUAUUUAUUUUUGUUGUGGUUCCAUUAGUUGAUUUGUGGUUGAUUAAGGUUGCUAGAGAACAUAUCUUGGGCUAUUGUGCUUGCCAUAAUUUUUGACAGGAGUUAUAAGGAGAGAAAGAACACCGGUUGUGCUUUCGCUUUGUUUCGGUUGUUCGGUUUCUUCCCAACAAACUGGUACCAGAGCUUGGUUAUUGUGUCAGAUAAUUAUGGAAAUUAAUACGAGCAAGAUGAUUAUGUUGAAUGGCACAAAUUAUCAACUUUGGCGGAAUAAAAUGAAGGACUUGUUGUUUGUGAAGGCUUUGCAUCUUCUGGUCUUUACUACUCAAAAACCCGAUUCGAAAAGUGAUGAAGAAUGGGAAUUUGAGCAUCAACAAGUGUGUGGCUUUAUUCGGCAAUUUGUUGAAGAAAAUGUUUACAACCACAUUGAUCAGGAGACACAUGCUCGAACAUUGUGGGAGAAGCUUGAAAGCUUGUAUGCUUCGAGGUCGGGCAAUAACAAGUUAUUUUUGCUGAAGAAAAUGAUGGCGCUGAAAUGUAAAGAAGGAAUGUCUAUAGCUGACCAUGUUAGUGAAUUUCAGAGUGUGAUGAAUCAGUUGCUUGGUAUGGGUGUCAAAUUUGAUGACGAGAUUUUAGGACUUUGGUUGCUUGCUACUCUACCAGACUCUUGGGAGACCUUUCGAGUCUCACUCAUUAAUUCUGCCCCACAGGGUAUUAUUACUUUGGAUUUGGCUACGAGUGAUGUGUUGAAUGAAGAGGUUAGAAGAAGAUCUCAGGGCUCUACAUCACAGUCCGAGGUGUUGGUUAUCGAGAACAGGGGGAGAAAUAGAGACAAAGAUGGAAAUGGUAGAGAUAAAAGCCGAAGCAAGUCAAGAUCGAGAUACAAGAAUCUUGAGUGUCAUCAUUGUGGUAAGAAAGGUCAUAUCAAGAAAUAUUGUUUCAAGUGGAAGAAAGAGAACAAAGGUGGUGGUGAUAAACACGAUCGGAAUGACGAUGAAAAAUUCGAGCGUGUUGCUACUGUUACUCGUGAAGAUCUGUUAGUUAUUUGUGAUGAGGAUUUGGUCAACCUAGCAUACGACAAGACUAGUUGGGUGAUUGAUACUGGUGCAUCACUUCAUGUCACGUCGAGGAAGGAAUUCUUCACAUCUUAUACUCCUGGUGAUUUUGGGGUAUUGAAGAUGGGUAAUGAUGGUUUGGUUUCGGUUAUUGGUAUGGGAGAUGUUAGCUUGGUAAGUAACAAUGGAACAAAGUUAACUCUCAAGGAUGUCAGACAUGCACCGGAUGUCCGUUUGAAUUUGAUUUCUGCAGGAAAACUUGAUGAUGAGGGAUUCUGUAACACCUUCAGUGAAGGGAAGUGGAAGCUGACUAAAGGCUCCUUGGUUAUGGCUCGAGGAAAGAAGAGCUCAAAUUUGUACUUGAUGCAAGCUUUGACUUCUCGAGAGACGGUGAAUGUGACACUGAAUGACAACUCAACUGAGUUGUGGCAUAAACGACUCAGUCACAUGAGUGAGAAGGGGCUUAGCUAUUUAGCGAAGAAGAAUCAACUUUCGGGUUUAAAGAAUGCUACACUGAAGAAUUGUGCUCAUUGUCUAGCAGGAAAGCAGAAAAGAGUUUCAUUUAGAAGCCAUCCUCCUCAUAGGAAAUCAGAGUUGCUAGAGUUGGUCCAUUCAGAUGUUUGUGGUCCGAUAAAAGUAAGAUCACAUGGUGGUGCACUUUACUUUGUGACUUUCAUUGAUGAUUGUUCAAGAAAGCUAUGGGUUUACACUUUGAAGUCUAAAAAUCAAGUCUUUGAGGUGUUUAAACAGUUUCAAGCAUCAGUUGAAAGGGAAACUGGGAAGAAGUUGAAGUGCAUUCGUACUGAUAAUGGUGGCGAGUACACAGGGUCAUUUCAUGAGUAUUGUCUGCGACAGGGAAUCAGACAUCAGAGAACACCACCAAAGACUCCACAGUUAAAUGGGUUAGCUGAAAGAAUGAACCGAACAUUGAUUGAGAGAGUCAGAUGUUUGUUGUCAGAUGCAAAGUUACCAAGAUCGUUUUGGGCUGAAGCUUUGAAUACAGUGACACAUGUGAUAAAUCUGUCUCCUAGUGUUCCUUUGAAAGGUGAUGUGCCAGAUAGAGUUUGGUUUGGUAAAGACGUGUCAUAUGAUCACCUACAUGUGUUCGGUUGUAAAGCAUUUGUUCAUGUUCCAAAGGAUGAAAGAUCCAAGUUGGAUGCCAAGGCUUGACAAUGCAUUUUUAUUGGUUAUGGUCUAGAUGGUGAGUUUGGUUAUAGACUCUAUGAUCCAGUUCAGAAGAAACUCGUGAGAAGCAGAGAUGUUGUCUUCAUUGAGGAUCAGACCAUUGAUGACAUUGAUACGACGGAGAAAGUGGAAUCACAAGGUAGUGGUGACUUGAUCGAUGUGAAUCCAGUUCCCCUAGACUCUUCACCAGAUCCUAUCCAGGAUGAUGUGCAUGGUGAUGUUAGUGGUGACCAUCAGACUAUAGGUGACUUUGAUACUCCCAUGGAUGAUGUUGUGAAUGAUCAACAACAAGCACCUAUAGCUCCACCAGCAGUUCCACUUCGAAGGUCUUCCAGAGAUCGACGAUCUUCUGUCAGGUAUUCUCCUGAUGAAUAUGUUCUUUUGACUGACGGGGGAGAACCUGAAUGUUAUGAAGAGGCUAUGGAGAGUGAAUGCAAAGAUCAGUGGGUUGAAGCGAUGAAAGACGAACUUUAAUCCUUGCAUGAGAACCAUACUUUUGAAUUGGUGAAACUGCCUAAGGGCAAAAGAGCUUUGAAUAAUCGGUGGGUUUACAGGUUGAAGCAAGAAGAGAAGUCUUCAUCUCCACGAUACAAAGCUAGAUUGGUCGUCAAGGGUUAUACUCAGAAAAAGGGGGUUGAUUUUGAAGAAAUAUUUUCUCCGGUUGUGAAGAUGUCCUCUAUCAGAACAAGUGGAUGUGAAAACUGCUUUUCUUCAUGGUGACUUGGAAGAAGAGCUUUACAUGGAGCAGCCAGAGGGUUUUGUUGCACAAGGGAAAGAGGACUAUGUGUGCAGAUUGAAGAAGAGCUUGUAUGGUUUGAAGCAAGCUCCAAGGCAAUGGUACAAGAAGUUUGAGUCUGUUAUGGGGGAGCAAGGCUACAAGAAGACUGCUUCUGAUCAUUGCGUGUUUGUUAAGAGAUUCUCUGGUGAUGAUUUUAUUAUUCUUUUGCUCUAUGUUGAUGAUAUGCUUAUUGUUGGUCAGAAUGCUUCUAAAAUUGAGAAGUUGAAACAAGAGUUGAGUAAAUCCUUUGCAAUGAAGGAUUUGGGGCCAGCAAAGCAAAUUCUUGGCAUAAGACUGACACGUGAUAGAAAGGCCAAGAAAUUAUGGUUAUCACAAGAGAGGUACAUUGAGAAAGUACUUCAAAGGUUUAGUAUGGACAAAGCUAAAGCGGUGAAUACUCCCUUUGCUAUGCACUUUAGAUUGAGUGUUAAGCAUAGUCCUUCCACAGAAAAGGAGAAGGAAGAGAUGCAGAAAAUUCCUUACUCUUCAGCCGUGGGUAAUUUGAUGUACGCAAUGGUUUGCACGAGACCAGACUUGGCUUAUGCCGUUGGUACAGUUAGUCAGUUUCUUUCUAAUCCAGGCAGAGAGCAUUGGAAUGCAGUGAAGUGGAUUAUGAGAUAUCUUCGUGGCACUUCCAACAUGAAACUUUGUUUCGGCAAUGAGAAACCUGUUCUUGUUGGGUAUACAGAUUCAGACAUGGCCGGAGACAUUGACUCGAGGAGACCUACUUCAGGUUACUUAAUCACUUAUGCAGGGGGAGCUGUGGCAUGGCAAUCGAGACUGCAAAAGUGUGUUGCAUUGUCCACCACCGAAUCAGAGUUCAUUGCAGCAACCGAAGCGUGUAAGGAGAUGCUUUGGAUGAAGAAGUUUGUGCAUGAGCUUGGUUUUACUCAAGAGAAGUAUGUCCUGUACUGUGAUAGCCAGAGUGCUAUUCAUCUUGGUAAGAACUCAACUUUUCAUGCUAGAUCUAAGCAUAUUGAUGUGAGGUACCAUUGGAUACGAGAUGUUCUUGAAGCUAAGCUGUUAGAGCUUGAGAAGAUACACACUAAUGAUAAUGGUGCUGAUAUGUUGACGAAGGCCUUACCAAGAGGAAAGUUUGAAGCAUGUUGUUUGACCUCCGGCAUGGAGGCAUUCCCCACAUAGUUGGAGGGGGAGAUUUGUUGGGUAUGGGUCCCACUAUAUGGGAAACCCAUAUUUUCUGCCACAAUGUUUUGCCUUCUUUUUUGGUUUUUUCAAAAGCCAAUUUUUUUGGCCUUUUAACGUGGGAGUUGGCAGAAAUUUUAGUAGAGCUAAAACAAAAAAAAAUCUCAAAUUAAAACAGAGAGAAAGAGAAGAAAAUUUCAGUUUUUCAAGUUUGGUGCAGCAGUGAUCAACUCUUCGAUCGAAGGUUCAUCCGUGGUUCGAUUGAGCUAAUUUUUGGACAGCAGCUAGGCGAUAAGGUGUUCUUGACUUUGUACGGUUGGAUUUUUCAUCCGAGUCUUGUAGCGUAGAAAAUACCCAUUUUUCAGCAGCUACGUUUUUGGUGAUGUUCUCUCUUUUGCUAAAGAUUACAUAUUGUUAGCCUUGUCGGAGUUGAAUGCUUGUUGUAGGCUUGAUAUUGUGAUCUUGUAGUCGAACAUUUGAUGAUAGUAGAGCUCUUUAUCGGGCUCUAAAGUCCCGUGGUUUUUACCCUUGAUUUAAAGGGGUUUUCCACGUAAAAAUAUCGGUGUCUCUAUUUAUUUUUGUUGUGGUUGCAUUAGUUGAUUUGUGGUUGAUUAAGGUUGCUAGAGAACAUAUCUUGUGCUAUUGUGCUUGCCAUAAUUUUUUACAGGAGUUAUAAGGAGAGAAAGAACACCGGUUGUGCUUUCGCUUUGUUUCGGUUGUUCGGUUUCUUCCCAACAAAACUGAUAUUCAAAUUCCCACAGAAAGUAAAAGCCAUAAUGAACACAGUGGGGAGGUUGGUUUUUUAAUCGGAAUGGAAAACUGAUAUUCAAAUUCCCACAGAAAGUAGAGCCGCAGUCUUGGUUAAUAAGAUGCCUAGUAAAACAAACACCAGGAAAUAGAAUUACAAAAAAAGCAAAAGCGGGCAUUAGUUUUGCUUUUAAUUUUGGCAUGCUAAAAUUUUGGGUAAGGAAGAAGAACAAUAACGGGGGUUAAUGAUUAAGUUUCUAACUAAAUCAGGGAAAUAUGUAAGAAAACUUCAGUGGGAGAAGAAGCAUUAAUGGGGACACAAGACUUUGACUAGUCUUCAGCUUUAUUUGGGAUGAAUAUUUUAUUUUCGAUCAAUUUUUUACACUUAUUUUUUUAUUUUUUUUCUGGGAAACACCUCAGUCAAAGCACAUCUGAUUUCAAGAUGGUUAUGUCACCAAGUUAUUUCUCUAAUGCAUCUGUAUUGUUUAAGAGUUUAAUCUUUCCAUUUUAUGGUUGAUUUGAAUAUUUACUUAAACUUAGAAAGGAAGGUUGAAAGUUAUUUCAGUAAUGUAUUUAAGAGUUUAAUUGAAUUAAUGUCAUCUGUUUCAAUUUAAUUGUGAAAUUAUAAAAAAAAUUGUAAUUUGUACAAAAUAACAAAUGUUAUUUUGAGAGUAUUUCGGAACAAAGUUAGAAAUAUUUAUGGGACCAUGAUAUUUAUAUAAAGUAGACGUAUAAAUAAAGUGUUUUUAAAUUUGAGGUAGUUUUCAUCACCCAAAACAAAAUUUAUAAAAGUAAAAUAGGUUAAAUGCUCAAUCUAUAUUAGAUAUUGCGAUUAUUUAAGUUCAUUUUUUUAUCAAAUUAAUAUUUCAAUACAACUUCAUUUUUAGAUAUGGUAAUCAUUUAACCUUUUUUUUUACUAAAUUAAUAUUUAGAUACUACUUUGUAUUAGUUUAUCAAAUUAAACUAAGAAUGUUACCAAAUAUAUUUUACCAAAUUAAUAUUUAGAUAUACUACUUUAUAUUACUUUAUAUUAGUUUAUUAAAGGGCCUAUUACGGGGAUCAUAUCCCCUUUGGGGUGCCUUGGAAAGUUUCCAACAACAUUUGCUUGUUUUGUCGGACCCUCGUGUAAAAUGGGACAUGAGUUCGUUGGGUGGUCUGACAUGACACACAUUCCACAUAACCGUGCUGGGCUUGUUUUAUCUGUAAGUAAAUUUUGAACAACGCUAGUAAGCUUAUCACAUAAUCGUGCUGGGCUUGUUUUAUCUAUAAGCAAAUUUUGAGCAACGUUAGUAAGCUUAUCAAUUUUGUCUUCUAGAGAUAGAGUACACUUAACCUAUGAUCCCGUCUCGUGAGUUCUAUAGCCAGUCGGAAUUGUUGAGUAUUUGUAGCCAUGGUUGAAAUCAACUCACUCACUUUCUGGGGCAUCAUAUUAACAAGUGCCCCUCCACUAGCAGCAUCUAUCAUUUUCAUUUCCAUUUGGAGUAAUCCCUAAUAGAAAUAUUACAAGAGUGAAUGUUCAAUCAGUCCAUAUUGUGGGCAACUUGCACACAAAUUUUUAUAUCGCUCCCAGUAAUAAUAGAGCGAUUCAGUCUCCUUUUACCGAAUUCUUAUGAUGUCUCUCCUUAAUUCAACUACUCCAGCUGCUGGAAAGAACCUUUCAAGAUAUAAACGAGACAUGUCAAAUCAUGUAUUGACAAACCUUGGAGGUAAAUAAAAUAGUCAUUCUCUAGCAGAAUCGGCUAAAGAGAAAGGAAAAACACAAAGUUUAAUUUGAUCAUUGAUUACUCCCUGAGGUUUCAUGCUUGUGCAAACCAUACGAAAUUCCUUGAGAUGGGUAUGUGGAUUUUCAUUUGUAAUCCACAGAAGGUAAGCAAUAGAUAAAUCAAGUCUGAUUUUAACUCGAACGGUGUUCCUCCCACCGUAUAAGUUAUAGAUGGGGGAGGUUGUUCAUCUGGGGCUGCUACGAGUUGGCAUAUAGUUUGCUUUACCAUAUCGUCUGGUUCGUCAAAUGAGAGAAUGUCCUCAAUGUAAAAUCCUAUUUCAAACUGGGGUUAUGGUCGUUUAUUGCAUCGAGUGGCUUCUCUUCGCAGUUUUUGAGCCAAAUUCUUUAUUUCUGGUUCAAAUUCUAGAGACCCCGAUUCUGACACGGUCAUAAGGAAAACAAACGAAAAUUUAAAAAAAAUUUAAUCCCCGACAACGGCGCUAAAAUUUGAUGGGUGUCGAAACCACUAAAUAAAUUAAUUCCUACAAUAAAAUAACUCUAAACAGUAGUAAAGAGUAGUAAGGUCGAUUCCACAGGGAUUGGUGAUUAUGAUCAACUUUUGUGUUUUUCUUAUAAACAGAAUUUAUGUCGCGGCGAUAAUCGUGGCAAUAGACAUGUCCACGACUCUAAACGACCUACUAAAAAAAAGAAAUUAGGGGAGUUUCGAAAUGUUUAGAAAUUAAAUAAUUGAGAUAGCAUAAAUAAACAAUUAAAUAAAUUAGAAAUUAAAUUAAAUUAGAAAAUUAAAUUCGAAUUUUGUAAACAGAAAUAAUAAGCCUUAGCCUUCGAGUCGGUGAAUUUCGAUUUCUGAACUGAUCCUCGAAAAUUAGUUUUCUCCUCCAAACAAAAAGCUAGUUAUAGCAGCUAGAACGUCCUAACUCUCAAUUCUUUCUCUAGUAGUUGAUUUCGGUACUACCUACAAACCAACCCUUAUUGAUUAUCUAAUCAGAAUACACGCGUUCGCAAUUCAAGAUUCCGAUAGCCUUAUGUUCUGAAGAACCCAACUCGAAUUAACGGCCUCAACCAUGCUUGACGUUUAAAUUUAAUCACUAUCUCCCUUGAUUUGUUCGCGAAAGUCUGAAUACAGCACGGCUGACUCGUCUCUCCAAUUGUCCGCCAAAACAACUCCAACCCAACACGCUUUUUUAAUUGAAAUCAAGUUAACUUUAAGGAAUGAAUUUGUCAAUCCCGAUAUUUUGGAGAGAUGGUGAAUACCGAUUUGAAGAAUUUUUAGUGCGGAUACAUUUCUUACGAUUCCUAACUGGAAAGAAUACCGGCCUAAAGCUAAUUUAAAAUUAGUGAAGCCUGAAAUUAAUCAAACUUUGGUUGGUUAUAGAAGUGGAUUUGAAUGGAAAUGGUGGUUGGUGAAAGGGAAAGGGCCUGGGAAACAAUUAAGCUAAAACAUUGAAAUGGAAACAAACUCUUACACGCAAAGUAAGAAAGAAAAUAAAAUGAUUUUUUUUUUCUAUUCACUUGCCAAGCAAAUCAAGGUGUAUUUUUUCAAGUUCACCAUGGCACCUAUUUAUACAUAAAUAAUAUGCUAAAAUUAGGCUAGUCUCACCUACCCACUAAUUACAUGAAAUAAAUAUCAGAUUUUUUUUUCUAAUUUUUCCUUUUACAAAGUCAAAAAUCUUAUCAGUCCCUAAAUAUCUCCAAAUUUUUAAUUCGACUCCUCUUCAAUUGCUUAUCAUUCAAUUUAAUCAUUUUCUUCUUGUUUUCGAAUUAAAGCAUCCGAAUUUCAUUCUUGACAAUAUUUAAACAUAAAAUUCACUAAUUAGCAAAAAUUAUUCAAAAGCAAAUUGAUUUGAGUACGUAAAAUAUGCAAAAUAAAUAUACUAUCAUUAUAAUAAUUUUAUAUUCAAAUGGUUUAAUCUAACUAAUUAUUUUGAAUUUCAUUGUCAUGAAAAUAUACAAUUUAUUAUGAUUAAUUUUAAAAUUAUUAUUUGGAACAUUGUAAGUAAGAUUAAGAAGAUCACAUGUCCAUUUAUUUAUUUAUAAAUUUUUAAAUAUAAUUUAAAGACCACUUGUUAUUAUUUAACUUUUGCUUGUGGAAUUUUUAUUUCUAUCAAAUAAUAAUCCUUAAAAUCAUUAUCUAAAAAGGAAAAAAUAUUAAUAUUUAAAAGGAACAAAUCAAUGAAACUUCCUUCUUCUUUUUUUUUUUGAAAAAAAGUCAAUGCAAGUAUUAAGUCUUCUUUGAAACACAAAAAAAACAUUUAAGUCGCUAAGAGCGACAACAACCUUUAAUUAAACAAAUAUAAUGAUAAGAAUAUAUAUAAUAUAAUAUUUGUCUAGUUUUCUUUUGGACGUACAAUACUUGUCUACUUAAUUUACUUAUUUGAUUAUUUUAUUUAUAAAGUAAUAAAAAUGUUAAUAUUUUUAUUUCAAAUGAAACAUUAUAAUGUCAAAACAUUUUAUAAAAAUACUUUUUAUUGUUGUGUCCUGUCAUACUCGUAUCCUUAUUUUAAAAAAUUAUCAUAUCACUAUGUUCGUAUCAUGUCGUACUCGUAUUACAUGUCUUUGUCCGUGUUUCAUAAAUAGUUUUUAAAUUUUAUUUUAAAAUAAUUAUAUAUAUCUUCAUUUAUUUUGCGUGAGUUUAAAAUAAUAAAAUUUAAAUAUAGAUAUAAGUUCUAUUAAUUUGUAUAAAAAAACCAUUUAAUUAAAUUUAGAUUCAAAUCUAAAGUCUAAAUUUAAAUUUUAAUUAUCACAACAAUCAACUUAAAUUAAUUCAAAAGCUCAAUUUCAAAAUCAAAGGUCUACAAAAGUUGAAUCAUUAUAUGUGUGCUUCGGGUAAUUACUUAUUUCGCCUAAAUUGAAGCCCCCUUUUUUUAGGAAUUUCGGGUCUCUUUAGUUACUUUUUGAAUCAUUAGAUAUUGUAAUUAUUUAAAUUUUUUUUAUCAAAAGGAAAAUUCUUUUUUUUUUAGAAUAAAACUUCAUUAAUAAAAAAGAUCAUGAGAGAACCCAAGAGGAAGUUGAUGUUUACUUGACUCACUACACCAAAACAGGUUUUUAGGGGCAUUUUUAGUGGCGUUUAGACAAAAAAUGCCGUUAAAAAUCGAGCAUUAGCGGCGCUUUACAUAAAAUGCCGCUAGAGAUUGAGCAUUAGCGGCGCUUCCAGGAAAGCGCCGCUAAAAAUGAGCAUUAGCGGCAUUUCUUGGAAAAACGCCGCAAAAAACCUAAGCCCAAAGGCAUCAUAUUUUGACAUUUCGGGGCAUUAGCGGCAUUUUUGAAAAAGCGCCGCAAAAAGAUAGAAAAAUAUUUGUUAAAAAUGGAAAAAUUAAAAUACUAUUAUUUAAAAUAAUGUUAAAAUUUUAAAAGAUACGAUUGAUUCUUAACAAAUAUAAUUGUAAAAGAUACGAUAAUAUUAAUUUUAAAAUAUUUAAUUAAUUAUUAUUAUAAUUUAGGGUUUAAUAUAUAUGGUUUAGGUUAUAUGAUUAAUUUAGGAUUUAAGGCUAGUUUAGGAGUUACAGUUUUAAGGUUUAUAGAUUAUGGAAUUAGGGAUUAUGGAAUAGGGAUUCUGGUUUAAGGGUUGUGAUUUAGGUGUUAGGGGUUAGGGGUUAGGGAUUCGGGUUAGGGUUUAGAUUAAUUAGUAUUUUUUAAUUUAUAUAUUAAAUAAUAUUUAGGGGUUAGUAGUUAGGGGUUAAGGGUUUGGGGUUAGGGGUUAGAGGUUAAGAGUUAGUGAUUUAAGGUUUAGAGAUUCGGGGUCGGGUUAGGGUUUAAGGUUUAGAUUAAUUAGUAUUUUUUUAAUUUAUAUAUUAAUUAAGUUCUUAUAUAAUUGUAAAAGAGGGGUUAGGGGUUUAGGAUUUAAGGUUUAUGAUUUAGGGUUUAAGAGAUAGGGGUUAGGGUUUAAGGCUUAGAUUAAUUGGUGUUUUUUAAUUUAUAUAUUAAAUAAUUUCUUAUAUAAUUGUAAAAGAGAUAAUAUUAAUUUUAAUUUAUUAAAAGUAUGAUUAUAGUUUAAAUUAUUUAAGAGAUAAUAGAUCAAUUUUAUAUAUAUUAAAUGGUUUAGGAUUUAAGGUUUACUUUAAAUUUAUUAAAUGAUAAAAAUUUAUACAAUUAAUUAAUGUUUUUAUAUUUAAAAAUAUUUAAUCUAAAUUUAGAUUAAAUAGUUUAAACCAUUUCAUAUAUUUAAAUAUUAGAUUUAAAAAAAUUGAUAAAUAAAUAAAUUAAUGUAACAAAUUGAUAUGGAUAGGUAACUAUCUAUUUUGGAUAGGACCAAAUUAUAACAAAUAAAAAUAAAAUACAAAAACUAAAAUCAUUCCACAUCGAACAUCUAGCAAAAUAGUUAUAUUUUAGUUAAGAAGAAAUAUCUCUAAUAAAAUGAAGAUUAGAUCGGAAAAGAAUAAUAUAAAAUCAUGAUUAACGUCUCAAUCUUUAAUAGAAAUUUGAUAUGUGAGAGAUUGAUUGCUUACAUUGGAUAAUUCUAACUUAAUAAUUAAUUACAGUCAUUUAAUCAUUUGUUUUCUUAUUAAAAUAUAUAAUAUUUAUUUUGAGAGUACUUAUUUUUUUAUAAAAAUCCAAUUUAUAAAAAAUAGUAAUAAUCAAUAUUUUAUAAAAUCACUUAACUAAUAAUUUUUAGCAGACAAAAUAAAAGAUUUUUAGCAGAGCAAAACGACGCCAUUUUGUUCAAAAUAAAAUUUUUUUUGCGGCGUUUUUAAUAAAAACGCCGCAAAAGAUAAGCAAUAGCGGCCGCAAAAAUCAUUUUACUUUAAAAAAAAGGCGCGUUUUAUCCCCAAAUUUCUCCACCUGAAAUCUCCAAAAGGAGCUCCGCCACUAAAGCAGAUAAGGUUUUUGGAAUUCCUUUUGUGCUUGCUCUUUGUUAAAAAAGACUUUUGUUCUAUUCGGUAUUUGCAGGAAAAAAAAAGAUAAUGUGUUUGGUAUUUUUGUUUCCGUUAUAAAUUUUUUAAGGAAAGGGAGAUGAAGAAAAAGGGAGAAGAAAAAUGCUGCAACUAUGGGUAAUUUAUCCCUACUUUGCCCUACUUUUUAAACCAUGGUAUGAGAUAGGCUGGUCUCCUAAUAUUUCCUUAACAGCUAAAAAUAAGCAUUAGCGGCGCUCUUUAAAAAAACGCCGCUAAAGAUUAAGCAUUAACGACGCUUUUAAAAAAGUGCUGCAAAAAAACCUAAGUCCAAUAAUAUUUUUUUGAGUUUUUGGACUUUAACAGUAUUUUUAAAAAAGCGCCACGAAUGUUCUAUUUUUAGUGGCAUUUUUUAAUAAGCACACUAAUGCUAAUAUUUAAUCUAAAUAUAUAAUUUUUUGCUUAAAGAAAUUGGCGCUGAUUUUUUCCCCAAAUUUCCCCUAAAACCCAAAAACUAAAAAAUCCCAAAUUCGCGCUGAUUUGUUCACAAAAUCCCAAACGAAAAAAUUUGGAGGAGCAGAACGAGGCGCUGCGAUUCCUCCCUCUGCGAUUCGAUUGUUAGCUUCUCACUGUUCUCAGCUCGUUAAAUCUAAUGGAAAGCGAUUGUUUCUCAUCGACACUUUAGCUUUGGUAAAUUACAAUGAUUCCUUCUUUUGUUUUAGAAACUGUAUUUUUGUUUGAUAUUUGGAAUCUUGAAAAUAUCUGAAGACAUGGUGCAUUAUACUUAUAGGUUAGAGGAUUAGAGGCGGAAGGUCUGCCGUCGAAGCAAGCCGAGGCAAUAACAGCAACCAUGACUGAAGUUUUGAAUGACAGCUUAGAAAAUGUGUCUCUUUCAGUUGUUUCCAAGUUUGAGAUGCAGAAAGUAAGCUCUUUUUUUUAAUGCUUCCAUACGUUGUAUUCACUAUGGAAACUUAAUUUUUGUCUUGAUAGAGUGAAAUGACUCAAGAAUCCAAUCUGUCGAAGCUCAAAUCAGAAGUUCAAAGCUCUCAGGUAUUUACUUUUUUGUAAAUGGACUUUGCGAACUUAUCGAUUUUAGUCUCCUUUUUAUGUGUUUUCGACUUUUGGUAUUAAUGAAGUCCCUUCUAGUUGGGUUUGUUCUUAUUAAUGGAAGAAAGCUUAACAUUUGGCCCAUUGCAAAUUGCUAUAGAGACAGUGUUAACAUGUCUAGGCCCUUCUUCACGCUGUAGUAAGUUGAUUUGAGACUCCUAAUCUUAUUUUUAAACAAUAACCGUUGAUUGCUUGACUAGGGAAACAGUAUUGAAUGAUUGGCUAUGAUCCAAGAAACCAUCAAUGGACUUCGAUAUUUACUUUUAGAUUAGAUGAAAUUGCUUCAGUAGGUUGAUUGAUAGAGAGGGUUGUGCAUACAGCUGAUCAGAACUCAGGACUACUGCAUUUUAGGGAAAGAGGAAAAAUUACUAGCUCAGAUUUUGAAUAUAUAUUACUGCAUUUUAGGGAAGGAUAUAUUCUUGUUUUCUGGUAGGACAUGGCUUCAUAACUCUGUUAUGCUCUUGUUAAAUAUUAUUUUGCCUUCAUCUUGUGUUAGUACAUGGUGGGUUCACUCUCAGUCUUUAUAAUUUGUUCCUUGUCUUUAGCCUUGCAACUGAGGAUUGUACCUAUUUGAUUUUUGUACUUUUAAGGUCAUAGUGCUGGUCUAUUUAAUCUGGGAAAUACCUGCUACAUGAAUUCUACUGUACAAUGCCUCCAUUCUGUUCCAGAGUUGAAGUCUUCUUUAGUAAAGUAAGUGCCUUCUUUACCUAACAAUGUAUUAUGAGAGAAUAUGGAACUGGAUUUGUAUGUUUUUUGUAUGAUGCAGAUGUAACGUGCACUGCCUUAAUUGUGAUCAGAUAUUCACAUUCAGGAAGAAACAAUGAUGUGGAUCAGACUUCUCAUAUGUUGACAAUUGCCACACGUGAUAUAUUUGGUGAACUUGAUAAAAGUGUAUAGCCAGUUACACCUAUGCAAUUUUGGACGGUUUGUUCCCUUUUUCCUUGUCACUUUUAUUUUGAAUCCCUGUGUUCUCUUUGAUCUCUGAAGCUAUAGGAUAUCACUAGAUGGAAGAAACGCAUCUACUAGAAUUUAGGUGAAAUAUUUUUAUAUUGCACGCAACAUAUUUGUAGGUGUACCCGAUUUUAUUUUGGUAAUUUUAUUCACAUAAGGUAAAGUCCACGAAAACAGUAUUAUUGUGCCUUGUUUAACCAUUUUUGCUAAUUCUGUUGAAUUCUCUUUCCUUAUUGAUCUAAUCUUUUUACCAUUUAUUUCUAGAGCUUCAUGCAAAUAUUUUUCUAUUCUGUUGUCAACAGAAUUGUUGCGUUGUAUUUCGAAGUUCAUUAAAGGAAUUUCUCUUUUUUUCUGUUUUUUGUUGCUAUAUGGCACUUAGUUUGAAGGAAGGUAUGGAGAAACUUAUUGUUUAUGUGUAUCUUGGUUUCAGUUGUUGCGUAAAAAGUAUCCUCAAUUCGGCCAGUUGCAUGGUGUCUUCAUGCAGCAGGUUUUGUUCUUUUCUCGUUUUUUUAGUCAACUGUACCCAAUACUCUUUUGUCUUAGAUUUGUUUAUAUUCUGAUAUGUAAUUUGGGGUCUUUUACAGGAUGCUGAAGAGUGUUGGACACAACUUUUAUACACCCUUUCUCAGUCUCUUCGAUCAGCUGGUUCUAGGUAGGUUUCUUGUUCUUUGUCAUUUAGAUAUUCUGAGUUAUACUUACUGGCUAAAUUUGAGCAAGUCCAUGGUGCCCUUAACAACUGAAACUACUGAAACAGUUUGAAGCUGUUGCUUUUGGUUUAUCAAACUUUUUCUUCAAAAUUAGGGAUCUCUUAUUUGGAGCAGUGUUACCUUGCAUAGUUCUUUUGCCACUGCAAUGCUUCUCUAGCAUAUAUCUUUCUAAUUUAGCAGCAAACAUCUCUUUUAGAAAAAUAAUUCUAAUCUCUCGCUGUCUUUUUUUCUUCUUUCUACAGUGAAAAUAUAGAUACUGUAAAGGACCUUUUUGGUAUUGACCUUGCAAGCAGGUAGAUAUCUACAGAUUUGAUUGUCAUUUUUUUCUUUUUAAUAAUGAUGACAUUACCUAGUUAGACAAUUUAUAUAUGCUGAUGCCAUUUUCUAUAACUGUUGAAGAAUUGUUGCUGCUAUUCAAAUUUUCAAAUACCACUAGUGCCGUUCAUGUAAGAAAUACAUGUAAAAGUAUAUCAUCUUUAUACUGAGAGAAAAGAUAAAGAAUUUCAAAUUUCAACUAGUCUAAACAAGCAUAACCAGAACAUCCUUCCACUUAUGCUUACAUCGAUAUAGUUUGUGCAGUUUUUAAGUUCAAAUCUGUAUUCCUUUUUGUCCUAGCCACUGUUCCAUGCAGUUUUCAUUACAAAUUAAUGAUUCAUCGUUCUGUAGCUUCAUUGGCUUCCAAAUGAAGAAUACUAUUUCUAAUCGUUAACGCAUUUAUUGUUAACAUGAGUUAAUAAUAUUUCUGUAUUUUGGGUGUUUGGUUGAUGAGAAAAUAUAAGAAAAUUUGGUAAAAGAUUUUUGAUGAGAAAAAAAUUAUAAAUUUAUAAUUGUUAACUAGUAGAUUGAGCUAGGUAAUGAUGAUGGUGCUAAUUUUCCUGCAAUCAAAGAGAAGUUUGGUCAGUACAUGGUGAGUAGGUGCUCCACCUUUACAGCGCAAACAUGUUUACAACAUUGCUACAUAGUUCACUUAAGUUUUUAAUAAGAGCUUGAUCUGAAUUUCAGACCUUGCUUCAGGUGACGAUGAGUGGGAAUGGGCAAGUUCCAUUACUGGCUAUUUCAAGCUAUUUGUUGAAACCAUUAAUGUCUUCUCUACUAACAAAAGUCCUACUGCAAAUGUACAUUUUUUUCUGAAAUCUGUCAUGUUUACAUACUGUUGAUUGAAUUGUGCAAGAGCCCUAAUACUUUUCUUAGUUCAUUGGCAGGGAAGAGGAAAGCAAAGUUCUAUAAAUACUGGAGCAAUGCAAUUUAGCUUUGGCAGUAUCAUCUAUAUCUUACAUCCCCCAACCGUUGAAGCUCACUGAAUUGAUAUGCACACAAGAUUGGCUGCAGAUGCAAUCAGAUGAUAUGUAUGUGCAUUAUCUUUGAUUUUUUCACACAAUAUCAAUUUUGGUUCAUUAUAUAUCACUAAAAAGAUCUUCCUGCACAGGAGAAUGGGUGCGUAUUCUAGUAUCUGUUGCAAUACACUUUAGGGAGCAGUACUCGAAGUACUUGUUCUUCAUAAGCUUAUUUCUUAAACAAAAUAACUUAUAUUGUGUAGUAAUUGAUUGUGAGGUAGCUUUAUAGGUAUCUGAGUCUUUUUAUACUAACUAUUUAUUGCAAUUGGUUCCAAAUAUUUGGUGAAUUCAAUUAUUAAUUUGCACUGCUAGUUUCGUGGUGUCAUAUGCCUUUUGUGUUAGAAUUUGAAUUGUUCCCCCUAAACAAUUUUCUCUAUGUACAGGUUUGAUUGUGGCACGUUUAUGUUAAAAUAUAUCGAUUUCUAUAGCAAAGGCUUAAGUCUUUGUUUUGAGCAGGUAAGUCCAUGGAACAAUUUUUUAUUCUUGUAGUUCAUGUUUUAUUUUGAUUUUUCUGUGAUUAAACUCUAGUACUCAGGGCAGUAGUUGUUGGGAUGUAAAAUCUGUUGUCCAUCUGCCUAAAUAUAUGACAAAAGGCAGAAGUACAUAUUGGAGAUACUCUCACAUGCACAUUCAUUCGUUUGAAACCCAAUAUCUGGUUAUUUGUCUUUGAACUGAGUUGGAUUUUUCCAUGCUUAUGUAGGAACACAUGCCCUAUUUUCGUUUAAGGACUGCCAAGGAAAUUCUGAAACUGAAAGCUGAUUGAUCGGAUGUGUAUGCCGGCUUUCAUCAACUACUUUUGAUGGCCUUACUAGGAAUUGAAAUGGUUUGCAAAGAGAUUGCUUCUUCUGAUCUGAUUUUUCAAUAUAAAUACUGGACAAAGUAUGGAUAUUUCUAGUCAGUUGCAUUUACUGCUAUUAGUAAAAUAGGAUUCUCUUCUUAGGAUCUUAGUUUCUUCACUUGUAUUAGACUCAACAAUGGCUUGCAUUGCAUUGCAUUGGUGUUGAUUUUACAAUUUUUAAUUUUUAUUAAUUAUUUACGUUUUCUCACUUUUAGUAAUUUUUAUUAUUAUUUAAGCUUCCUUUAUUUGCCUUCUUUUAUCAUUUUCAUAGAAAAUUUAAUUUAAAUAAUAUUUUUUUAUUUAUCCUUAAAAGUAUAUUUAAAGUUCAAAUUUAAAAAAUAAAACAUAAUAUAAUAUUUAUCAUAAAAAUAAAUAUUAUUUGAUUAAAAUAAUUUUUUUAAAUGUUAUGUUUUUUGCGGCGUUUUUGCGAGAAGCGUCGCUAAAGGUUUGUUCUUUAGUGGUGUUUGUGACGAAAGCGUCGCUAAAAGUAAUAGAUUUUUAGGGCGUUAGUAAUAAAAGCGCCGCUAAAGGUCAUGGUCUUUAGCGGCACUUUUUACGACGCUUAAGACAACGCCGCUAAAAGUUUAUUUUGCUGUAGUGACUCAUCAUUAGAGUAACAAUAUUUCAACUUGUUAUAGUAACAAUAUCCAAUGAUUUACUUGACUCAUCAUUAGAGUUCUCACAACUAUGAACCUCCAUUGAUGUUUCAAGAUUGGAAGUUGAUGGAAUGACUUAGGAGGCAUCUCAAGGAGUUCAACAUCAGAUUCAAGCAUUUUCAAAACUUUACUCAUUGAAGGACGAUCAGAAGGCAGUAAUUGUAUACACCAAAAAGUUGUUAUUACCAUUUUCUUUACCAUUGCUUUUUCAUCGUCAGAAACAUCUCCCAACUCCAAGUCUUUUCCUUGAUCUAAUCGGUCAUAAAUCCAAGAUGGAAAAUAUAUUUGACUAGUGUGGUCAGCAAAUGCAUUCACAUUCUUUUUGGUCAGCAAAUGCAUUCACAUUCUUUCUCCUUCCAACCAUUUCCAUUAGUAACAUUCCAAAACUAUAAGCAUCGGUUUUGUAUGAGAUGCCUCCAAGAUUUUUGUAAACCAAUUCAGGAGCAAUAUAUCCUAUCGUUCCUCGUGCCACAGUGAGAGAGACAAUGUUAUCAUCUACUGAAUACAAUUUAGCAAUACCAAAAUCGAAAACUUUUGGAUUAAAAUUCUCAUCAAGAAGAAUAUUGUGUGGCUUAAUAUCAAAAUGUAGAAUUUGCAUGUCACAUCCUUGAUGUAAGUAGUGAAUUCCUUGAGCCACCCCAAGCACAAUAUCAAACAUUUUUUUCCAGCUCAAAGUUUUCUUAUUUUCUUCUGUAAAUAUGAUUUUAUCUAAAGAUCCAUUAAACAUGAAGUCAUAUACCAGACCUUGCUUUGAUCCCUCCACACAAAAUCUAAUAAGUUUUGCCACGUUAGCAUGAUGAAUUGUCCCAAUAGAAGCAACUUCGUUUAUGAAAUCUUGGCCACUACCCUUUGACUUGCCCAACAAUUUUAUUGCCACAUGAUGCCCACUACGAAGUUUUUCUUUAAACACUGAGCCAUAACCUCCUUCACCUAAUUUAUCUUUAAAAUUUUUAGUCAUUUUUUUAACUUCUUUAAAAGAAUACCUUAUCGGCACUAGAUUAUUUUGGCUUUGAAGGAACUCUUCGAUCGUAUCAUCCAUGAAUAAAUGUCUUCUUCUCCAUUUGUACGUAACAAGAGCAAACAAACAAAUUAUCCCAAGAAAUGACCUUAAAAAGAUAAUUCCACCUUUAAAGAAAUACAAUGUAAUACAUCAGUACUUGUGAAAUUAAUCAAAUAAUAUAUAACUUACAUUCUCGAAAAGGUAUAUAAUGUGAUAGUUUUAUGUUAGUUUUAUAAUUAACUACUACUUAAAAGAGGGGCAUAUUAAUUUCACUACUUUAUGGAAUUAAUUUAGAAAUAACAGUGAUGCCUUGUGUUUACCCUUCUAUACCAAAUGAAAAACUUUGAAUGGCCAUUGAGAACCCAAGAAAAAUAAUUCCGAAUUAUAUGUUAUGGUUUACAUUCUAGCAGGUGCACCUCAACAAAUUCAAACUUGGAACUGCACACACAAAGGAGUAAAUCAUUCAAAUUGGAUACCAAUUAUUCUAACCUCACCAUGGUCCAUCAAGGAUACUCAACUUUUAUAUUCAUGUCAAAUAUACUUGAAGAAGGACAAAGUACAUAUAUAAUAACCUUCAAUCUUUUUAAAUGAAACAAAGUCUAUAAUCACCAAAAGAUGCAAGACAACCGAAAAAAAAAAAGAAUGGAUCGAUUGAAGAGCUAAACUUUGUUGAAUGUUUUAGCAAUAUGAAUAUUCACCAAACUUACAACCUGUGAAAGUUCUAAACGAGACCAUUAUGAACACAAACUUAACCAAAACUCCAACAUCUUUCUUUACUUGACAAAAAAAUAUUCUUUCGUAUAAGUAGAAGAAGAUUGUUUUCGGCAUUCAAACUCCUUAAAGAAUGCUAUAGAUUUAUCAGUUUUGCAGUGAAAUUAAAUAUGAACUUGUAUAGUACGCGAUAGACUCCUUAUUCUUUUUUUCCCCCAAGAAUAUUGCUAAUAUCUUUUCUUAACUAGUGCUAGAAUUUGUAUCUGAAAAAAUGCAAAUCUGCAAAUCCAAAAUUAACAAUACCUGUUAUUGCCAAACAGAGAAUAUAAGUUCCUGUAAAAAAACGAAAUAUCAUUAUUUCAAGAGAGCAGCGAAAUAGUAAAAUCAAAGCACUUCUAAAUUCUAAUGAAUUUUGGGAAGCAUACUUCUUGGUAUAGAAUCGUUGACAUCGUAGUAGACAUGGGGGCCAUGGAAAUGGAAAUGUACAAAGCUGUCCAUAUAGUUUCUGAAGGCAUAUUUCAAGUUUGACAAUCUAAAUUAUAUAUGCAACAAAUCAAAGUAAAAUUAAUAAAGGGGUGUAAAGGAAAACUCUAAAUUUGUGUAAAAAAAUCAAUGGUAAUCUAAAACAUUAUAUUCUAUUUUGUGGUAUAUGCUCAAAAAAAUUACAACAAUUCUUUACAUAUUUUUGUUUGCAAAAAGUAUGCAACAUGUAUUACAGUACAAGAGUUUUUAGGUAACAAAAAUUAUUUAAUAUAAUGAAAGGUGAGACAAAAUUUAUUCAAUUAAUUAAUCCAAAUUAAAAAAUAUACAUUAUAGCAUUAAAAGACUGCGAAAAAAAUAAACUCAUCCACAACGGUGGAAUAUUUACGUACUGCCAACUAAAUUGCGAAAAAAAGUAACAUAAAAUAAAAGAAAAAAUAAAGGUAGGUCAUACAAAAAGAAAGGGAAAAAGAUAAUGGUUCAUAAUCAUAAGUAUCAUAAUAAUAAUAUACAGAGCUAAGAGGAAGAGAGUUGCAAUCAUCCGUGUCCAAGCUCGCAUCAACCAUUCGUAUUGUAUAAUUUUCGUAAAAGAUUUAUGGGACAGAGAAUUUCUCUCCUCUCUCAGCCAAAGUGGUGCGAUUAUGGUUCUCACACUCAAAUUCAAAGCCAUAAUGACCACACUGGGAAGGUUAGUUUUUAAAUCGGAAUGAAAAACUGAUAUUCAAAUUCCCACAAAAAGUUGAGCCACAAUCUUGGUUAAUAAGAUGCCGAGCAAAGCAAGCACAGGGAAUAGAAUUACAAAUGAAGCAAAAGCGGCCAUUAGGUGAACAAACAAUGGUAGUAUUGCUUUUAAUUUUGGCAUGCUAAAAUUUUGGGUAGGAUUGAAGAACAACAAUGGGAGCAAGGAAAUAUGUAAGAAAACUUUAUUGUGAGAGGAAGCAUUGUUGAGGACUGAAGACCCCAAUCAAGGCAUAUCAGAUUCCAAGAACAGAGCCAGGAUUACGUCACCAGGGAGACCAAGGGAGCAAGACUUUUCAAUAACAAAAAAAUCUUUUGUUUUAAGAAUAAAACUUCAUAAAUAAAAAAGAAAACUUUUUCUUUUGUAAUUUUUAAAAGGUACAAAUACCAAAACUUGAAUUUAAAAAUAGAUUUAGAGUUAGUUUCAUUUUAAAUGAAGCCAAUUUAGCAUUGAAUUGAUCAUAGAUCAGGUCAGGCUGAAACAAUAUUUAAUUCUAAAAAAAGUUUUAAGUCUUAGGCUUGUUUUCGACCCAACUCUCAAGAGCACAUUUUUUCUUAUUCAAAAAUAAUAAAAUAUUUAAAAUAUUUUUAAUUGAUAUUUUAUAUGUACUUUAUAAUUAAAUUUAAAUUUAAAAAAUAUUCUUUUUAUUAUUUAAAUUAAAUUUGAAUUGAGCCGAUCUAGAUACGAAAAUACUUAUCCAAGCCUAACUCAAAUUGAAUUGAGUUGUAUGGGGUCACAGCUGUAGUUUAGCAGAGUUUGUUUAAAUUGAAGGUGUGUAAAGUUGAAUGAUUAGAUAGGGAUUUAUGAAAAUGAAAUCGAAGGUAAGUUUAAUUUUUGAACUAAUAUAAGAUGUGAUUGAAGCCCAUUCUUUUACGAACUUUGGGCUCGUUGAUUUCUGUAUUCCCGAUUCAGCACCCAUUCAUUUAUUUUAAUUCUACAUACCUUCCGUAUUGUUAUUUAGGGAUAAUAUAGUUAAGUGCACUUGUACAUAUUUGUUUUGGUCUAUUUUCACACUUGAAUUUAACUAUUAGGUAUAUUUUAAUUUUUGAAAUUGAAAAAUAUGAAAGUUUUAUGAUGCGACUCUAUGAGAUUGUACUACAUCAUCACUUGAAAAUUAAAAAACUAUUUAUAUAAAUUUUUAGAGGAUGACGUGGUACAAUCUCUAAGUGCCACGUGUAUUAUUUAAUAAUCGGAUUGGUGGUUAAAUCAGUCAAACCACUAGUUCUCCAUUCAACCAGUUUGAUUAGUUUGACUGCCGGACCAACAAUAAUUAAAUAAAUCAUUAAACAUUCAUAAAAAUCUAAAAAACAAUAAAAGAAAUUUUUGUUAAACCGAUUAAUCAUGGUCAACAGUUGGGGGUUUUCUCAAUUUUCAAUUUUUACCAAUUUCAAGCAAUUUCUUAUUAAAUUGAUUCAAUUUCUUUGUUCAAACCAUCAUACCAAUCGAGUCUCAGUCCAAUCAGUCUGAUCAUUAUUCCAUGUGAGAUAUUAAAAUAAAAAAAUUUACCCUCUUUCAAAUCACUUGUAACAAAACUCUAAAAAUUUGGGAUAAAACACAAAAAAUUUAAGAUCCCAAAUAAAAUAAACGCAUUAAAAAUAUUAUUUGUACAGGUAGUAAUGCAGCCAAUUAGUCUAGAUAUGUUUCAAAUCAAUUGGUUUGAUUCAAUACAAAGCCUAAAUUAUAGUAAAUUUUAUUUGCUCGAUUAAUAGAAUUUAUUUAAAAAGAGCCAAAUGAAAACCACUAUACAACUUUAUGAAGUCGGCAACACAUCCAACACUCAAAGCACAAAGAAACUAGAUGUCAACAAUAAAACAAUAAUGCCAACAUUCUCAAACAUGUCAACAAAAAUAUUCUAAAAAAAAGGAAAUAGGACAUCCCACCUGGAGUGUUGAAAUUCUUGGACUCAGUCGUUAUAACAACAAAAAAGGAAAUAAGACAUCCAACAUUCUCAUCACAAUGCAUUUUCCUCUUACUCACCAACAACCUCUGCAGUGCGAUAACACAAUUAGAGGCUAUUGUGAUAGCAACUUUUAUAAAUAUUCAAAAAUUAACUUUUAAACACAUCUUGUCUUAAUAUAAGGUAAAGGGUUGAUUCAAACAUAAAAAUUUUAACCAAUUCAUCUCACCUCAAUUCAAUUGAUCACAUAACUAAAUUGAUACGAAAAUCUAUUCAUACAAUGUACAUUUAAUUUAUAUAUGAUUUCAAUUAUGGUUUAAAUUUAAAUAUUUUUUAACAAAAAUUUUAAAUAUUUAAUAUUGAACAAAUAGUCAAAUUUCGAAAUUAUGAACAAUAACUUAACACAUAGGUAAAAGUUUUUUUUUUACUUAAUAAUAUUAUUAGCAAUCGGACAUUAUUAAAUUGUAUAUGAAAAUAAUUAAGCUUAAAAAUUAAAAUUUAAAGGUAAUAUCAUUGUGAAAUUUACUCAAAAUUUAUAAUAUAGUUAUUUAUGUACAUAUGUGACACACAUAAUAAGAUAAUUAUAACACUCCUAACCCGUAUCUAUCACUGAAACAAGGUUACGGAGCAUUACCAGAGUUUACAAAUCAAAUAAAUAGACAUUUCAAACAUUUCAUAUCAUAUAAUAUUCAUGUCAGAAAUCAAUCGAAAACAAAUAUAUUGUUAUUUAUACGAGCCCUCGAGGCCCAAAAUAUGCGAUAGAAACAAGUUGGGAUACUCAAAGAAUUUUUUAGAAAACAUUGAAAUUUUUCAAAGUUGUAAGGGUCACACGCCCAUAUGGGCAUUCGAAAUAGGGGCAUACGGCCGUGUCCCAGCCCGUGUCUGUGCUCGUGUAACUCUCUGACUUGGGUCACACGGCCAAGCCACACACUCGUGUACUAGGCCGUGUGAGCAUACUGACUUGCAUUAUUAAGAAGAUAUAGGGGGCACACGACCGUGCCACAUAGCCGUGUGUCACAUACGGUUGAGACACACGCCCAUGUCCCUACUAUAGGUGUCCAUGGGCCGGGUGGCCCGGCCUGACCUGACGGCCCGCCCCGAAAUAUGGGAGGGUUCGGGCAAAAAUAUAGGCCCGAAAUAUGGGUUUAGGGAAAAAAAUGAGGCCAGUUUCGGGCCUCGGGCACCACUUUUUUGGCCCGGGCCCGGCCCGAAUAUAAUAAAUAUUUAUUUUUUUAUUCUUUCAAUUUUAAAAUAUUUUUAAAAUACUUUUUUUAAUUUUUAUUUUUAAAAUAAUUUUUUGGUGUUUAUUAAAAAAUGGGCCGGGCCAGACUUGGGCUUAGGAAUUUUUUCCUGGCCGGGCCUGGACAAAAUUUUAUGCCCAUAUUCCGGGCUAGACUGGGCCUAGGCCUAGGUCACGGGCAAAAAAAUUUCUGGGCCCAGCCCGGCCCAUGGACACCUCUAGUCUCUACCCGUGUGGACGAAAAUAAGCCAUUUUCCAAACCAUAUUUCUCAUCCAAUUUGAUACUAACCUAAACACAACAAUUUGCAUAUAACCAAGUCAUACUAAAUUAGAAAUGCUUUUUAGUUUUUUAGUUUUUUUUCAUUUGAUUGUUAGAUUUUCAUAAAUUUUAGAUGCAAAAUCAUGAUACUUGAUUAGUAUCAUAAAAUUUAAUUGUGAAAAAAAAAGUAACAUAAAAUAAAAGAAUAAAAAAACAAAGAUAGAUGUUGUAACUAAAAACUCGAGUCUGACACUUAAAAUGCAAACUGAAAUUAUUAAAGGAACAGACACAUCUUUAAACCAAACUUUGUAAUAGAAACACCCACCCAUCUUAUAUCUUUAAACCAAACUUCCCAUUUCUAUUUGGGAUAUCAAUGGAAACACCCACCCAUCAGUCUGAUGCACACCAAACUAGUCUUUAGCUUUAAUUGGGAUUAAUAUUUUAUUUUUGAUCAAUUUUUUACACUUUUUUUUUUUUUGGGAAACACCUCAAUCAAAGCACAUCUGAUUUUAUAAAAAUACUUUUGAUUGUUGUGUUCUGUCAUACCCGUAUCCUUAUUUUUAAAAAUUAUCAUAUCAUGCCGUACCCUCGUUACAUAUAUGUAUUUGUGCUUCAUAAGUAGGUUUUAAAUGUUAUUUUAGAAUAAUUAUAUAUGUCUUCAUUUAUUUUGCAUGAGUUUAAAAUAAUAAAAUUUAAAUAUAGGAUAUAAGUCCUAAUUAAUUUGUAUAAAAAAUUAUUUAAUUAAAUUAAAUCCAAAUCUAAAAUCUAAAUUUUAAUUUUAAUUAUCACAACAAUCAACUUAAAUUAAUUCAAAAGCUUAAAUUUGAAAAUACAUGCGUUUCAUUUUAAAUGAAGUCUAGCUUAGCACAGUUAAAUAUCAAAAGUCUAUAAAAGUUGAAUCAUUAGAUUGGAUUAUAUGUGUGCUUCGAGUAAUUACUUAUUUUGCCUGACUUGAAGCCCAUUUUUUUUGGAAUUUCGAGUCUCUUUAGUUACUUUUUGAAUAUUAAAUAUUACAAUUAUUUAAAUUUAUUUUUUUAUCAAAAAUAUUUUUUUUUAGAAUAAAACUUCAUAAAUCAAAAAGAUCCUAAGUCACAACGUAUCACUAAGUCACAAUGCAUCAGGCUUACACUAAUACACCUAGUACCGAUUCUUAGUUAUGUCUUUGAAAUAUCUUCACUAAACAAAUUCGAUUGUCUCAAUUUUAUUUAUUUAAAAUCAAAAUUAUAUAUAUAUAUAUUUAUUUAGCUCAUUUAAAUGAUAUUUAUUUAAAAUGAAUUAAAUGAGAAUCAUUAAACAAUUUUAUAAAGUUGACAACACAUCUAAUAUUUAAAGCACAAAAAAAUUCGAUAUGUCAAUUACAACAAAACAAUAAUACCAACAUUCUCAAAUACGGCAACAAAAUUGUUCUAAAAACAAAAGAUAAGGCAUCACAACUAGAAUGUACAAAUAUUUGGAUUCAAUCAUUAUAACAACAAAAAAGGAAACAAAACAUCAAACAUCCUCAUCACAAUGGAUUCUUCGGUGACUCGCCAACAACCUCUGCAAUGCAAUAAUACAAAAGGAGGUUAUUGUGAUAACAACUCUUACAAAUAUUCAAAAAUUAACUUUUAGAUGCAGCAUGUCUCAAUCUAAGGCAAAGGGUUUAUCCAAACAUGAAAAUUUUAACCAACUUAAUUCAAUUCAAUUCAACUCAAACCUCAAUCUAUCUAUGUAGUUUACUUUUAAUUUAUAUAUAAUUUCGAUUAUGGUUUAAAUUUAAAUAUUUUUUUGACAAAAAAUAUAAAUAAAACAAAUAGUGAUAUUAAUGAAAAUUUGUAAUUAUGAACAAUAACUUAACGCAUAGGUAAAAGCUUUUUUUUUUUUACUGAAUAAUAUUAUUAGCAAUAGUACAUUAUUAAUUGUAUGUGAAAAUAAUGAAGCUUAAAAAUUAAAAUUUAAAGAUAAUAUCAUUGUCAAAUUUACUCAAAAUUUAUUUUUAACUAUAGUUAUCUAUGUACAUAUGUGACACACAUAAUAAGAUACUUAUAUAUAUAUAUAUAUAUAAUAAUAAUAAUAAUAAGGCAAAAUAAUACAAAACCAAAAGGUAAGACAAUGAAGUGAAAUAUUUCUAACCUUAUGCAAUAUUUGAAAUUGUUAUAAUAACAGUAUCCAACGAAAAUUAGACAUCAACAGAAUGAUUACGUAAAAACUUAAAUCCAAUUGUUACAUAAUAUGAAAAAUAAAAUAAUUAUAUUAUGUAAAUAGAUCAUUCCUGAUUACAAUGAAUAAUAAUCCUUACAAAAAAAUUUAAUAAUUCAAAACUAUAAACAAUAAUUUAUAAACGAUAUUAAAAUAAAAAUAUUAGAAUUUUAAUAUACAAAAAUUUAUAUAGAAAUAUUUUUUGAAGUUUUACAUCAAUUUAAAAAAAAUUGAAAUUGGUAAACGUCCACACUUCAAAAAUCAUUUUUGAUUUUAUCCUUGUUAAUAAUUUUCUAUCGAUUUACAAAAAAAAAAAAAUAAUGAAAAUACAGACAAUAUCUCACAAAAACAUUUUGUAUUAAAAUAAAGAUUUAAUUCUUGUUUUCGAAAUCGUAACGGGUUUGUUUGAUCAAAAACCUGUUAAAGUAUCGGUUCAAAGAGAGGUAAAAAUUUGAUUGACUCGUGAGUCAGUAUGAACUAGUUGAAUCAAUUUAAAAAUCAAUUGAAUAGAUGAUUGAAUCAGUUGAACUAUAUUUUAUAAUUUUUAAUAAUUUUUAAUUAUUUAAUUUGAACCAGACGAAUUAAAUGGUUUGACUAGUUUGGCCAAGGUUGCUCAAAUGGAACUAAACAGAUUAGUCAUAUCAAUUAAAUUGGAAACUUAUAAUAGUGUUGAUUCAAAAAAUAAAAUAUUGAAUCAAUUAAUUUGAGAACUGAUACAAACCUAUUGAACCAAAUAAAAAAAUUAAUUAAACUUAAUUUUAGUAUUUUUAUUUUAAUAAUUUAUUUAAUCAUUAAGAUUAAUUAGAACAAUGAACCAAUGAUUUAAAUUUCGUCAUAAUCUAAUUCUAAAAAUUGUGGAUUUGAGCGCUCCCAAAUUUCCCUUCGCUUUCUCUCUCUCUCUCUGUUCUUCAACAUCGUGUUUAGAUCCGUCCCUCCCAUCCUUGAAAGAUUCCAUCUUUGACCCUUCUUCGUUGAAUCUAUCAAACAAAUUAGGGUUCCGAUCUGUUACUUGUUGUGUUCGUUUAAAAAAAAAAUUUCUUUGCCUCAAAAUUUCAUCUUCAGAAAAAGAAAAAAAAAGGAGAGAGAGAGAGAGAGAGAGAGAGUUUUCGAUUUUCCUUGAUUUUGCUUGAGAUUUAUGUUCUAAUCUGAAAUUCAUUACCUUAAUGAUUUGCUAUAUCGGUUCGAUCUCCAUUACGAUUGCUUGAUUUUGUGUCGGAUUUGGGGUUAAAUCCAAGCUUGGGCGUUUUUACAUUAAAUCAGUAACCAUCGGCCCAAACUCUACGCCUCUUUCUAUCUGGAAAAUUUUUACAUUAAAACAAACGGAGUUUGAAAGUUAAAAAUUGACAUUCCAUUGAAUUUAAGUUUGAAAGUUUGGCUCAACUCACCGAUUACACCCGCUUACAUGAAGUAGAAGCCCUUAUUACAUCGAUACAUCUGUGUGUGUGUGUGUUUUCCGCUUCCUCUUCUUUCUUUUGGCCCUUUUUUAUUUUUCUCAAAAAUCCUCACCUACAGCUUACUCCAUUCCCUGACAUUUUCUCUUAAAAUUACACUGAAAAAGCUCACAUGUUCCCCAAACUUCAUCUAUUACUCAAGUUUCGAUUCCUUGUCUCCGCAUCCAACCGCCACUGUACACAGUCAAACUCUGUUUUUCGAAUUACCGCCACCUAUUCGACGAUAUGCCCAAACCAAGUUGAAAGCCCGAAUGAAGAAGCUAUAGAGCAUCCGAGAGACUCCAUCGAGAUUUUCAAGCAAUGGGGUUGCUGUGAAAACGAUUUGUUGAAGAUCUUUUCACGCCAACCUUCUUUGCGCAACGCUCAAGCUACUUCCCUUUUAUCCAAACUCAACUUGCUGAGUAGCUUGGGACUCAGCGGUUCCGACAUUGUCAAGAUGGUCAAUUGUCGUCCUCGUUUCUUUUGUUCUCGUAUCAAUAAUUGCUUCGACGAGCGGAUUGAGUUCCUCGUUAACCUGUUCGGGUCGCGAGAAAUGCUUCGUAAAGCACUUGUUAGGAACCCUUCACUCUUGACCUAUGAUUUUCACAAUACCAUGAAACCAGUCAUUGCAUUGUACGAAGAGAUUGGCAUUAGUGGAAGUGAUUUGAUUGCUAUGCUCAUCUCACGUCCCACAUUGAUCCCAAGGACUUCUUUCAAUGAGGAGAAGAUGGAAUACAUAAAGAAAACAAGGGUUUCAAAAGGUUCCAAAAUGUACAAGUACGUAGUUUCACUCAUCGGAAUAUCGCGGAUCGAGACUACGUGAAAAGGUGACUAACUUGGAGAAAUUCGGAUGUUCAGAGGAAGAGAUUUGGAGUUUGUUGGGACGUUCUCCUCUUAUUUUGACACUCUCGGUUGAUAAGGUUCAAAGGAACAUGACAUUUGUUUUGGGAACCAUGAAGCUGUCUCCAAGAGUGGUUCUUGAGCACCCGUUUUUGUUGUUCAGCAACCUCGAAGCCGUAUUGAAACCGCGGAUAUCGUUGGCUCGGAAACUAAAGGAAAUGGAGCUUGAUCCGCAGAUUAAAGGAUCGAUCAUGUUGACAGCAUUGAGGAUGACGGAAAAUCGAUUCUUGAAUGUGUUUAUUAAAUGCCAUCCACAAGAUGUGGCAAAUGAACUGUUGGAGUUCUAUAAACAUGCCAAAGGUCUCAAGCCAUUGGCCGAAUCAUCGAAAAAAAUACUGCGUAAAGGAUUUCCAUUUUGAACAUUUUCGUUUGUUUGUUUGGUGCUGUCUUCGUUUUCUUUUUGUUCAUCCAUGUCAAGGGAUAUUUCGGUUAAAUUUUCAGAUUUAUAACUUUUAUUCUCAAAGGGAUAAUGUGAGACUCAAAAUUUUGGGAUAUAAAAAGGGAUGCCUCUUCGUGUUUCAUUGGUGUUCUCUCUCUGCCUAUAUCCCUUGUACUCCUCGUGAUGAAGAGUUGAAAUUUUUUCUAUGUAUGAUGGCUGGAGGGAAUAUAGAUUAUGAAACUCCACCAUUAUUAACUUUGUACGCUCAAUUGGCACCGGUUAAAGCGUGUUUAAAGGCGUAUUUUCUUUUUAUUUAAGAGUUUAAAAGAGAUUAUGAUUUGUGAACAAUAAUUUUUUAAGGUAAAUCUAAUUCUAUAUAUUUUGACCGAUGAUUAUUUUUAUCCUUAAGGUAAAUUUGUGUUAAUUUUGGUUUGGAUGAUGUUUAUUAUUUUUAUUAAUUACUUUUCAACACGGAUAAAAUCUUGCACCAAUUAAAAUUCAUAUAUUAUUAUUAAUAAAAGAUAAAUAAACAAAUUAAAUCUUUUUAAAUGUCUUUUAUAAAUUAGUUUCUUAUUUAUUUUUAAAGUUUAUUAAAUAAUAUUAUUUUAUUUUAUAACUAAUGUAAAGUAAUAUAUAAGGUAAAAUAAUAUAAAGCUAAAAUGAAGUGAAAUGUGUUAAGAAAUGGCUUAAAAUUGGUAGUGGAUUGUUGUUGUUGGUAGUGGGUUGUUGGUGGUAGUGGAUUAGUGGAUGGUUGUUGGUGUCCAUUUUCAACCACAAAUCUUUGCCAAAGUUUUGGACAAUUAUGUCCUUGAACUCUCUUAUAAAUAGAGAGGUUCAUUAGCCAUAUAAAUCAUCCCAAACCAAGAGAGAGCAAAGCUUGUUCUUUGAAAGCUAGGAUUUUAGCUUUCGGAUUUUCUAUAGGGGUUGAGAGUUGUGAGGUUCUCGGGUUGUGUCUUGAGUGUAAAACACUUGUAAUCUUCAUCUUGUUAUAGUGAAAUUUCUUUUCGCCUCUGCCCGUGGACGUAGGCAUUAAAGCCGAACCACGUAAAUCCUUGUGUUCACUUUAUUUUUCGUUUCGGUCAAUUUACUUGUAGUCAUAUCGGAGUUCUCGAAUCGAUCCUUUCCGCAACAAAUUGGUAUCAGAGCGUAGUUGAAGGAGUGAUAAUAUUUUCUGAAUUGCCCUGUGACUGCAGCUUUGUCUGAUCUUUCACAUCAGGAAGAAAAUAUUAUCAUUCAUUCAAAGGUUCCAAAUUAUGGCUACAAGUGUUUCAUCGACUAAGUAUGAUGUCGAGAAAUUUACCGGAAAAAAUAGUUUCAGUUUAUGGCGCAUCAAGAUGCGGGCAGUGCUGGUUCAACAAGGAUUGCUAAAAGCAUUGUCUGGUAAAGAUAAAUUACCAAGCACGCUUUCGGAAGAGCAAAAGGAUGACAUGCUAGAAAGAGCACAUAGUGCUAUUCUGCUAUGUCUAGGAGAUGAAGUGCUACGAGAAGUAGCGGAUGAGAAAACCGCGUCCGGUUUGUGGCUCCGGUUAGAGAGCAAGUACAUGACGAAGUCAUUGACGAACCGGCUCUACCUCAAGCAAAGACUCUAUGCCCUGAAGAUGGAGGAAGGUACACCUGUUUCCCAGCACCUGGAUAAAUUCAAUUCCAUUAUCAUGGAUUUGAAUAAUAUCGAUAACAAAAUCGAUGAUGAGGACCAAGCAAUAAUUGUUUUGUGUUCUUUGCCUCCCUCGUAUGAGAAUUUUGUUGAUACAAUGAUGUACGGUCGUGAUGACCUGACUCUAGAGGAGGUGAAAAAUGCCUUAAGUUCCAGUGAGUUGAGGAAGAAAAUCACUGGUAAGGUGGUCGAAAACAAUGAAGGCGAAGGCUUGGUUGCUCGAGGAAGAUCCAAGGCAAAGGGUGGAAGUUCAAGUAAAAGCCAUCCUAGAUCGCAGUCCAAGAAGAGAAUACAGUGCUACUACUGUAAGAAGUACGGGCACAUGAAGGUAGAUUGUCCGAAAAGGAAGGAGAAAUCAGAAUCACAGGAGCAACAAAAUGAUCGUGCGAAUGUAGCUGAUGCAGAUUCUUCAAGUGAUGCCGAGAUCGUUCUUGCAGUAUCCGACUCUUACGCUGGUGGGAGAUGGAUUCUUGAUACGGGAGCUACAUUUCAUAUAAGUACUUCGAAAGAUGCAUUCUCAACAUACGAGAAGCAUUCUGGUUCAGUACUAAUGGGAAAUGACCACGCAUGUCAAGUCAUGGGGAUUGGCACAGUUCGUAUAAAGAUGUUUGACGGUAUUGUUAGAACUCUAACUGAUGUUCGGCACAUUCCAGAAAUGAAGAAAAAUUUGAUCUCUUUGAGUACGUUGGACAAGAAAGGCUUUCGGUACUCUGCUGAAGGUGGAGUUCUCAAGGUAUUCUCGGGUGCUUUGACUGUGAUACGUGGUAAUUUGGAGCGGGGCCUUUACUUCCUCGAUGGUUCCUCGGUUACAGGUGUUGCGGGAGUGUCAUCAUCAGAUGAUCUAGAUUCUGACACCACGAAGUUAUGGCAUAUGCGGCUCGGGCAUAUGAGCGAGAGAGGCUUAUCGGUGCUAAGCAAACGAGGAUUAUUGUCUGGGCAGUGUACAGGAAAGUUGAAUUUCUGUGAGCACUGCGUCUUCUGUAAGCAGACUCGGGUAAAGUUCAGCACUGGGAUUCACAAGACAAAAGGCACAGUGGAUUACUUCCAUUCUGACCUUUGGGGGCCUUCUCCGACAAUUUCUAAAGGUGGUUACAGAUAUCUGCUUACCUUUAUCGAUGAUUACUCGAGAAAGGUUUGGGUGUAUUUUCUGAAGAGCAAGUAUGAGGUUCUCAUCAACUUCAAGCAAUUUAAAGCUUUGAUCGAAAAUCAAACAGGAAAGAAGAUCAAGCGAUUCCGGACGGAUAAUGGCUUGGAGUUUUGCUCAGGUGAAUUCAAUGAGUUCUGCAAAAAUGAAGGAAUAGUGAGACACCGCACUGUUCGUCGAACACCACAACAAAAUGGAGUUGCAGAACGCAUGAAUAGAACUCUCUUGGAGCGAGCUCGUUGCAUGCGAUCAAAUGCUGGGCUCGGUGAAGAAUUUUGGGCUGAAGCUGUUAAUACUGCUUGUUAUUUGGUUAACAGAUCUCCGUCAACAGCUAUUGAGCUGAAGACUCCUGAGGAAGUAUGGUCUGGUUCUCCUGCUGAUUACUCUGGUUUAAGAGUGUUUGGCUGCCCUGCGUAUGCUCAUGUAAAUGAGGGAAAACUCAAACCGAGGGCGAAGAAAUGCAUAUUUCUUGGAUACGGCCAAGGGGUGAAAGGAUACAGGUUGUGGUGUCCUGAUCCGGUUUCGUCCAAGUUCAUCAUCAGCAGAGAUGUGACUUUUGAUGAGUCAUCCAUGCUUCGAUCCACCACAAAUUCCCGGGAAAAGGAGGAGUCAGAUAGAAUGGGAGAUCACGGUGUUGAGAAGCAGGUGGAGUGUCAGGUGGACGCUCCAAUUCCUACGGAAGGUACUUCAGUCCAGGAUGAUCAAGUUGAGGUGCAAGAUUCCGAUGAAGAUGAGUCACCUCAAGAAAAACCAUAUAGCAUUGCCACUGGAAGAACGAAGAGACAAAUCAAACCAAAUCCGCGUUACGCUAAUCUGGUGUCUUUCGCGCUCAGUGUGGCGGAGUCCAUUGGUAUAGAACCUUCCAGUUAUAAUGAGGCUGUCACGUGUGAUGAGUCGGCACAGUGGGCAAUUGCUAUGAGUGAGGAGAUAGAAUCUCUUCACAAGAACCAUACUUGGGAGUUGGUUAAGCCGCCAAGUAACCAGAAGAUAGUUGGUUGCAAAUGGGUCUUCAAGAAAAAGGAAGGCAUCCUAGGGGUUGAAGCAACUAGAUUCAAGGCACGAUUGGUUGCUAAAGGCUUCACUCAGAAAGAGGGGAUUGACUACAAUGAAGUUUUCUCCCCAGUCGUAAAGCAUUCUUCCAUUCGUGUAUUACUUGCCAUGGUGGCCAAGUCUGAUCUAGAACUUGAGCAGCUUGACGUAAAAACGGCGUUCUUGCAUGGUGAGCUCGAGGAAACAAUCUACAUGCGUCAACCAGAGGGUUUUACAGUUCCUGGUAAAGAAGACCAUGUCUGUCUAUUAAAGAAGUCUUUAUAUGGAUUGAAACAAUCCCCAAGGCAGUGGUACAAGCGGUUUGAUAGCUUCAUGAUUCAGCAUGGUUACACAAGAUGUGACUAUGAUGCUUGUGUCUAUCAUCGGAAGCUCUCAGAUGGUUCGCACAUUUAUUUGUUGCUGUAUGUUGAUGACAUGUUAAUUGCUUCCAAAAACAUGUCGGAAAUCAACAAGUUAAAGUCGCAGUUGAGUGGUGAGUUCGAGAUGAAGGAUCUGGGUGCUGCCAAGAAAAUUUUGGGCAUGGAUAUUCACAGAGAUCGCAAGGCGGGCAAGCUUCGUGUGUCGCAGAAGAACUACAUUGAAAAGGUUCUUCAACGCUUCGGCAUGGAUAAAGCGAAAACUGUGAGUACUCCGUUGGCACCACAUUUCAAACUCUCUGCAGAGUUGUCACCACAAUCUGAUGAAGAAAAGCAGCAAAUGUCUCACAUUCCAUACUCGAGUGCAGUUGGAAGCGUGAUGUAUGCAAUGGUUUGCACUCGUCCAGACAUUUCACAUGCAGUUAGUGUGGUCAGCAGAUACAUGAGUUGUCCUGGCAAGGAACACUGGCAGGCCGUGAAAUGGAUUCUCAGGUACUUGAGAGGUUCUGCAGAUUUAUGCUUGGUAUAUGAUCAGAGUGACUGCACUAGCAGUGUCACGGGCUAUGUGGACUCUGAUUAUGCUGGAGAUCUGGACAAAAGAAGAUCUCUGACGGGUUAUGUUUUCACUUAUUCUGGAGGAGCCAUUAGUUGGAAAGCUGUGUUACAGUCUACCGUAGCCUUAUCUACGACUGAGGCGGAAUAUAUGGCGUUAGCAGAAGCAGUGAAAGAAGCAUUGUGGAUGAAAGGUCUAGUAAGCAGUUUGGGUUUACAACAGGAUUUCACUGUUGUAUUUUGCGAUAGCCAGAGUGCCAUACAUCUGACUAAAAAUCAGAUGUUUCAUGAACGGACCAAACACAUUGAUGUCAGAUAUCAUUUUGUUCGGGAACAUGUUACGCAAGGUGACAUUGUUAUCAGCAAGGUUGCUACCGAGAAGAAUCCUGCAGAUAUGUUAACUAAGGUGAUCCCUGCAUAUAAGUUCAAGCAUUGCUUGGACUUGAUAGGUAUUCGGGAUUGAUUAGCGCCAGAGAGGCGUUUGGAAGAGGUGAUCCAGUUCGAGGAAUUCACUAUGAUGUUCAGCUUGGUAAAUUUCAAGCCAAGGUGGAGAUUUGUUAAGAAAUGGCUUAAAAUUGGUAGUGGAUUGUUGUUGUUGGUAGUGGGUUGUUGGUGGUAGUGGAUUAGUGGAUGGUUGUUGGUGUCCAUUUUCAACCACAAAUCUUUGCCAAAGUUUUGGACAAUUAUGUCCUUGAACUCUCUUAUAAAUAGAGAGGUUCAUUAGCCAUAUAAAUCAUCCCAAACCAAGAGAGAGCAAAGCUUGUUCUUUGAAAGCUAGGAUUUUAGCUUUCGGAUUUUCUAUAGGGGUUGAGAGUUGUGAGGUUCUCGGGUUGUGUCUUGAGUGUAAAACACUUGUAAUCUUCAUCUUGUUAUAGUGAAAUUUCUUUUCGCCUCUGCCCGUGGACGUAGGCAUUAAAGCCGAACCACGUAAAUCCUUGUGUUCACUUAUUUUUCGUUUCGGUCAAUUUACUUGUAGUCAUAUCGGAGUUCUCGAAUCGAUCCUUUCCGCAACAAAAUGUUUCUAACCUCGUACAAUAUUUCAACUUGUUGUAAUACCAGUAUCCAGUGNNNNNNNNNNNNNNNNNNNNNNNNNNNNNNNNNNNNNNNNNNNNNNNNNNNNNNNNNNNNNNNNNNNNNNNNNNNNNNNNNNNNNNNNNNNNNNNNNNNNNNNNNNNNNNNNNNNNNNNNNNNNNNNNNNNNNNNNNNNNNNNNNNNNNNNNNNNNNNNNNNNNNNNNNNNNNNNNNNNNNNNNNNNNNNNNNNNNNNNNNNNNNNNNNNNNNNNNNNNNNNNNNNNNNNNNNNNNNNNNNNNNNNNNNNNNNNNNNNNNNNNNNNNNNNNNNNNNNNNNNNNNNNNNNNNNNNNNNNNNNNNNNNNNNNNNNNNNNNNNNNNNNNNNNNNNNNNNNNNNNNNNNNNNNNNNNNNNNNNNNNNNNNNNNNNNNNNNNNNNNNNNNNNNNNNNNNNNNNNNNNNNNNNNNNNNNNNNNNNNNNNNNNNNNNNNNNNNNNNNNNNNNNNNNNNNNNNNNNNNNNNNNNNNNNNNNNNNNNNNNNNNNNNNNNNNNNNNNNNNUAGUGUGGUCAACAAAUGCAUUCACAUUCUUUCUCCUUCCAACUAUUUCCAUCAAUAACAUUCCAAAACUAUAAACAUCGGCUUUGUAUGAGAUGCCUCCAAGAUUUUUGUAAACCAAUUCAGGAGCAAUAUAUCCUAUUGUUCCUCGUGCUGCAAUGAGAGAGACAAUGCUAUCAUCUACUGAAUACAAUUUAGCAAGGCCAAAAUCGAGAACUUUUGGAUUAAAAUUCUCAUCAAGAAGAAUAUUGUGUGGCUAGUUAUCAAAAUGUAGAACUUACCCAAAAGCUCGUUUUUUAUUCGAAAAUAUUAAUAAUGUUUUUAAUUGAUAUUUUACAUAUUUCUAUAAUUAAAUUUAAAUUUUAAAAUUUUUGUAUUAUUUAAAUUAAAAUAAAAAUAUUUAUCCAAGCCUAACCCAAAUCGAGUUGGGCCGGGUGGGCGAUCCGGUCAUGAUAGGAAAGGAAAAAAAAGGAAAGACGAAGCCUAAACAGGCAGUGUGCAGCCCACUAAAUUUAUUUUAAUUUUACAUACAUUCCAUAUUAUUAUUUAGGGAUAAUAUAAUUUUUGACCCCUAAUCUUGAUAGUUAGGUGGACUUUAGUACAUAUGUCUUUUUUGUUCUACUUUGACACUUGAACUUCACAAUUAAGUAUAUUUUGGUUCCUAAACUUAAAAAUUUUGAAAGUUUUAUGAUGCAACUCUCUGAGAUUGUGUUACAUCAUCACUUAAAAAUUAAAAUAUAUAUUUAUAUAUCAUCUAUUGAGCCUGCCCAAUCAUUGUCAACAAAACCAAGGAGCUUCAUGCUGUCAACCUUGAUAAACAUCAUCCCAAAGCUUAGAGUACCUUUGAUGUACCUGAUAACUCUCUUACCAGCUUGAAAAUGGCUCACAUUGCAGCAAUGCAUGACCCUGGACAGGAGGCUGACUGCAAACAUUAUGUCUGGUCUUGUGGCUGUCAAGUACAGAAGGCUACCUUCUCGAAAUCACCCUGGCUGGUCAACUUUUCUCCAAUAGCAACUGGUGUGCUAGUUGCUUUACUGUUCAACAUGGAGAACCUGUUUAGAAUUUUCAAGGCAAAAGCCUUUUGGCUUGGGAAAAUCCCUUGUUUAUUCUGAGAUACUUCCAUACCAAGGAAAUAGGUCAUUUCUCCUAAGUCUGACAUCUCAAACAUGCUCUCCAUUUUUCCUUUAAAGUCUGUCAACAUAGCAUUGUUACUUCCUGUCACUAGCAAAUCAUCCACAUCGCUUUUUCAUCGUCAGAAGGCAAUAAUUGUAUACACCAAAAGGUUGUUAUUAUCAUCUUCUUCACCAUUGCUUUUUCAUCGUCAGAAACAUCUCUUAACUCCAUGUCCCCUCCUUGAUCCAAUCUGUCAUCAAUCCAUGAUGGAAAAUAUAUCUGACUAGUGUCGUCAACAAAAGCAUUUUCAUUCUUUCUCCUUCCUAUCAUUUCCAUCAACAACAUUCUAAAACUAUAAAUACCGGCUUUGUAUGAGAUGCCUCCAAGAUUUUUGUAAACCAAUUCAAGAGCAAUAUAUUCUAUUGUUCCUCGUGCCACAGUGAGAGAGACAAUGCUAUCAUCUAUAGAAAACAAUUUAGCAAGAUCAAAAUCGAAAACUUUUAAAUUAUAAUUCUCAUCAAGAAGAAUAUUGUGUGGUUUAAUACCAAAAUCAAAAACUUUUGGAUUAUGUUGAUAAGUAUUAGUCCCAUAUGCAUGGGAGAGUAUUAAGUUGAAAUAUUAAAUUUAGAGUUUAUUAUAAUAAUUUUUUAUUCAAACGGUUUAUUCUAACAAGAGCGGAAACUUUUAUAAUUUAAUACAAUUAAUUUUAUUAUUUUAUAAUGAAAAGCAAAAGAAAAAGAAGAUUUUAAAUUGUAAAAAAAAUUUAAAUAAAUUUGGACCUUAUACUUGUAGAUAAACCUUUAUCAAUUUAAUAAAUUCCAACUAUAAUGUGGAUGACCAAGAGAAUGCACGUCUUAAGUCUUCAUUGAAACACAAAAGCAUUUAAGUCUUUGAGUUUUUAUAUCAUCGCUUUGGUCCUUUUGUGUUAUGUAAGUCGAGCUAGGCAUAUUCCACCCAACCCAUGGAUCACGCUAGACGAGAUUUCAUGUCUAAUUGUAUAGAUCUUUUAUUUUAGUCGACAACUACUCAAGUAUUUUUAAAAUAUUUUUUAAUAUAAUUACAUAGGUUGUUGAUUUUAUUUUAUAAUCUCUUUUUAUUUUGCUUAAUUUUAAUUUUAUUUUUCAAUUCUAAACUCCUUUAUUUUUAUUUUACAUGUUGAUUAAAGAAAUAAAAUUAUCGCCUUUCUUUAUGGAUAUGACCUUACUUGUUGCUAUCUACUAAUUUUAUAUUUUUUAAGUAGGUUUUUAUUGUUAUAGAUCUCCACAACUUAACAAAUAAGAAUUUGAGCCCAAAGAGAUAUUGAAUUUGGUGGUGCAAUAGAAUAUUUUCAUUGCUUUUGUGCAAUUCUAAACAUUCAUAACACUACUACGCCUAUUAGGAACAUAAAACAAAAAUAAAGAGAUCCCAUUGAAAAAUCCAAGUCCAUGGAACAGAGAGUAGAUUUCUUGGAUAUUCUCAUAUUCAAGUUCACACCUACAAUAACCACACUGGCGAGAUUGUUUUUUCAAUCGCACGGCAUAAAUGUUAAUUAAGUUCCCAAGAGCGGCAAAGCAUGAAAGAAUAAAUUUAGAAACAAAUCAAAAGCGGCCAUUAGGUGGCUAAACAAAGGGAGUUUUUUCCUAUAAUUUGGGAUGCUCGCUGCAAACUUUGAUAGGGAACAAAAAUAUAAAUCUGCCGACAUAUACAACACACAUGAUAAGAUACUACAUACGUAUAAAAGAAAAUUAAUAUAAAACUAUAAAGGUGAGAUAAUGAAAUGAGAUAUUUCCAACCUCAUUAGACAUUUGAAUUAAUUAUAGUAACAGCCGAGGAUGAUGUACUUGGCUUAUCAACAGAGCUCUCACAACCAUGGACUUCCAUCGAUGUCUCAAGAGGAAGUUGAUGGAAUGGCUUAGGAGGUAUCUCACAGAGUUCAAUAUCUCCUUCAAGCAUCUUUAGUACUUUGCUCAUUGAAGGACGAUCAAUAGGUAAUAAUUGUAUGCACCAAAAGGCUGUUAUUAUCAUCUUUCUCACCAUUACUUUUUCAUCAUCAGAAACAUCUCCCAGCUCCAUGUCCUCUCCUUGAUCCAAUCGGUCAUAAAUCCAUGAUGGAAAAUAUAUUUGACUAGUGUGGUCAGCAAAUGCAUUCACAUUCUUUCUCCUUCCAACUAUUUCCAUCAAUAACAUUCCAAAACUAUAAACAUCGGCUUUGUAUGAGAUGCCUCCAAGAUUUUUGUAAACCAAUUCAGGAGCAAUAUAUCCUAUUGUUCCUCGUGCUGCAGUGAGAGAGACAAUGCUAUCUUCUACUGAAUACAAUUUAGCAAGGCCAAAAUCGGAAACUUUUGGAUUAAAAUUCUCAUCCAGAAGAAUGUUGUGCGGCUUGAUAUCAAAAUGUAGAAUUUGCAUGUCACAUCCUUGAUGCAAGUAGUGAAUUCCUUGAGCCACACCAAGCACAAUAUCAAACAAUUUUUUCCAACCCAAAGUGUUCUUAUUUUCUUCUGUAAAUAUGAUUUUAUCUAAAGAUCCAUUAGGCAUGAAAUCAUAUACCAAAGCUUGCUUUGAUCUCCCUACGCAAAAUCCAAUAAGUUUAGCCACAUUAGCAUGAUGAAUUCUCCCGAUAGAAGCAACUUCAUUUAUAAAAUCUUGGCCGUUCCCCUUUGACUUAUCUAACAGUUUUAUAGCCACAUGAUGUCCACUACGAAGCUUUCCCUUAAACACCGAACCAUAGCCCCCUUCACCUAGUUUAUUUUUAAAAUUUUUAGUCAUUUUUUUAAUUUCUUUGAAAGAAUAUCUAAUUGGUGCUAGAUUGUGGCUUUGAAGAAACUCUUCAAUCUUAUCAUCCAUGGAUAAAUGUCUUCUUCUCCAUUUGUAGAUAACAAGGCCAGACAAACAAAGUAUCCCAGUCAAAACCCUCAAUAUGAUGACCCCAACUUCAAAAACAAGAAAGUAUUGUAGAACAUUAGUACUUUGUGAGGUCAAAAACGAAUUAUCUACAUUCUCAAAAUGUCUAUACACGUGACAAUCGCGUGCUCCCUUAAAAGAUAAAAUUAAGAUAGAUUUAAAUUUUUUAAAAAGUGGUUUGUAGUUUUUAUAACUUAAAAUCAAAUUAUUAAUAUAAAGAAUCUUUCAUUUUUUUCUCAAAUUAAAUGUGGAUAUAUAUAUAGUUUUUUUUCCCCUAUUUCUCAAUGUCUUGGAUAUAUAUAAAAUUGAGGCCAUAAGUAUACCUGUUACAACAAAACAAGUAUGAUCGGUAUCUGUGGAAACACAAAAACAAAAAGAUACAUCAAUAUUACCAGAGAGUAAAAAGUUCAAAGAUCAGUAAAAAACAAAUAAAACCUGCAAAUCACACCAUCUCAUCAGCCGACCCAAAAAAAAAAAAACCAUACCAUGAUAGUAAUAAAUUACAGCUGAAAUGCACCCAAAAUAGACACUGAUGUGAUAUGACACCGCGCACAAUCUGCAGUAUUCAGCACACCUAAAUAAGCCAAGCUAUUGUAGAUGGGACCAAUGAGUUAAACAUAAGAGUAAAUUUUAUGCAACACUGUAUUAACAUUUCUUUUUAAUGUAUUUUAUAUUAAAAUUACAAUAUAUAUAAAGUUACAAAUUUUAUUGUGAAAAAAAAAAGUAAAAGGGAUCAAAUUAGCUUAUUAUAAAAGUAGAUUAUGUUAUAUGUACCCAAAAGAAAUUUUGGCAGAUUGUCUUCUAAGAUUAUACAAAAAUUAUUAACAACUGAGUAUUAAUAACAUAUCAAAUAUUACAACAGUUAAUUUACGUAUUUUUAUAGUAAGAAGUAUGCAACAUCUAUUGCAUACAAAUUUUUUGUGUUUCGAAAAUAAAAGAUAUUAUCUAAACUAAAAAUUGUAAAAGAAAGAAAUGUUUGUUUAUAAUUUAAAAAAUUAAUUAUUUUAAGUAAUUUAAAUAAAGCUAAAUUAAGUUGGAGAAGAUAGUAAAUAUAAUUGAAUGUAUAAUAAUACUUUGUUAUUUUUAAAAUUUGUUGAUGUGACAUUAUUUUACUGGUGCAUAAAACUAUACUUUUUAGAAUUGUACUAAUAUUUAAAGAAGGUAUAAUUACCAAAUAAGUUAAUAGAAUAAAAGAAGACAAAACAGCAGAGGCAGUUGCAUUCAAUUUAAAGAAAAAUGUUUUUUUAAUAAAAAUUUAAAUUUACAAAUUUAAUAAAAUUAUAUAUUUAAUUUUUAUUAAUAUAUAUAGUGAAACAGGCCAUUAAAUUUCUAUUAAUAAAAGUUGUUGCCGUAAUUAUAGUAAUUACUACUAAAAAGCUAUGAAGGUAUUUUUUUCUAUGAUUGGGAAGUGCACAGAUUUUACGAACAAAAACAUCAUCUUUAAUUAGCUAAUAAAAUUUAAUUGCGAAAAAGAACAUAAAAGAAAUAGGUAGGUCAUACAAAAAGCAGAGGCAGAUACUAAAUUAGAAAUGCUAUUAGGUUUUUUUUUUUUUUUCAUUUGAUUGUUAUGUCUUAAUAAAUUAUAGGUAAAAAAAACAUGAGAAUUAGCAUGAUGAGAUUUAAUUGUGAAAAAAUAAUAACAUGAAAUAAAAGAAAAAUAAGUAAGUCAUACAAAAAGCAAAGGCAAAUGUUUUAACUAAAAAUAUCAGUUUGAUGAUGUAAAGAGCGAUGCACACUCAGAAUAUAAUUGAAAUCGUUGAAGAAACCUACACUUCUGUAAACCAAUUUUUGUUUUCAUUGCACUGGUAGUCAUGCCAGUAUCUAAUUGUCCAAAAAGAAGACAAAACAGCAGAGAAAGCAGAGGCAGAUACUAAAUUAGAAAUGCUUUUAGUUCAUUUGAUUGUUAGAUGUUGAUCAAUUUUAGAUGCAAAAUCAUCAUACUUAAUUACCAUCAUAAUAUUUAAUUGUGAUAAAUGUAACAUAAAAUAAAACAAAACAAAAAGUAGAUGUUGUAACUAAAAAUUCCAGUAUGAUUCACACUCAAAAUGCAAACUUAAAUUAUUAAAGAAACUUACAUAUCUUUAAACCAAACUUUGUUUUUAUUGUAGUAGCUACUCUCGCUAUCCCAUCCACUCCAUACGACCCAAAAACCCUCUGAUAGUUUUUUGUAGAUAUCCAGCGUAGACAUGCCUGUUAUACUAUUAACCAUAAUUGGAACCUCCGCUUCGAUAGUGCAAGCUUGAUUGAUAUCAGAUGGGUGGGUGUUUCCAUUUAAAAAAUAGAAAUGGGAAGUUGGAAGGGAAGAGGAGGUAUUGGAUUUGAUGGUACAACGAGAAGCCUCAAUAUAAAGUGAUGAUUUUAUAGGUUUCGUGCAAUUCAUAACAUAAAUAAUGCUACUCUCUAACCUUCCAUAAUCAUUAUGAUAAUAAUAAUGAUAAUUAUAAUAAUAAUAAUGAUAAUAAGUAUUAUAAGAAAAAUAAUCUACAGAAGUAAGAGGAAGGGAGUUGCAAUCAUCCGUGUCCAAGCUCGCAUCCACCAUUUGUAUUGUAUAAUUUUCGUAAAAGAUUUGUUGGACAGAUAAUUUCCCUCCUCUCCCAACCAAAGUGGUGCGAUUGUUAUUCUCACACUCAAGUUCAAAGCCAUAAGGACUACAGUGGAGAGGUUGGUUUUUUAAUCGGAAUGGAAAACUGAUAUUCAAAUUCCCACAGAAAGUAGAGCCGCAGUCAAGAUGCCUAGCAAAACAAACAGCAGGAAAUAGAAUUACAAAUAAAGCAAAAGCGGGCAUUAGGUGACCCAACAAUGGCAGUUUUGCUUUUAAUUUUGGCAUGCUAAAAUUUUGGGUAAGGAAGAAGAACAAUAAUGGGGGUUAAUGAUUAAGUUUCUAACUAAAUCAGGGAAAUAUAUAAGAAAACUUCAGUGGGAGAAGAAGCAUUAAUGGGGACACAAGACUUUGACUACUCUUCAGCUUUAUUUGGGAUGAAUAUUUUAUUUUCAAUAAAUUGUUUACACCUUUUAUUCUUUUAUCUUUUUUCUGGGAAACACCUCAAUCAAAUCACAUCUAAUUCCAAGAACAGUGCCAUGCAAGCAAAAGAAAAAGAAAUUUUAAUAUUAUUGAAAAAAUUUUAAAUAAAUUUGGACCAUAUGCUUGUAGAUCAACCUUUAUCACCUUAAUAAACUCCAAUUACAAUGAGGAGGACCAAGAGAACGCAAGUCUUUAGUCUUUUUUGAAGCACAAAAACAUUUAAGUGGCUGGGAACAACCUUUUGUGUUAUGUAAGACAACUAUUUGUUGCAUCUUUCUAAAAAGUAAGUUCAUAGUUAGAAGUGUCAAGCAAGGCGGCUCAAUGCCCAAUUGUAUAGAUUCUUUUUAUUUUAUUCCACGAAUACUUAACUACUUUUCAAAUAAUUACUUGAAUUUAAAAUAAAACAAAUUAAAUAUAAGAUAUAAUUUCUAUUUAUUUAAGUUUAAAUUCAAAACUAAAUUCUAUUUCUAAAUUUUAAUUAUCUAAAACAAUCGACUUAAAUUAAUUUAAAAACUUAAAUUUGAAAAUACAUGAAGAGACUUCAAAUUCCGUUUUAUUUUAAAUGAAAUCAGUUUAGCAUAGAGGUGUCUAUGGAUCAGGUCAAGUCGAACCGAAGUUCAGCUUCAAACAAUUUCUAAGUCCUAGCCUGUUUUUGAUCCAACUCACCCAAAAGCUCGAUUUUUAUUCGAAAAUAUUAAAAAUGUUUUUAAUUGAUAUUUUACAUAUUUUUAUAAUUAAAUUUAAAUUUAAAUUUAAAUUUUUUAUUAUUAUUUAAAUUAAACUAUAAAAAUAUUUAUCCAAACCUGAACUAAAUCGAGUUAGGCCGGGUGGGCGAUCCGGUCAACACAGGAAAGGAAAAAAAGGAAAGACGAAUCCUAAACAGGCAGUGUGCAGCCCACUAAAUUUAUUUUAAUUCUACAUGCAUUCCAUAUUAUUAUUUAGGAAUAAUAUAAUUUUUGACCCCUAAUCUUAAUAGUUAGGUGCACUUUAGUACAUAUAUCCUUUUUGCUCUACUUUGACACUUGAACUUCACAACUAAAUAUAUUUUGGUUCCUAAACUUAAAAAAUAUGAAAGUUUUAUGAUGCAACUCUCGGAGAUUGUGUUACAUCAUCACUUAAAAAUUAAAAAUAUAUAUUUUUAGAGAAUGGCGUGGUACAAUCUCUAAGUGUCACAUUCAUUAUUUUAAUAAUCAAAUUGAUAAUUGAACCAGUCAGACCACUACUACUCGAUUCAACUAGUUUGAUCAGUUCGACUGUCGGACCAAUAAUAAUUAAAUAAAUCAUUAAACAUUCAUAAAGUUCGAAAAAAAUAGAAAACAAGAUUUAUUAAACAGAUUAAACAUCGUCAACAGCUGGGGUUUUUCUUAGUUUUUUUUUACCAAUUUCAAGUUUUUUUUUAUUUAAUUGAUUCAACCUCUUUGUUCAAACCAUUAUACUGAUCGACUCUCAAUCCCAUCAGUCUAACCAUCCAAUCCACUCCUAUACUAGUAACACUGAUCACAUUAUCAAAUCUUAAUAGAAUUCAAGUUUAAGAGACCAUAAUAGACUUGGUUGCCAAGUCUAGAUGCCACAGUGGACCAAAAGAUUUACAAGUACCAAAGUAAACCUAAUUGUCAAGUUCAGGGCCAAAAUUUAUAUUAUCCUUUAUUUUUAUUAGUUUCACUACAAAAAUUAUAAGAGUUUUACAAAUUGCACAAAAAGAAAACCUGAAAAACAGAAUAGGUGCUUGAGGUAGAGUUUAUAUAUAAUUGGUAAAAAUACCAAGGAAGCUCCUGUACCUAGUGGUAAAUUGUAUUUCGGUUCAUCUACUGAAAAAUGGAAAAUUUAGUUUUUAUACAUUUUGAAAUGUGAAAAUUCUAUUAAAUGAUGACUUGGACAAGUGGAAAAUUAUUAUUUACUAGUAAACUAUAAAAAUGGUCACUCAACUAUUAAUUUUUUCGAUUUAGUCGCUAAACUUUUCAAAAUUAAAUAUUUUAAUUACCUUGAGCUUAUGUGGUUUUUUUUAUUAGUCUAGUAACAAAAUUAUCCCACUAAUAUUUACAUAUUUUAUCAAUUUGGUCUUAAACAUAAAAAAAUUAAUAAAUUUGGCCCUCCAUAUUUACAAAAUUGACCAAUUUAAUCCUAACUAUAAGAUUUUCUUAAAUAUUUCUUAAAAAAAAUAUUUUUAGCCAUUUAUAACACAUCCCAUGUGAGAUAUUAAAAUAAGAAAAAAAAUUAUCCUCUUUUAAAUCACUUGUAAAAAAAUUCGAAAAAUUCAGGAUAAAACACCAAAAAAUUUAAGAUCCAAAAGAAAACAAAUGCAUUAAAAACGUUAUUUGUACAGGUAGUACUAUAGCCAUUUAGUCUAAAUAGGUUCAAAAUCAAUUGGUUUGGUCCAAUGUGAAGUAUAAAUUAUAGUAAAAGAAAUUGUUACAAGUGACAUGAAAGAGGAUGCUAUUUUUCUUAUUUUAAUAUCUGACAUGGAUUAUCCCGGUGAAUUAUAAAAGACUAAUAAUGAUUUUUUAAAAUAUAUACAUUUAAUUUUUAAAUAUAUAUAAUAAAUUUUCUAACUGCAAAUAUAUAUAUAAAAAGUCAACAACAUUAAAAAUACCAAAUUAAGGGAAAACUUUGCAAUUUUAUGAAGGUUGAGGUGUAGCAUGCUAUGUUCCUAGCAUUUAAAACAAGUACUUGAACUUCAUACCAUGGUAUGUUCCUUAUGAUAUUGCAAACACCGUCUUAAUUAUAUUUAUGGCAUUUGUGGUAUAAUAUGAUACCAGGGAAGAAAGUUAGGUAAGAAAUUAAAAUUUUAUAUAAAAAUUAAAUAAUACUUUAAUUGAAAUGGUAAUAUUAAAAUUUUGAUAUGUAUAUGUUUCCGGUUCAAAUUUUAUCAUAGUAUUAUUUUAUUAAAAAGAUAUGAAAAAAUAAGAACACUCUCAUAUUUAAUAUUUCUUACUUUGUAUAUGAAAUGAUAUUUUAGUAAUAUCUCAAUUGAUUUCAUGACUAAUUGACUCAUGAUACGAACUCAACCAAAAAUUUAAUUUAAGUAUAGAUUUAACAAGUACUUAAUAGUAAUAUCCCUAACUAUGUAACUUGAAACCCAAUAAAUCAAACCUAGACCUACCCAUGGGUCGGGGCCACUAAGCCUAGUCGAAGCCCUACCUGAAAAAUGGGUUUGGGAAAAAAUAAUGCAUGUUUAGAAAACAAGUCGAGCCUUAAGUAAGACUUUUUUGUUUAGGCUCAGCCCAAAUUUGUAAAAAAAAAUUGUUGUUUUCUCACUGCCUUACUGUCAUUUCACUAUUAUGUUGCUACUAUUUUAUUAUUAUUGUUUGGAUAUUAUAUAAUUCUUAUUUUAUUGUUAAUUUUGCUACUAUUUUAGAGUCAUUUUCUUGUCAAGUUGCACAUAUUUUAGUGUUUUUUAAGUACAAAUAUUUUUAAUUUAUUUUCAAUUUGUUGAAAAACAUUUGUUUUAAUGUUUUUAGUGUUCUUGAUUAAUUAUAUAUUUUUAAAUGAUAUAAAAAAAUUUAAUACGGGUGAGCCGGUCUUGACUUGGGUUUUAUCAUUUUUAUUUAGGUUAGCUUGAACAAAAUUUUAGGCUCAUUUUUUAGGUCAAGCCGAACCCGAACCUAUCAAAUAGGUCUAAAAUUUUGUCAAAACCCAACUUGACUCAUGGACAGAUCUAAUCAAACAUACGUAAUUUCCAUUUCUUUAAAAAAAUCUUUCAUUAAAAAUUUUAAUUUUACUAAAUUCAAUUUAAAAAAAACAAGUUUAAUUUAAUCUCAUUCAUCAUUUCCUUUAUAGAAUAAUACUUAAUAUACUAUUAGAAUAUGAGUCUCAGACACUAUAAAUGAAUAGUAAUAAUAAAAUAGAUUAUUAUUGGGUAAAAAUAAUAAUGAAAAAUUUAUAAAUAAAUAUUAAAAAUCUUGUUAAUAUUAAAUAAGAAAAAUAAUAUAACAAUUAUACUACAUUUGAUUGGAGUAUUAUUUUCUUUCACAUGUUUUAGUCAUCUGUUAGAUAUAAAUUAAUCACAAUUGGUAAUUUUUAAGGGUAAUUAUACCAACAGUCAUUCAAAUUUGAUACAGCUGACAAAACAGUAACUUAGGUUUUAAUUCAGUCACUCAACUUUCAAAAAAUGACAAAACUGUCCUUUUAACCAUUUUUAUUAUAGACAUAACAGAAAAGUGACAUGGCAGUUGACGGCUUCCUUGUUGUCAUUAACCAACCAGUUGGACACUAAGCAACAAUUUAAACAACCCCUUUUAGCAUCACUUUAGGGUUUAGGCAAUAGAAGAAGAAGAAGAAGAAGAGGAAGAAAAAAUAGAAAGUUGCACCAAUUUGGGGACCUAAGUAAUACCAGAAAUCCAUUAGAAUUUCUGGAUUUGGCAUCAUGAUGACUGAAGCUCCUCAAAGUUGCAAAGUUCCUUUGCCUUCCUUGACUAGGAAAGUCCCUUUCCAGUAGCCGCUUUAUUUCAAGCUUGGAUUUUGCUUCGCCUAUAUCAAUAGAUGCAAACUUGAGCAGAGUGGAGAUAAAAAUUUGGGUUUGUGGGCAUUGUAUUAAGACCUUGGUUGACUCCAACUCAGUUUAAAUAGGAAAGACACCACGGUAGGGAUCGAGAAUUCGACAGCUUAAGGUUGUAGUCAAUGCAACAAGCAUUUGAAUGCUUAUCAAGGGUCUAAGUAACCUCUUCAUGAGAACAGUCACAUUGGAGGGAUGAUAAAUAAAGUUUGCUAAGUAUGGCCAAAAUAAGAAAAAAAAGUACAGAUCUUGGAUAAAUUUGUAUCAGAUUUAGACCUAUCUUCAGGUUUAGUAGACCUAUAUUCAGAUUUAGACCUAUCUUCAGGAUUAGGACCUUGGUUGACUCCAACUCAGUUGAAAUAGUAAAGACAUCGUGGUGGGGAUCGACAAUCCGACAGCUUAAGGUUACAGUCAAUGCAACAAGCAUUAAGAAGGAAAAAAGUACAGAUCUUGAAUAAAUUUGUAUCAGAUUUAGACCUAUCUUCAGGUUUAGUAGAUUUUGACAUCCCAAAUAGAGAAAGGCGUUUAAUCACAAAAAAGAUGUUAUCUCAGUAUUGGAUUUUACAGGAAAUGAAGAAAAAAUAUCAGAUCUUCCUCAUGAAAUGAGAAAUAAUUUCUUAUUUUUGAAUAAAACCUAGAAAGAUGAAAAGAUGAAAUCUUGAAGUGAGAAAUCUCGCAACAAAGUGAAAUGAAAAUUGCAGAUGAAAAAUACCAAUCAAUUUCUAACCCUUAACCCUGUUAAUCGAUUUUUAAUUUGAUUUUUUAAUCCUUAACCAACCUUGAACCCUGAAAUUGAUUUCUAACCCAACACUCUGGUUUGUUAACUAUUGUUUCUAAUCCACAAUAGCAACAACUAAAGGAAGAAGAAAAAGUAUAUCGGGGAAAAAAACGUUAACGGUUUUACAGUCUCUUCUUCUUCUUCUUCUUCUUCUUCUUCUUCUUCUGUUAUUAGGGUUUUUUUCUAUUUCUUCUUAAAUUGGGAAGGUUUCCACGUGGACAUAUCCAACGUGGGUAGUUCGUUGGCCAUGUUAGCUAGUUAACUGGUCACAUCACUUGUCUCCUUAGGUCUGUAACGGAAAAUAUUAGUAGGUGACUGAUUUGUCACUUUUUGGUAACGUUAGUGACCAGUUUGUCAAUUUUUAAAGUUGAGUGACUGAAUUUAAACCUAAGUGACUGUUUUGUCAACUGCAUCGAAGUUGGAUGAUUGUUGGUGUAAUUUACCCAAUUUUUAACCACUCUAUGACUUGUUUAUGAUAAAAAAGAGCAAAAUUUUUUGCUUAUUUUGAAGGGAUCUUAUUUUUUAAGUUUUUACUCUCUUUUUUAAUUCCUAUAUAAUUUGUACUAAUUAUUUUAAAACAUGUGUUAAAUAAUUUUUUUGUGAAAAUAGAAUGUUGGUAAUGACAAUAAAUCACAAAGAAAAGAGAAAUAAAAAUAAAGAACACAUAGAUUUUUACGUAGAAACCCUUUCGGGAAAAAACCACGAGCAGAGGAGAAGAAAGUUUAUUAUGUCGAAUUUGAAUGAUUUACAAGAGGAGUUUCGACUACAUCUAUUUAUAGGUUGAAAAAAAACUAAUUCUAAUCAAAGUCAAAUAUAUUAUGCUAAUAAAUGCUAAAUAUAUUAUGCUAAUAAAUGCUAAAUAUAUUAUACUCAUAAAUACUAAAUUUUCUAAAAAGAAGAUAUAUUUUGUUUAACUCGACUUGCAAGCAAUCUCUUAGAAUUUGGGUCACACAACUCUAGUAAUCUCCACCUUGACACGAAUUCUCAAUGAACAAUUUCUUCAUCGAGAACUCUCAACAAACAAGUUUUUCACCUCUUCUAUAAAACCCCUUAAAGGUUUAACUUCAACAAAGAACACUAAUCAAGUCUAAGCAAUGCUCAAACUUGGUUAUAGGAAGUGACUUAGUCAUCAUAUCUACAGGAUUUUCAUGAGUACUAAUUUUGCUCACAACAAUAUCAUCACGAGCAAUAAUAUCACGAACAAAAUGAUACCGAACAUCCAUGUGUUUUGUUCUCUCAUGGAGCAUUUGAUCUUUUGUAAGGAAGAUGGCACUCUGACUGUCACAAAAUACUAUAUUGAUUUGAAGGUCUUCAUUGAGAUCACUAAAGAGUCUCUUCAGUGGUUGAUAAAGUAACUGUAGUUUGCAAAGUGGCUUUCCAAUUGAUUGCACAACCUCCAAUUAUAAAGACAUAACCUAUGAGAGAUAUUCUUCUAUCAAGGUCUCCAGCAAAAUCAGCAUCAACAUACCCAAUGACUCCAUCUCUAGUUCUUCCAAACUGUUAGGAAACAUCAGCAAUACCUCGUAAGUAUCUUAAAAUCUACUAAACUGUUUUCCAAUAUUUUUUACCGAGAUUCACCAUGUAUCUGCUAACUGCACUAACUGCAUAUGAUAAAUAUGGACAUGAACAAACCAUAACAUACAUAAGAGAUCCUACUGUACUAGAGUAUGGAACAUGUGACAUGUACUCAAUCUCAUCAUCUGAUUGUGAAGACAAAGCUGAUGAAAGUCUGAAAUGGGCUGUUAAAAGAGUACUAGCAGGCUUAGCAUUCUGCAUAUUGAAUCUGGUAAGAACUUUCUCAAUCUACCCCUUUUGACUUAGGUACAAUUUACUUGCUUUUCUAUCUCUGAGAAUCUCCAUAUCAAGUAUCUUCUUUGUUGGUCCCAAAUUUUUCAUUUUAAACUCUUCACUUAGUUAGGCUUUGACCUUUCUUAUCUCUCCUUUAUCUUUUGUUGCUAUCAACAUGUCAUCAACAUAAAUGAGUAGAUACACAAAAGAACCAUCACUGUUUUUCUUAAAGUAAACACAACUGUCAAAGCUACUUUUUUUAAAAUCAUGAGAAGUUAUAAAGGAACCAAACCUUUUGUAACACUGUUUUGCUAACUGUUUCAAACUGUAAAGGGAUUUUUUUAGCAAGCAAACAUAGUCCUCUUUUUCUGAGACUGUAAAACCCUCUGGUUGUUACAUGUAAAUAUCCUCCUCAAGUUCUCCAUGCAAAAAUACAGUUUUUACAUCUAACUAUUCAAGCUCUAAAUCAUGUAUAGCCACAAUGCCAAGCAAAGCUCGAAUCGAACUAUGUUUCACAAUUGGGGAGAACACAUCUGUGAAGUCCACUCCUAAAAUUUGACUGUAACCCUUUGCAACAAGUUUUGUUUUGUAUCUAGGUUCUUCAACUCCUGGAGUCCCUUCUUUCUCUUUAAACACCCAUUUACAAUGAACAACUUUUUUACCGUUAGGAAGUUUCACAAGAUCGUAUGUUUUGUUUUUGUGGAGUGAUUUCAUCUCCUCUUGCAUAGCAAACAUCCACUUUUUUUAGUCUUCAUAGCUAAACGCAUCAGAAUAAUUAGAUGGCUCUUGAUUUGCAUCUAUAUCUUCAGCCACAUUUAAAGCAUAAGCAACUAGAUCAGUCUUAGCAUACUUCUUUGGAGGUUUAAUUUCUCUUCUAGUUCUGUUUUUAGCGAUAGAGUAUUAUGGUGAAGAAGCAGCUCUAUUUUAAAUUUUUUUGUACUGGCUUGAGGAGUAGACUCUGUUGUAGAUUCUAGAUUAAUCUAAUGCUCUACCUGCUUUUGAUUUUCUUUAUUUGAAGAGUCUUUAAGAGAUAAGUUAGGUCACAUGUAACAACCCGGUUUGACUCUAAUCGGAAUAGUAGUUUUGGGACCACAAAUCUGAGUCCUAAAAAUAUUUCAAUAUUAUUUUGUGUGUUUACUUUGUGUGCAUUUGAUUGUGUGAAAUUUUCGUGUUUUAGUUUUGUUGUUUGAGUGUCCGAUUAAAAAAAAGGAUUAAAUCGCGAAAAAUAAAAAUUUAGGGGUUAAUUAUAAAAGCACCUAAUUGUUGUUGUCUUUUUAAAUGGAAGGAUUUAUGAUGCAAUAAGACCAUAAAGUAGUGAGUGGGUGAUAAUGGUCAAAAAUGACCUUAUAUUAUAAGGUUUAUAUAAUUUGUAUUAAAGGUUAAUAUAGUAAACUAAUAAUUAAAUAAACAUAUGAUAUAAUAAAUCAAUUGAAGCCAUUAUUUUCAUUCUUCCUUUGCUGAAAGUUAGAAAAACAAAUAGGGUUUAAAAGCUUUGAGGUAUCCGGUCAUUAACAAGCUUAAUUCAAGGUAUGUUUUACUUCGGUUUUUGAUAAUUUUUACGUUUUUGAGAUCGUUGCUUCGUGUUCUUCAAAACCCAUAUCUUAAUUUUGUGAAUUGUGGAUGAUUUUGAAAUGUGCCAUUGAUGAAUGCUUGAGUUUUAUGAUGUUAGUAGGUGAAAUAUGAAAUAUAUUUGUUAGAUUAAUAUAUUUUGUAUUGGAAUUUUUAGUGAAAUUGAGUAAAUAGGGCUAAAUUGUGAAAUUAAAUUUUUGGGGAACUAAAGUGUGAAAUAAAUGCAAUGUGUGGACUUGUAUGAGAACCAUGAAUAUUCGGCCCUUGUGUGGUAUGGGCAAAUUUUGUAUAAAUUGUGUUUUAUGCAAUAGGGACUAAAUUGCAAAAAGUGUAAAUAUUAGGGGCAAAAUAGUAAUUUUCCAAAUUAUUUGUUUUUGGAUUAAAUUGAAUGUGUUAAUAAAUAAAUUAUCUUAUUUUGAAUAUAUUUAGAUCGAGAACCAAAGAAAUCGGAGUUAGAUCGGCGAAAAGCCAAAUUAGUCGAAUAAUCGUCCGACUUCGAUUUUCCAUCGUCCGAGGUAAGUCUAUUAGCUAUUUAAUGUUAUUAAAUCAAUAUAUAUAUGUAUGAAUAUCUAUUAUGUUGUUGUUGAGCUAUAAUUAAAAGUAAUUUAAUUGAAUAAAUUCAAAUUAUAAAUGGUAUAAAUAUGUAUAUACAAUGUUCAAAUAUAUAGGUAUAUGCUUAUAUAAAUUUUUGAACUAAGUUAAAGUAUGAAUGGUAUAAAGUUAUAUAUAUAUAAAUUCAAAUAAUUAUAUAUGUAUCUAUAUGUAUACAUAUACUUGAAUUUGGUUGGUUGUAUGAGAGUUAUAUAUAUGUGCACUUAAGAUUCAAAUAUAUGUAAGUAAAAACAUGUAAUUCUUGCUUAAAUUAAAGAUAUGUAUAAUACAUAUGUAUACAUAAGUUUCGAACAUAUAGAUGUAUGUAAAAACAUUUGGGUUUGAUUAAAAGUAUGUAUGUUGUAAUUGUACAGAUAAUUUCGAAUAAGUAAGUAUAUGGAGUUGGAACAUCUAUAUAUAUAUGAAUAAGUCUUGAUUAUAUUUUAAGGUAUAAAUGUUAAAAACGUACGUGGGAGUUCGAAUAUAUCUAAAUGUAUAUUUGUGUACAGAUUCUUGAAUUGAAUCGAAUGUAUGAUUCGCAAACUCUUUUGUGAUUGAAUAUGGACUACAAUGAAUGUGUGUUUGCUGUUAAUAAGUAUUUGAGGAAAUUAUUCUGUAUAUGGGAAAAAUUGAGAUUUUCAAGCAUAGCGCUUAGCAGGCUUAUUGCCGGUGAAACACUUCAGACUAUAUGUCUAGCAGGCUUAAUGCCGGUGAAAUAUUUCAGACUAUAUGUCUAGCGGGCUAAGUGCCGGUGUACUGAAUCAGGCUUAAAGCCUAGCAGGCUAAAUGCCGGUGAAUCUGUUUUAAGUAUGUGAUUAGGUGUACAAUUAUAUGAUUUUGGAUAUAUUUAAUUGAUAAGUAUAUUUAUAUAUAUACAUUUGGCUAAGUGCGUUUGAUGAUUAUAUAUAUAUCCGGCUUAUACAAUUGAGAAAUAUAUAUAUGCUCUGGGAUUAUGCAUUUGAUAAAUAUAUACUUUUAAAUAUUCGGUACACAUAUUUGAUUAGUAACUAUAUAUGCAUUCGAGAUAUAUAUAUACCUUGGUUUAUAAGUAUUUGAUGAAAAUGAAUGCAUUCGUUCAUAUGUAUUAGAUUUGUAUUGGUUUAAAGUUUAAAAUGAGUAUUCAUACACAUUCGGUUAUGAUAUGUGUAUAAUAUAUAUAUGCUCGGUUGUAUACAUUCGUUGUAAUGUUGUUUGGUAUAAAAAUAUAUAUUCAAUUGAUCGCUUUCGACAGGUAUGCAUAUCUGUCUAUAAAUGAAAUGGUCUGAGUACAAUAAUAUAUAAAUAUUAGUUAUUCGUGUUAAUUGAAAUCUCAGUGAAAUAGAUUAAAAAGUAACUUUAUUUAUAUAUUUAUAUACAUUUAGUUAUGCUGUAGACUUACUAAGCUAUAAAAGCUUACUUUGUUUGUUUUCGUCCAUUUGCUUUUAUAGAUUUUGGAGACGCGUUACGAGCUCGGGGAUCAUCAACAUAGUCCAUCACACUAUCGACUUCUUUUGGUAUUUUGUUAAAUAUUUGAACUCAAUCUUAUGGCAUGUAUAGGUUUGAGUAUGAUGUUAAUUACAUUUUGAUUGUAAAUUAUAAUAGUUAUGCGAAAGUAAUUAAAUUUUUACGUUGUGAUCAGUUUGGUUUUAACAUUGUUGAAUUUGUUCGGUAAUGCCUUGUAACCCUAAUUCGGCGACGGAUACGGGUUAGGGGUGUUACAUCACAUAACAGUUUCAUAAAAAACAACAUCUCUACUAAUCACAACAUUUCUAUUUUUAGGACACCAUAACUUAUACCCUUUUACACCAGCUUUAUAACCAAGAAAAACAUAUUUAAUGGAUCUCAAUUCCAAUUUUCCAUUAUCAACAUGAGCAUACGCAGGACACCCAAAGAUCUUUAAAUCAGAAUAGUCAGCAGGAUUACCAAACCAUACCUCUUGUGGAGUCUUUUUCUCAAUGGCAACGGAUGGAGAUUGGUUGAUCAAAAAACAUGCAGUAGAGGCUACUUCGGCCCAAAAUGACUUUGGUAAGUUGGCAUUUGACAACAUACAUCAAACCUUCUCCAUGAUCAUUUUGUUCAUUCGUUCUGCAACGCUAUUUUGCUGUGGAGUAUAACGAACUGUCAGGUGUCUCACAAUCCUUUCUAACUUGCACAAUUUAUUAAACUCAUCAGAGUAGAACUCUAAGCCACUGUUUGUGUGGAGGUAUUUUAUUUGUUUUCCAGUCUAUUUUUCAACCAUAGUUUUCCAAGACUUAAAUGCAAAAAAGACAUCGCUUUUCUGCUUUAAGAAGAACUCCCAAACUUUUCUGGAAAAACCAUAAAUAAAAGUUAGCAUAUUAAUUAGCUCCAUCUCUCGAAGGCACUCUGGAUGGCCCUCACAGAUCAAAAUGAAUAUACUCUAAUGUUUCUUUCGUGUUAUGGAUUCCUCUAGUGAAUUGAAUUCUCUUUUGCUUCCCAAAAACGUAAUUCUCACAGAACUUCAGUUUGUAAAAUCCUUGCCCAAGAAGAAGUCCUCUUUUUCCCAAUUAUGCCAUGUCAUUCUCACUCAUAUGCCCUAGGUAUAUAUGCCAAAGUUUAGUAAUAUCAUCAUCUGACAAGGAAGAGGAUGCGACAACUGUAUCACCAGUAACAAUAAAACUUUGCAAAACAUAUAACUUUGCAGUUUUUCUCUGCCAUUUCAUUACAACGAGGGAACCUUUGGAAAUCUUUAAAAACUCCACUUUCAGUUGUGUAUUUGUACCCUUUUGAAUCAAAUGCACUCAACGAAAUUAACUUUCUCUUCAAUUUUGGAACAUGUCGUACGUCACUAAGUGUCUGACAAGUCCAUCAAACAUCUUAACUUUAAUUGCUCCAACACCUGCAAUUCUACAUGAAGCAUUAUUUCCCAUCAAAACAACACCUUCAAACACUGUUUCGUAAGUUGUAAACCAAUCCUGAUUGGGACUCAUGUAGAAGGUGUAGCCCGAAUCAAAGACUCACUCCUCGCUCACUUUAGAAUUGUAGAUAGAAACGACUAAAAGUUCACCAUCGCUAUAGUCUUCUACAACAUCAAUUUUACCAAAAUUUUCUGGUUGUUUUCCAUUUUGAUUCGCAACCUCCCUUUUGAUAUUGUUUUGUAGCUUAUAGCACUCAGAUUUAAUGUGCCCUUUCUUCUUGCAGAAGUUACAAGAUUUACCUCUGUUUGAAGACUUUGAUCUACCUUUAGAUUUACCGUGAGGAUUCCAUUCUUGUGUCGUUCCAUGAUCAUUAUCAACAUUCCGAUCUUAUCUUCUAUGAACAAUGUAACCCUCUCACUGAGAGUUAGUUUUAACUACAAGAUGCUUCAUCUUAUCAUAUAAGGUUAAAGAAUCAUAAACCUCAUCAAUUGUGAGAGACUCAAGGCUAUAUAAAAUGGCAUCUCUAAAGGUUGAAUAAAACGGGGACAACAAACAAAGUAGAAUCAACUCUAGAUCUUCCUUAUCAUACUGAACCUCCAUGGCUUCCAAGUUUGAGAGAAUUUCUUUAAACAUUGUUAAGUGUUCGUGCACAGACGCACCUUCCUCCAAACGAUGAGCAUAAAAACGCUGCUUCAUAUGCAGCUUGCUAGUUAGAGUUUUUGACAUAAAUAUUUGUUCCGGCCUCUUUCAUAAUCUAGCGGUGGUAUUCUCCUUUAUCACAUCCUGUAAAAUUUCAUUAGACAAGUGCAGAUGUAACUGUGUUAACACGUUUCGAUCCUUGCGGUUCUUCUCUUCCACCGUCAAUGUUGAAGGCAUCUUAUCUAUCCCUAGCAGGGUUUCCUCUAAGUCUAUCUGUGCAAGAACUACCUGCAUCUUUAUCUACCACAACGCGAAUCUGGUUUUGCGAUCCAACAGCGAAAUUUCAUACUUCAAAUACGCCAUUACCGUGAUUGAGAUGAACAAAUCGAAAGCUCUGAUACCAAUUUGUGAAAAUAGAAUGUCGGUAAUGAUAAUAUAUCACAAAGAAAAGAGAAAUAAAAAUAAAGAACACACAGAUUUUUACGUGGAAACCCUUUCGAAAAAAACCACGGGCAGGUGAGAAGAAAAUUCACUAUGUAGAAUUCGAAUGAUUUACAAGAGGAGUUUCGACUAUAUCUAUUUAUAGGUUGAAAAAACCCUAAUUCUAAUCAAAGUCAAAUAUAUUAUGCUAAUAAAUGGUAAAUAUAUUAUACUCAUAAAUAUUAAAUCUUCUAGAAAGAAGAUAUAUUUUGUUUAACUUGACUUGCAAGCAAUCUCUUAGAAUUUGGGUCACAAAAAUAACAUUUUUAACCAUACUGAAAACCAUUUUUUAAUUAAAUAUAAGUACUUAAUAUUUAAUUAAAUUAAAAAGAAAAGAGAUCAAUUCUAAAAUUAUGUAUGGACUUUGAUUUAAUUUGCAAUUGUAUAUAUAAAUUUUAAUUUGGUGUAAUUAUACACGUGUAACUCUAAUUGUGGUUCAAAUAUAUACUUGAAACUUUAAUUUUAAUUUAACCAUAAACAUUUAAAGAAAUAAAAACAUCAAUUUAUUUUUAUAUUGAAUAAAUAUAAUUAUUUAAGUGUGCAAUAUAUAAAUAUAAAAUGAUGUUAUAUCAAUAAUUGUGUUAAUAAUUUAUAAGAAUUGGAUCAUAUCAAAAUUUCAUAUAUAAAAUUAUUAAAAUUUAUAUAUAGAAUUGUACAUUAAACCCAGAGUGCAUGUAUACAUAAUUAAUAGAUUGUACAUAGGAAGUAAGUUUUGCUUAGUGUAAUAUAACUGUCAUUCAAGAUUACGCAUUCAUUUCAGACAAAGCACACACCCUUUGAAAUUCAAGUUUUGAUUCAGAUUCUUUCUUCUUCUUUUUUUAAUAAAAUCUCUAUGAAAGGUUUUUUUUUUUUUUAAUUCCUUAACGGUAGUGAUUUUGGGUUAUGGAGAAAAAAGGAGUGAAAAGUUGUGAUUUUUGUGGAAGUAGGGAUUUUUCUGUUUUAAUAGUUUUAGAAAUGGGUUUGAUGGAGAUUUCAAUAAUGCUUCAUGUUGGAUUAGUUUUGUUGCUACUUUGGAUGCUUUCUCAAUUCAAUCUUUGCCAUCCACUCCCUUAUUUCCUGUCUCUCAUCUACCUCUAUUUGGUUAUUCAUUCAUCUUCUGCUGAGAAUAAAAAAUGAAUCUUUUUUUUCUUUAUUUUUGAACUUGGAUUGAACUUUUUUUUUUAUUGUUUUUGUUACAAAAAUUCCUUUUAUUUCUUUGUUCAUCAAAGGUUCAUGAAAUGUAUGUGACGAGAUUGAGGAAGAAAUUGGAGUUGGAGGAAAUAAUGCACAAAGAAACUAGACAUGUCAACAACAAAACAAUAAUGCCAACACUCUCAAACGCAACAACAAAAAUGUUUUCGAAAAGGAAAUAGGCAUCACACUUAGAGUAUAGAAAUACUUGGAUUGUAACCAUGAAAAACGAAAUAAGAUAUCUGUUGCGGAAAGGAUCGAUUCGAGAACUCCGAUAUGACUACAAGUAAAUUGACCGAAACGAAAAAUAAAGUGAACACAAGGAUUUACGUGGUUCGGCUUUAAUGCCUACGUCCACGGGCAGAGGCGAAAAGAAAUUUCACUAUAACAAGAUGAAGAUUACAAGUGUUUUACACUCAAGACACAACCCGAGAACCUCACAACUCUCAACCCCUAUAGAAAACCCGAAAGCUAAAAUCCUAGCUUUCAAAGAACAAGCUUUGCUCUCUCUUGGUUUGGGAUGAUAAAUAUGGCUAAUGAACCUCUCUAUUUAUAAGAGAGUUCAAGGACAUAAUUGUCCAAAACUUUGGCAAAGAUUUGUGGUUGAAAAUGGACACCAACAACCAUCCACUAAUCCACUACCACCAACAACCCACUACCAACAACAACAAUCCACUACCAAUUUUAAGCCAUUUCUUAACAAAUCUCCACCUUGGCUUGAAAUUUACCAAGCUGAACAUCAUAGUGAAUUCCUCGAACUGGAUCACCUCUUCCAAACGCCUCUCUGGCGCUAAUCAAUCCCGAAUACCUAUCAAGUCCAAGCAAUGCUUGAACUUAUAUGCAGGGAUCACCUUAGUUAACAUAUCUGCAGGAUUCUUCUCGGUAGCAACCUUGCUGAUAACAAUGUCACCUUGCGUAACAUGUUCCCGAACAAAAUGAUAUCUGACAUCAAUGUGUUUGGUCCGUUCAUGAAACAUCUGAUUUUUAGUCAGAUGUAUGGCACUCUGGCUAUCGCAAAAUACAACAGUGAAAUCCUGUUGUAAACCCAAACUGCUUACUAGACCUUUCAUCCACAAUGCUUCUUUCACUGCUUCUGCUAACGCCAUAUAUUCCGCCUCAGUCGUAGAUAAGGCUACGGUAGACUGUAACACAGCUUUCCAACUAAUGGCUCCUCCAGAAUAAGUGAAAACAUAACCCGUCAGAGAUCUUCUUUUGUCCAGAUCUCCAGCAUAAUCAGAGUCCACAUAGCCCGUGACACUGCUAGUGCAGUCACUCUGAUCAUAUACCAAGCAUAAAUCUGCAGAACCUCUCAAGUACCUGAGAAUCCAUUUCACGGCCUGCCAGUGUUCCUUGCCAGGACAACUCAUGUAUCUGCUGACCACACUAACUGCAUGUGAAAUGUCUGGACGAGUGCAAACCAUUGCAUACAUCACGCUUCCAACUGCACUCGAGUAUGGAAUGUGAGACAUUUGCUGCUUUUCUUCAUCAGAUUGUGGUGACAACUCUGCAGAGAGUUUGAAAUGUGGUGCCAACGGAGUACUCACAGUUUUCGCUUUAUCCAUGCCGAAGCGUUGAAGAAUCUUUUCAAUGUAGUUCUUCUGCGACACACGAAGCUUGCCCGCCUUGCGAUCUCUGUGAAUAUCCAUGCCCAAAAUUUUCUUGGCAGCACCCAGAUCCUUCAUCUCGAACUCACCACUCAACUGCGACUUUAACUUGUUGAUUUCCGACAUGUUUUUGGAAGCAAUUAACAUGUCAUCAACAUACAGCAACAAAUAAAUGUGCGAACCAUCUGAGAGCUUCCGAUGAUAGACACAAGCAUCAUAGUCACAUCUUGUGUAACCAUGCUGAAUCAUGAAGCUAUCAAACCGCUUGUACCACUGCCUUGGGGAUUGUUUCAAUCCAUAUAAAGACUUCUUUAAUAGACAGACAUGGUCUUCUUUACCAGGAACUGUAAAACCCUCUGGUUGACGCAUGUAGAUUGUUUCCUCGAGCUCACCAUGCAAGAACGCCGUUUUUACGUCAAGCUGCUCAAGUUCUAGAUCAGACUUGGCCACCAUGGCAAGUAAUACACGAAUGGAAGAAUGCUUUACAACUGGGGAGAAAACUUCAUUGUAGUCAAUCCCCUCUUUCUGAGUGAAGCCUUUAGCAACCAAUCGUGCCUUGAAUCUAGUUGCUUCAACCCCUAGGAUGCCUUCCUUUUUCUUGAAGACCCAUUUGCAACCAACUAUCUUCUGGUUACUUGGCGGCUUAACCAACUCCCAAGUAUGGUUCUUGUGAAGAGAUUCUAUCUCCUCACUCAUAGCAAUUGCCCACUGUGCCGACUCAUCACACGUGACAGCCUCAUUAUAACUGGAAGGUUCUAUACCAAUGGACUCCGCCACACUGAGCGCGAAAGACACCAGAUUAGCGUAACGCGGAUUUGGUUUGAUUUGUCUCUUCGUUCUUCCAGUGGCAAUGCUAUAUGGUUUUUCUUGAGGUGACUCAUCUUCAUCGGAAUCUUGCACCUCAACUUGAUCAUCCUGGACUGAAGUACCUUCCGUAGGAAUUGGAGCGUCCACCUGACACUCCACCUGCUUCUCAACACCGUGAUCUCCCAUUCUAUCUGACUCCUCCUUUUCCCGGGAAUUUGUGGUGGAUCGAAGCAUGGAUGACUCAUCAAAAGUCACAUCUCUGCUGAUGAUGAACUUGGACGAAACCGGAUCAGGACACCACAACCUGUAUCCUUUCACCCCUUGGCCGUAUCCAAGAAAUAUGCAUUUCUUCGCCCUCGGUUUGAGUUUUCCCUCAUUUACAUGAGCAUACGCAGGGCAGCCAAACACUCUUAAACCAGAGUAAUCAGCAGGAGAACCAGACCAUACUUCCUCAGGAGUCUUCAGCUCAAUAGCUGUUGACGGAGAUCUGUUAACCAAAUAACAAGCAGUAUUAACAGCUUCAGCCCAAAAUUCUUCACCGAGCCCAGCAUUUGAUCGCAUGCAACGAGCUCGCUCCAAGAGAGUUCUAUUCAUGCGUUCUGCAACUCCAUUUUGUUGUGGUGUUCGACGAACAGUGCGGUGUCUCACUAUUCCUUCAUUUUUGCAGAACUCAUUGAAUUCACCUGAGCAAAACUCCAAGCCAUUAUCCGUCCGGAAUCGCUUGAUCUUCUUUCCUGUUUGAUUUUCGAUCAAAGCUUUAAAUUGCUUGAAGUUGAUGAGAACCUCAUACUUGCUCUUCAGAAAAUACACCCAAACCUUUCUCGAGUAAUCAUCGAUAAAGGUAAGCAGAUAUCUGUAACCACCUUUAGAAAUUGUCGGAGAAGGCCCCCAAAGGUCAGAAUGGAAGUAAUCCACUGUGCCUUUUGUCUUGUGAAUCCCAGUGCUGAACUUUACCCGAGUCUGCUUACCGAAGACGCAGUGCUCACAGAAAUUCAACUUUCCUGUACACUGCCCAGACAAUAAUCCUCGUUUGCUUAGCACCGAUAAGCCUCUCUCGCUCAUAUGCCCGAGCCGCAUAUGCCAUAACUUCGUGGUGUCAGAAUCUAGAUCAUCUGAUGAUGACACUCCCGCAACACCUGUAACCGAGGAACCAUCGAGGAAGUAAAGGCCCCGCUCCAAAUUACCACGUAUCACAGUCAAAGCACCCGAGAAUACCUUGAGAACUCCACCUUCAGCAGAGUACCGAAAGCCUUUCUUGUCCAACGUACUCAAAGAGAUCAAAUUUUUCUUCAUUUCUGGAAUGUGCCGAACAUCAGUUAGAGUUCUAACAAUACCGUCAAACAUCUUUAUACGAACUGUGCCAAUCCCCAUGACUUGACAUGCGUGGUCAUUUCCCAUUAGUACUGAACCAGAAUGCUUCUCGUAUGUUGAGAAUGCAUCUUUCGAAGUACUUAUAUGAAAUGUAGCUCCCGUAUCAAGAAUCCAUCUCCCACCAGCGUAAGAGUCGGAUACUGCAAGAACGAUCUCGGCAUCACUUGAAGAAUCUGCAUCAGCUACAUUCGCACGAUCAUUUUGUUGCUCCUGUGAUUCUGAUUUCUCCUUCCUUUUCGGACAAUCUACCUUCAUGUGCCCGUACUUCUUACAGUAGUAGCACUGUAUUCUCUUCUUGGACUGCGAUCUAGGAUGGCUUUUACUUGAACUUCCACCCUUUGCCUUGGAUCUUCCUCGAGCAACCAAGCCUUCGCCUUCAUUGUUUUCGACCACCUUACCAGUGAUUUUCUUCCUCAACUCACUGGAACUUAAGGCAUUUUUCACCUCCUCUAGAGUCAGGUCAUCACGACCGUACAUCAUUGUAUCAACAAAAUUCUCAUACGAGGGAGGCAAAGAACACAAAACAAUUAUUGCUUGGUCCUCAUCAUCGAUUUUGUUAUCGAUAUUAUUCAAAUCCAUGAUAAUGGAAUUGAAUUUAUCCAGGUGCUGGGAAACAGGUGUACCUUCCUCCAUCUUCAGGGCAUAGAGUCUUUGCUUGAGGUAGAGCCGGUUCGUCAAUGACUUCGUCAUGUACUUGCUCUCUAACCGGAGCCACAAACCGGACGCGGUUUUCUCAUCCGCUACUUCUCGUAGCACUUCAUCUCCUAGACAUAGCAGAAUAGCACUAUGUGCUCUUUCUAGCAUGUCAUCCUUUUGCUCUUCCGAAAGCGUGCUUGGUAAUUUAUCUUUACCAGACAAUGCUUUUAGCAAUCCUUGUUGAACCAGCACUGCCCGCAUCUUGAUGCGCCAUAAACUGAAACUAUUUUUCCCGGUAAAUUUCUCGACAUCAUACUUUGUCGAUGAAACACUUGUAGCCAUAAUUUGGAACCUUUGAAUGAAUGAUAAUAUUUUCUUCCUGAUGUGAAAGAUCAGACAAAGCUGCAGUCACAGGGCAAUUCAGAAAAUAUUAUCACUCCUUCAACUACGCUCUGAUACCAAUUUGUUGCGGAAAGGAUCGAUUCGAGAACUCCGAUAUGACUACAAGUAAAUUGACCGAAACGAAAAAUAAAGUGAACACAAGGAUUUACGUGGUUCGGCUUUAAUGCCUACGUCCACGGGCAGAGGCGAAAAGAAAUUUCACUAUAACAAGAUGAAGAUUACAAGUGUUUUACACUCAAGACACAACCCGAGAACCUCACAACUCUCAACCCCUAUAGAAAACCCGAAAGCUAAAAUCCUAGCUUUCAAAGAACAAGCUUUGCUCUCUCUUGGUUUGGGAUGAUAAAUAUGGCUAAUGAACCUCUCUAUUUAUAAGAGAGUUCAAGGACAUAAUUGUCCAAAACUUUGGCAAAGAUUUGUGGUUGAAAAUGGACACCAACAACCAUCCACUAAUCCACUACCACCAACAACCCACUACCAACAACAACAAUCCACUACCAAUUUUAAGCCAUUUCUUAACAAUAUCCAACAUCCUCAUCACAAUGGAUUCUCCUCUGAUUCAUUAGUAGCCUCAACAAUGUAAUAACACGAUUAAAAGUUAUCGUAGCAGUAACUCUUAUAAAUAUUAAAAAAUUAAUUUGUAAAUACAUCGAUCAUGUCUAAAUCUAAUCUAAGUCACGGUUGAUCUAAACAUGAAAAUUCUAACCAAUUCAUCUCAAUUCAAUCCAACUAAACCUAAACUAAAUUGACACAAAAAUCUAUUUAUAUAAUUUACUUUUAAUUUAUAUAUAAUUUUAGUUAUGAUUUAAAUUUAUACAUUUAAUAUUGAACAAAUAGUCAAACUAAAGAACAUUGGCAAUUAUGAUCAAUAACUUAACACAUAGGUAAUUAAAGAAAAUACUAAUAUAUAUUUAUAUUUAUAUUUAAGCCAAAAUAAUAUAAAGCUAAAAAGUGAGAUAAUGAAGUAAAAUAUUACUAACCUUAUGCAAUAUUUGAACUCGCUAUAGUAACACUAUCCAAUGGUGUACUUGGCUCAUUAUUAAAGUUCUCACAAUUAUGAACCUCCAGUGAUGUUUCAAGAGGAAGUUGAUGGAAUGGCUUAGGAGGCAUCUCAAAGAGUUCAACAUUAGAUUCAAGUAUCUUCAAGAUUUUACUCAUUGAAGGGCGAUCAGAAGGUAGUAAUUGUAUACACCAAAAAGCAAUUAUUAUCAUCUUCUUCACCAUUACUUUUUCAUCGUUAGAAAUAUCUCCGAACUCCAAGUCUUCUCCUUGAUCCAAUCGGUCAUAAAUCCAAGAUGGAAAAUAUAUUUGACUAGUGUGGUCAGCAAAUGCAUUCACAUUCUUUCCCCUUCUAACUAUUUCCAUCAAUAACAUUCCAAAACUAUAAACAUCGGCUUUGUAUGAGAUGCCUCAAUAUAAAGUGAUGAUUUUAUAAGUUUCGUACAAUUCAUAACAUAAAUAAUGCUAACCUCUAACCUUCCAUCAUAAUAAUUACCAUGAGGAUAAAUAUAAGAAUAAGAAUAAGAAUCUACAGAAGUAAUUAAGAGGAAGAGAGUUGCAAUCAUCCGUGUCCAACAAUCAACCCCUCCCAGAGUAGGCUGUCGAGGAGCCUCCUGCACAUCAUAAAUAGCACGAGUUGUACGCCCCAAAGCAUUUGCCAAGGACCAUCAAGAUGAAGGUCAAUAACAUUUGUGUAAAUUUGGAGUGCUACCUUACAGCCAAGACUAACAGAAUAGUGACUGUUUGGAUUGAAAUGCCAAAUGAGUCAGUUCGGAGUCGGAUACAAGCAAAGUAGCAUUCGAAGCAUCCGUUGCGCAUCAUAGGAGAUAGAAGACCUUGAGUUACAUGAUUUCAUUUUGAGUAUUGAAAAUUGAAAAUAGGAUAAGUACCAACCACUAAUAUAUUAUCAGCAAAAUCUCCCAAUUGAAAGAACAAAAGAUGCAUCUAUACUAUGUUUAAAAGUUUAAUAGAGUUUAUGGUUAUCUAUCAAUGAGGUAUCAACUCAAUUGUAAAAUCAUUAAAAUCUUAUUAUUUUGUUAAAAUAAAAAUAUUAUAUUGAGAGUAUUUUAUUUUUUAUUAAACUUUAUAAAAUUCAUCCAUUUAAUAGAAUUUGAACCCAAAACAUCAUAAUCCUUAUUACCUAAAUUUUACCAUAUUAAACAAAGCCACAUUUAGCUUUUAUAUCAUUUUUUAAAUAAGCUUGUUAUAUCAUUUUUUUUCACCCAUGUGAGGGUGCCAUAAUCUAAUAUAUCUUUAUUUAAUAAGUAAUAAUCCCAUAUGCAUUAGAGAGUAUUAAGUUGAGUUAUUAAAUUUAGGGUUUGUUAUAUUCUAACGACUAAUUUUCAAUUCCAUUGAAAUGAUUUAUAGGUGAUAAAUUUUACAAUUUAAUACGAUUAAUUUUAUUAUAUUACAAUGAAAAACAAAAGAAAAAGAAGAAUUUAAUAUGGUUCAAAGUUUUUAAAUAAAUCUGGACCAUAUACUUGUAGACAAACCUUUACCAUUAAUCUAUUCCAACUUCAAUGAGAACGACCAAGACAAUGCAAGUCUCAAUAGUCCUGUUUGAAACGCAAAAGCAUUCAAGUGGUUGAGAGCAGCAAGCCUGAUCCCUUUUGUCCUUUUGUGUUAUGUAAGUCAAUUGUAGAGAACGAUUGUUGGAUAUUUCUAAAACGUAAGUUAAUAGUUAGAACCCUUGAGCAACGCACAUUCCACCCCAACCCAUGCAUAACGUUAGACAAGACUCAAUGACUAAUUGUAUAUAUUUUUAAUUUUAUUCAACAACUACAUAAGUAUAUUUUUAAAUGAUUGUUAAUAUAAUUACAUGUAUUUUCAUCUAUUUUAUAUGAAUUUAAAAUAUUACAAAUUAAAUAUAAUAUAAGAUAUAAGUUCUAUUCAAUUAAAUUUAAAUUUAAAUUCAAAUUUUAAAUUAUCCAACAAUAUAAAUAGUAGACAUAAAUUCAAAGAAAAAAAUUUGGGGUUUAGCUGGAAAAUUACCUCUCAAAUUCCACUAAAAUAAAUAAAUAGAGUUUAACUCGAAGAUUACCUCUCAAAUUUAACUGAAAUAUGAAACAUACUCAAUAAUAAAGGUAUCAAUUCAAAGGUAUAAAGCUACAUAAAUUCUUAGUUAUGUCUUUGAAAUAUUUUCAUAAAGGCACGUGCAAAAACUUUUUGAUUCUAAACAAAUUCAUUGUCUCAACAUUACUUGUCGAAACCGUUUUUUGAAAACAAAGAUCUAGUUGUCGACUUUAAAAAUAAAACAGCAGUCGCCACCGAUCCUUUAUUAAGGUGUGAUCGGCUCACCUUUAAAAAUUAUUUUGGUCUACGAAUUUUGAGAAAACGAGUUCGGGAGUCAGUUACGCACGAGGAAGGGUUAGCACCCUCGUAACGCCCAAAAUCGGUACCAAAUUGGUUAUUUGAUGUCUUAGUGUCGAAGGUUAAAAAGAUUUUUAAAAUAAACUCAAUUGAUGGAAUUUGAAAAAGGAUAAUCAAUUGUUCAAGUCAUGUAAAGAAAUCGAGUCCCAAUACGUUAGGGUACAAUUCCUCAUAAUCCCCGAACUUUGAAUAUCACUUUAUUUUAUGUGAAAAUCUUCCUUUUGAGAAAGUAACAUGCCACACCAAAUACGUUAGGACACGACAUGUUAAGUUCCAAAAAAUGAUUUUUAUACUCAUGCAUUUUGAAUAAAGAAUAUUCUCGGUUAUUUUAGAUUGACAAAGAAAAUCGGAACCCAAUACGUUAGGGCUCAAUUCCCUCGAAAAUCCCAAACUUCGAAUAUUGCUUUUAUUCAAAAAAAAACUUUGAAUCAAGAGAAUAAUUUCAAUGUUUUGUCAAAAACCAAAAUAUAUCUUCUUGUUCAAAAGGAAAUGACAUAAUGUUAAUAGACAACAUGGAAUACAUACAUUAAUUUAAAUUAUACAUGUACAUGUAUUAUGAAAUGUCAAUGCAUAUAUAUACAUGUAUGCAAAAAGUUAUGGAAAUAAAAUAAUAAAAUAUAUAAAAUAUGGACAUGUAUUUACCAAAUAUGUAUAUAUAUACACACAUAUAUUUAUGAAAAAUAAAAACGUAUUUAGAGUCAUACAGAUAUAUAUAAAUCAUUAAAUAUAUGGAAAAAAAUGAAAAUAUGUAUAUAAAAGAUGUAUGUAUAUAGGUAUAUAUUUACAAAAUAAAAAAAAUGUAUAAGUAUACACGUAUUGGUAAAUCAUGAAAAUACAUAUAUGUAUAUUAAAAUACUUAUAUAUAUGUACAAUAUAUGUAUAAAUAAUGGAGUAUAUAUAGAAUAAUAAAAUAUUUAUAAUAACUCAAAAAUACAAAAAAAAUGUAUAUAUAUAAUAUAAAAAAUGUGUAUUUUGAAUUGUAAAAUAUGAGAAACAUGUGUGGAUUUUAAAAUGUAUAUGUAUACAUACAUAUAUAUAUGUUUGUAAAAAAAAUAAAAAUUAUGAAGAAUAAUAUAAAAACAUACAUAUACACGUAUUUACAAAAGUAAAAAAAAAUUUGAAGCUGAAAUAUAAAAGUAUAUAUAUAACUGUCAUUGAAGGGCGAUCAGAAGGUAGUAAUUGUAUACACCAAAAAGCAAUUAUUAUCAUCUUCUUUACCAUUACUUUUUCAUCGUCAGAAAUACCUCCGAACUCCAAGUCCUCUCCUUGAUCCAAUUGGUCAUAAAUCCAAGAUGGAAAAUAUAUUUGACUAGUGUGGUCAGCAAAUGCAUUCACAUUCUUUCUCCUUCCAACAAUUUCCAUCAAUACAUUCCAAAACUAUAAACAUCAGCUUUGUAUGAGAUGCCUCAAUGUAAAGCGAUGAUUUUAUAGGUUUCGUGCAAUUCAUAACAUAAAUAAUGCUAACCUCUAACCUUCUAUCAUAAUAAUUACCAUAAGGAUAAAUAUAAGAAUAAGAAAAGAAUCUACAAAAGUAACUAAGAGGAAGGGAGUUGCAAUCAUCCGUGUCCAACAAUCAACCCCUCCCAGAGUAGGCUGUCGAGGAGCCUCCUGCACAUCAUAAAUAGCACGAGUUGUACGCCCCAAAGCAUUUGCCAAGGACCAUCAAGAUGAAGGUCAAUAACAUUUGUGUAAAUUUGGAGUGCUACCUUACAGCCAAAACUAACAGAAUAGUGACUGUUUGGAUUGAAAUGCCAAUUAUGAGUCAGUUCGGAGUCGGAUACAAGCAAAGUAGCAUUCGAAGCAUCCGUUGCGCAUCUUAGGAGAUAGAAGACCUUGAGUUACAUGAUUUCAUUUUGAGUAUUGAAAAUUGAAAAUAGGAUAAGUACCAACCACUAAUAUAUUAUCAGCAAAAUCUCCCAAUUGAAAGAACAAAAGAUGCAUCUAUACUAUGUUUAAAAGUUUAAUAGAGUUUAUGGUUAUCUAUCAAUGAGGUAUCAACUCAAUUGUAAAAUCAUUAAAAUCUUAUUAUUUUUAAAAACAAAAAAAAUUAUAUUGAGAGUAUUUUUAUUUUUUAUUAAACUUUAUAAAAUACAUCAAUUUAAUAGAAUUUGAACCCAAAACAUCAUAAUCCUUGUACAGACCCAAUUUCUGCCCGGCCCACUAACAAAAAGAACCCAAUACCCACAAACCCAAUAACCCACCUAAACACUAACCCAUACCAGCAGACCCAAUUACCAGGCCCAGUGGCCCAAAAUUUUAAAAUCAUUUCAGAAACCCUAAUCCCCUUAACCCUAGCCGCCUCUUCUGAUCUUUCUGCUACUACUGCCGCCAUCACCUACCCUCUGCCACCGCCACUGUUUCGCCCACUUGCACCACCUGCUCCACCUGCAAAACAAAGGAGAACACGCAAACAAAGAAGGACAAAACAGUAGAAACAAUAAUAAAAUAAAUUGUGUAAAAAUGGCUAUAUAAAGGCCAUUCAAACGAAUUGUAAGGGGUUCGGCCCCUCUUUCACUAUUUCAAGAAAUAAAAAGGGCAAAGAAAACGGAUUCAAGAAAUUUUUCUUUUGGUAUAAACUCUAUUUUCUUUUAUUUAUAUUUUUCUCUUUAUUUUUCUUCCAUCCGAAACUGUUUGAUCCUUUAUUCUUAUUUUUAUUUUUCUUUUAUUUUUAAAAACAUAUAUAUAUAAAUAUAAUAUAUAGAUUUUAAAAUAAAAAAUAAUACCUUUUUUGAAUUUUUUGGCCACCAUACACGGUGGCCGGCGCGACGACGGAGCGGCGGCGACGUGGUGGCCAAGUUCGUCGGAUUCUGGGCAGUGCUGGAGAGGGGGAGAGAAUAUUUUUGAGAAGAAGAGUUUUUUUUUUUUAAGGAAAGCUGAAAAUGAUUUUUUUGGGGGGAAACCUUGACUUUUAUAGGCCCCCCAAAACGACGUCGUUUUGGGCAAGCCUCUUAGGUACCAAAACGGCGCCGUUUUAAGGCCGGCCUGAAAACCGACCCGACCCGCCUGAAGGAUCCGCGUGUUUUCGACGGAAGGGAUAAUUGCGUUUUCAGGCCUUCCGCUUUUAAAUAAUUUUGCAAUCAAGUUCUUUCCUUUUUUUAAAAUUCGCCCUAUAUUUUAUUUUCAUUCACAAUCUGGUCCACUUUGAAAUGCAGUGUUUUGGAGGGUGGGGAUUAUUUCCAUUUUGGUCCCCCUCUUUCCGAGCGUGUCACAAUUUAGUCUUUUCAGUCUUUUUUAUUUGAAAUUCGCUCAGUAUUUUUAUUUUUACUUCGAUUUAGUCCCUUUUUUAGUAGUAUUAUUAUUAUUAUUAUUAAUUAUUGCUAGUUUUAUUUUCCUUAAACCUAUUCGUCACUGCUUUGAUUAGUAUGUUAACUUGUUUCAUUAUUAUUAUAGCUUUCUUUUUUAUAAUAUAUGUACAUAUACCUAUGAAUAUUUUAUAUAUAUAUAUGCAUACAUAAUUAUAUACAUAUAUAUACCUUAUAAUAUUAAUGCGUACAUAGUUUUAUUUAUUAAAUAUUUUUAUACUCUAUAUUUUUAUACACUUGUAUAUAUACAAACAUCUAUGUUUCAAUUCAUAUAAAUAUAUGUACGUAUACAUAGUUAUGUGCUUUAUGUACCUAUUAUAAUUUGUUUACAUGUUUAUAUAUAUCUAUACAUAUAUUUUUAUAUUUCGUGAUAGUUAUAUGUACACAUAUACAUGUAAAUACUUAUAUUUUAUGCCUCAUAAUAUAUAUAUUUUCAUAUUUUCAUAUUUUAUGAUUUUCAUCUAUUUUCCUUUAUUGUUAUUGUAAUUUUCAUGUGUAUUUGUUUAUUUAUUUAUAUGUCUAUUUUUUUAUGUUUUAGUUUUUUUUAUUUGUUAUGAUAUAUGCACAAUUAAUUUAGUUUAUUAUUUGUUUUGUUUUUUUUUAUUCACACAAUCAUGUUCAAUAUUUCAUUAUGCAUAUAAAUAUCAUAUUUCAAAAGGAAAAAUAUUUCUAAAUGAGGCAAUGUUUUGCGUUUGGAAGUUCGAGAAAACAUGCCCUAAGGUGCUGGGUGUCGAUUUUUCUUGUUCAACCAAAUAGCUUAAUAUCCUUUUAAAUUUUUAAAAUAAGGCAAUGUUUUGCGUUUGGAAAUUCGAGAAAACAUGCCCUAAGGUGCUGGGUGUUGAUUUUUCUCGUUCAACCAAAUGGCUUAAUAUCCUUUUAAAAUUUUUAAAAUAAGGCAAUGUUUUACGUUUGGAAAUUCGAAAAAACAUGCCCUAAGGUGCUGGGUGUCGAUUUUUCUCGUUCAACCAAAUAGCUAAACAUCCUCUUGAAUUUAAAUUCAUGCCAUUCGAGUUUUUAGGAUCGUAUUUUAAAUUUCUUUGAAGUUUUCAGUUUUUCGACACUAAGACAUUAAGUAAUCAACUAGGUACCAAUUUUGGGCGUAUCGAGGUUGCUAAUCCUUCCUCGUGCGUAAUCGACUCCCGAACCCGUUUUUCUGAAUUUCGUGGACCAAACUUGUUGUUUUAAUAAAAUCAAAUUGUUUAUUAAAAACAACCACUUUUUGAGGUGAUCCGAUCACACCUCAACAAAAAGGAUCGGUGGCGACUCCCGUUUUCGUUCUCAUUUUUCAAAACCCAAGUCGACCCCAUUUUCCAUCCAAAAAAAUGGUGUCAACAGCUUGGCGACUCCACUGGGGACUUUAAAUAAGAGAGUCAAGCCACGAGUUGAUUAUUUCUUGUCUUUUUUGUCGAAAGUUGAAAAUUUGAUUUAAAUAUACGAUCCUCUCAUUGCAUUCCAUUUGUUUUGAGUUAUAGUUUUCAUUAUGUUUUGUAUUUUAAAUUUUUAUAUCUUUCUGCACAUUGCAUUGCAUGACCGUUAGUCACACCUUUUAAGUGGGAGUGAGAAGCUACUCCUUCGUGAGGUUUUCACCUCCGUACAGGAUAGUGGAUCGCUUUCGGGAUACAUCCGUACCUGUGUCUUCGUGAGAUUUUCAUCUCCGUGCAGCCAUAGGGAAAUGUAUUCCCCUGAAUUGAACUCGGUCUGUAUGAGCCUAUAAUGGGUGAAGAUCGAGGAAUAUGCUGGUUCGGGUACCUUAUCUUUAGAACCAACCCACAUAUAGUGGACUUAGGAACUUAACCUAGGUAGAGCCACUCCAAAUCCCUAGUAUUUACCUGAUUAGGUUUUUUUUUUGUUUUCCGUGCUUGCUUAUGUUUUGUUCUAACCCUUCUUGUUGUGUUUUGAUUAUGAUUGCAUUACAUUGCAUUUGCAUCUUAGGAAAGAGAUAUUGAUUCAAGUUCGAUUACUAAAUUAGAAAGCUUGUCAUGGAAUACGGAUUCCUUGAUAAAGUGGAAAACAAUACGACUGCCCGAAUAUAUUCUGAGAAACACAAGAAUGGCGAUGUAAGAGUUUGUGAUCCUACUUCGUGGCCUAAGGAUUCAAGGAAAUUGUCUAAGAGCCUUCAACAUUCCACUCACUUAAAGAAGCUGACGAGCCUUAUGAAGAUGGGCAGAUGAUGGAUCACGACCAAGAUCAAGAAAAUGAGCUAGCAGUGACAUUUAUUGAAAAUUGGCGAGAUUACCUUAAACAUGCGGAUAAAGAAAAAAGGACCGAUGUUUCUUGGAAUAUGACGGUGAGGCCGUACAUAUAUCCGUUUUAUGUAAGGGAAUUUGUUUUCUAGAAAAGUUUCCUAAAUGUAAUUGAAUCAGAAUCAACGUCUCUUUAGGCAUUCAUUUCAUGCAUUUGCAUUACAUUGCAUUACAUGCAUUGAAAGAGUCUAAACGAGUAAAUUUAUUUCAGCUAACCUGGAAAACCAACCAACCAAACAAAGACUAGAGAAAUGGAACGAAGGUUGGAAAAAUUAGAGCGAAUGCAGAUUCAGAUGCAGGAGCAAUUAACUGAAUUUCAACAGGAGACGAGAGAUCAGAUGCUAGAAUUACGGAGAACUAUGAUAAACCAGUUUAACCGAUUGCUAGCUGGAAAGUCAAAAGAAGUGAAAGACCCGGUGGUUUACUUUGGGGUUGAUAAUGAGGAUCUUGUCUAUUCCUUAGAUUGUACUCCGACAAGUGUCCAGGUUCAGCUAGAUGGGCGUCCACAAUGAGCACUUUUUACUGUCGGAUCCCAAUAUUAUCAGACUGGUACAUCGACACCAGUGAAUUGCCUGACAGGCUUAGAAUCCAAUUUGAGGAAUGAUUUAGCUAGUCCUGUUGCUAAUCUAGCCGAAAUAAAGAAGAUGAGGAUAGAAUACCCAGAUACUAAAAAGGCACUAGGGAAGAAGGCGAAUAAAGAGGAUAAUGCAGGCAGAUAUAACAAGGGCCACUCAAAACCAAUCACUACAGGCCGGCCAAAGACAGAAACCACCAGACAUCGGAAUCCUUUAAAGCAAGAAUCUGGAGCGAAACCAGGUACUGAGAAGCUCCAGUUCAUACCAAUUCUGAUGUCAUAUAGUGAGUUAUACCGAAGCUUAUUUGAUGCACGUGUGGUGUCCCCCUUCUACUUAAAACCCAUACAGCCUCCGUAUCCCAAAUGGUAUGACACGAACGUAUAAUGCGACUACCAUGCGAGAAUUACGGGGCAUUCAAUAGAGAACUGCAUUGCCUUUAAGAAACUGGUUGAAAAGCUCAUUAAUAUGGGGGUUGUCAGAUUUGAUGACUCGUCUAGCGCAGAAAAUCUACUACCUAGCCAUAUUGAUAAUGGGGUAGACAUGAAGGUAGGAAGGGGAUCAGUUAUUUCUGAUUCAGGAGGAAAUAAGGGAAAGACACGGAACCAUUGCGAUUUCCAUCAUGAGAGAGGGUUCGAGACCCAAGAGAGUGUGGAAUUCAAGGCCUUGGUUCAGGACAUGAUGGACGAUAAGGGGAUGAAGCUUCGUGAGGAAAUUAAAGAGGAGGAAAACAUACGUUCAAUGUUGGCAAGCGUUCACACCAAUGACAUAUUUGAAGACACGAAUGAAAAGGAACCUUGUUAGAUAUCUGCCCUUAUAAAUCUGGAGUGUUCUAAGCAACUGGGCUGCGAAAAAAAUCCCUUUAGUUUUUAGGGCUUAUCUAGAGUAAUGUUCAGAACAUUUUGUUGUUUUAGCCUAAAGCGAUAUAAAUUCCUUUGUGAAAUAGGUUAAUGUAUGAACGUUAUUAUUCUAAUAAAAUACAUCUUUGCAUUCCUUUUUGAGCUAAUAUUCUUUCAUUUAUUUUGAAUAAUUAUUUCUGAUUCUUUCAUUCUUUUGAAUUUUCUUCCAAACCAUCAUUCAUUCAUUCAUUCAUAAUUAUAUGAUACAAAUAAUUAUUCAUGAAUCUAUACAUUCUUUUGUAUAUUCUUUGGUACUUGCUAUGGGUCCCCGGAUAUCAAUUACGUGAAUGACUGCUACAGACCCAGAUUUUCCUUUUGAGUGAGGCAUGUGUUCAGAGGGAUCUCAAUGCUUUGAAAAUGAUAAAGAUUGUAGUUUAUCUCCUAACUUGUUAAGGAUGGUUGAACAAGAGGAUAGACAGAUCCUACCUCACAAGGAAUCAUCAGAAAUUGUGAGCUUAGCGAGGAUUAGAAUUGACCUGAUCGCAGAGACGAAGCAACACCUUGUUGAGGCACCUCUAGAUUUCGAAGAGAUCUUUGUAGGAUCAUACCAGGAUAUGCCUGGGUUAAAUGCCGAUAAUGAAAUCUGCACAACAGCACGAUGUCAGAAAUUUACAGUAUGAAUGAUGUAAUUCUUUACCGGGGCAAUGUCUUUCUCGUGGAGUCAGCAUAGUUUUGCCCAUUUGAAGUUGAAUUUCCGUCUCUUCAAGUUGUUGUUGGGUCCAUCCUGAUUAAAGAGGAAGAUCCAAAGUUUUUUGUCGAAGUUGCAUCCCAAAAGGCUCAGAUCAAAAAAGUGAAGAAAAAGAAAAAUCAAAAUCAAAGUCAAAAUGAAAAUGAAAAUGAAAAUGAAAAUGAAAAUGAAAAUGAAAAAAUCAAAAAUCAAAAUAAAAAAAACAAAAAGAAGAAAGAAGAAAAAAAUCAAAAUCAAGAUCAAAAUAAAAAUGAGAAAAAGAAAGAAGAAUGAAAAAGGAGAAAUCUAGAUGAAAAAAUCAGAAUGAAAAAGAAAAGAAAAAAGAAAAGGAGAGGCUAAAGCGAAAACUCGCAAAGGGCGCUUUGUGACCAAAUGAGGUUUUGAAUUGAAAACCCGAAAAGGGCGACUCAAAUUUCGAGCACAAUGAGGCAUGAACAUCACCAUUAUCAGAGACUUCUAAUGGGCAUUGCUUCAUUUUGAGAGGCUACUUCAUGAGCCAAAGUCAUCGUAUACCGAUACAGAAUUUCAGAGAAGAGGUUAUUGGAGAAUGCAUUGAGCUUAAACAAUAGCACGAUCGCUGAGGUCUCAAAUUAACUCAGAAGUGGACACCACGAUUCGUCACUGAAUUGCCUAGAAUUGAACAUCGAAAAUUGAAGGAAAAUGACUGAGACUUAGGGUCUGUUUGAUUGCCAGUAAAAUGUUUUCCGUAAAAUGAUUUCUGGAAAAUGGUUUACUUUUCUGUAAAAUGAUUUACUGGAAAAUAUUUUCUGGUGUUUGACUGAAUCUGUGUAAAAUAUUUUUUGCUGUUUGGCAGAUUUUCUGAAAAUAUUUUCGAAAAAGUUGUUUUUACAUAUAUUAAUAUAUAUUAAUAAUUUUUUAUAUUUUAAAUUAUUUUUACAUAUAUUGCAAUGAUUUAUUUAUAAUAAUACUCAAUUAUUAAGCUACAAUAUUAGUCGUUAUAAAUUGAAAAAAACUAAUAUCAAAUAAAUUAUUUGUAAUUGUGUUAAAAAAACAAGUAUUGAAUAAUUAAAAAAACAAGUUAUUGGAAAAUCGAUAAACAGAAGCAGUUUUCUACCGGAAAUGAAGGAAGGAAUGAAGGAAGCGAUAAAGAGGAGAGCACGGAAAAUGUCUUACGGAAAUUGAAAGGGUAAGACAUUUUCCCUAAAAUGUAACCCAUUUUCCCUUGUUUUGGAGUUCAUUUUCCAAAUGGAAAAUGUUUUCCGCCAAUCAAACGCUGAAAAAGUUGAAAAUGAUUUUCCGGAAAAUCAAUUCCGUCAAUCAAACAGACCCUUACAAGGAUUGGCAUGAGAAAUUACUAUUUGCCUUCCUUGCUUGUCGAACAUCUGUACCGGGGCAAUACCUUUCUCUUUGGUUUGCGGGGUUUAGGUAGUUUUACCUAUUGAAAUCCUUUCUCUCCAGGUAUUAUUUGAGCUAGAAUUGGAUGAAGCAGAAUGGAUCCAAUCGCGAUGAGAUCAGUUGAACCUAGAAAAAAGGUUAAAAGCUAUUCUUCAGGGUCGGAUGUACCGGAAACAAGUGAUACGAGCCCAUAAUGAACAGUGUCAUAUCAGAGAAUUCCACGAGAGGGUUGGAUGUCGAAAAAGAUCAUUCCUCUCUAAAAAUGAUUCCAGAGGGAAAUAAAUGCCAAACCGGGAAUGUCCCUACGUUGUAAAGAAGACAUUCUUCAGAAGAGCACUGAUCUUGAGUAAGAUUGCUAGUCCUAUAAACUCGGAUCCAGUCAAGAAAUACUUCGUUUAAAGAAUGAGGAAGGACCAAGGUGAAAACCCGCAAAGGGCACUCUAAGUCAAAAAAAAUGAAAUGAAAAAUGAGAAUGAAAAAUAAAAAAUAAAAAAUAGAGAGGCUAAGGGGAAAACCCGGAAAGGGCGCCUUAGGCCAAAGGGGAUUUGAGUUGAAAACCUGAAAAUGGCGGCUCAAAUAUUUGUUCAGAAUGGGGCAUGAGGCGAUCAGAGCGAUUCGAAUUUUGAUCAUAUUGGGGCAUGUGGUGAUCUUGCUAUGCCUGAAUCAACAGGAAAGGAUAGACGACAUCUUGGGGCAUCGACAGAGCACUGUAGAUCUCCUAAACACAUGUCCAACUCAAAAUGGUCUUCAGAAAGUUUGUACAGAGAAGUUCAAGUAGCGAUAUCUGGAGCACCCAAUCCUCACAUUAUUUGUUAUUCUUGGAAUAUUUUUUCUUUCCAAGAUAUACAUCCCCAAUUAAUUUCUUCGUCAUCCUUCUUUACAAUUUUUGGUAAUUUAUUCCUUUUGAGCUAUGCUCAGAAUCAAUUUUAUUCUUAUCCAUUGUUAUGACCCUUUUUGCAAAGCAUGUUGCAUUAGAAUAAUGAUUAAUGGACUAAUAAUACUUUCACAAUGGAAGUUUUGCAUAUUACUCUAGAAGUUUCUAAAUAAUAUAGGAGCCUAAAGCAGUACUAUUGUUUAGAACACACCAAUUUUUAAAGGUUGGAAAUUUGAGAAGGAAUAGUCUAAAUUUAGACUUUCUCUUUGGAUUUUUGUUUUCAAGUGCACUGAAUGAACAAAAUGACAAGAUGCCAUGUCAAUGGCAAAGCUUAAACGAACAAACAAGCAAUGAUCAUCAGGCAAUAGGAAGAGGUUACCUCGGAGAAGAGAGCCUUCAUUUGUGCAUGAGCAUUUGGUAUGACACCUUGGGGAUGAGGUAAAGGACCAAAGAGUUUCACAUUCAAUAUCAUUGAAUUGCGAUAGGAGAAGAUUGAGAAAGGCCAUACAUUUCUACCCUUUGGUUAUAGUGGGAGAUUGAUGGUGCAAAUUUUAUGUCCCAGUGGAUUGAACUUUGACGUUCAUAGUGGGGGGCAAUCAGAUUAAGUGAUCCUUUGGAUAUGCUAGCCGAGCAAGAAGGUGGUAUAGCACGUCAGUAAUAAAGCCUUAAUAUGCUUUUGUGUGAUGAUAACCUAAGCAUUAAGGAAUCAUUUUCAUGACAUUUUGCAUGUCAUUCAUACACAUCUAGUUAGGAGCAUUUGAUUCGUUCUGAUCAUGUCAUCCUAAUCUCUAGGCACAAUUAGGUUCAUAAAAUAGAACAUACAGGUCAUGUUCCCUAGAGAACAAAUCAGUGAACAUCGAAAACAAAGCCUUGCCUUCAUUGGUUACAGUGAAGCUGGUUAAAGAAGCAGAUCUUGCCUUCCAGCAUUAACAGCGAAGCAGAUCGAAAACAAAUCAUUGCCUUCAUUGGUUACAGUGGAGCUGGUUAAAGAAGCAGAUCUUGCCUUCCUGCGUUAACAACGAAGCAGAUCGAAAACAAUCCUUGCUUCAUUGGUUACAGUGGAGCUGGUUAAAGAAGCAGAUCUUGCCUUCCUACGUUAACAACGAAGCAGAUCGAAAACAAGCCUUGCCUUCAUUGGUUGCAGUGGAGCUGGUUAAAGAAGCAGAUCUUAUCUUCCUACAUUGACAGCGAAGUAGAUCGAGGACACAAGCCUUGCCUCCCUUAGUUGUAGGGGAGCAGAUCAAAGACAGCAAAUCUUAUCUUCAAGUGUAAGGAAGCGGAUUUAAGCCACAAGUCCUAUGUCCCUGACCAGCAGUGGAAUAGGUUGGAAAUUUCAGAUCUUAUCUCCCUGAGGUUACAGCGGAGCAGAUCGAAGACAUAAUCCUAUCUCCCUGAAGUUACAGUGGAGCGGAUUAAAAUAAAGGAUCUUAUCUCUCUGAAGUUACAGUAGAGUAGAUCGCAUCAGGUCUUAUUUCCCUGAGGUUACAGCGGAGUAGACCGAAAAAUUUCAGAUCUUAUCUCCCUGAGGUUACAGCGGAGCAGAUCGAAGACAUAAUCCUAUCUCCCUGAAGUUACAGUGGAGCGGAUUAAAAUAAAGGAUCUUAUCUCUCUGAAGUUACAGUAGAGUAGAUCGCAUCAGGUCUUAUCUCCUUGAGGUUACAGCGAAGUAGACCGAAGAAUUGCAGAUCUUAUCUCCCUGAGGUUACAGCGGAGCAGAUCGAAGAUAUAAUCCUAUCUCCCUGAAGUUACAGUGGAGCGGAUUAAAAUAAAGGAUCUUAUCUCUCUGAAGUUACAGUAGAGUAGAUCGCAUCAGGUAUUAUUUCCCUGAGGUUACAGCGGAGUAGACCGAAGAAUUGCAGAUCUUAUCUCCCUGAGGUUACAGCAGAGCAGAUUAAAGACAUAAUCCUAUCUCCCUAAAGUUACAGUGGAGCGGAUUAAAAUAAAGGAUCUUAUCUCUCUGAAGUUACAGUAGAGUAGAUCGCAUCAGGUCUUAUUUCCCUGAGGUUACAGCGGAGUAGACUGGAGAAUUGCAGAUCUUAUCUCCCUGAGGUUACAGCGGAGCAGAUUAAAGACAUAAUCCUAUCUCCCUGAAGUUACAGUGGAGCGGAUUAAAAUAAAGGAUCUUAUCUCUCUGAAGUUACAGUAGAGUAGAUCGCAUCAGGUCUUAUUUUCCUGAGGUUACAGCGGAGUAGACCGAAGAAUUGCAGAUCUUAUCUCCCUGAGGUUACAGCGGAGCAGAUUAAAGACAUAAUCCUAUCUCCCUGAAGUUACAGUGGAGCGGAUUAAAAUAAAGAAUCUUAUCUCUCUGAAGUGGCAGUAGAGUAGAUUACGUCCAAGUCAAAUCUCCCUGAAGUUGCAGUGGAGUAAGUUAAAAUCCCAAACCUCACCCCCUGAAGGUACAACAGAGUGGAUUGAAGCUACAAGUCUUGUCUUUUUGAAGUUGCAGCGGAAUGGAUAGAAGCAACAAUGUACAGUGGACUGGAGUGAAGCUACUUGAAGAGAAGCGUCAAGAGAAGUCAAGACUCGGCGAAACCGGGCAAAAAAUUGGUCUUUCUUAGUCUUUGCUCUGUUAUCGUUACACGACAAUGAGCAAAGAGGGGCAGCUGUACAAACCCAAUUUCUGCCCGGCCCACUAACAAAAAGAACCCAAUACCCACAAACCCAAUAACCCACCUAAACACUAACCCAUACCAGCAGACCCAAUUACAAGGCCCAGUGGCCCAAAAUUUUAAAAUCAUUUCAGAAACCCUAAUCCCCCUAACCCUAGCCGCCUCUUCUGAUCUUUCUGCUACUACUGCCGCCAUCACCUACCCUCUGCCACCGCCACUGUUUCGCCCACUUGCACCACUUGCUCCACCUGCAAAACAAAGGAGAACACGCAAGCAAAGAAGGACAAAACAGUAGAAACAAUAAUAAAAUAAAUUGUGUAAAAAUGGCUAUAUAAAGGCCAUUCAAAUGAAUUGUAAGGGGUUCGGCCCCUCUUUCACUAUUUCAAGAAAUAAAAAGGGCAAAGAAAACGGAUUCAAGAAAUUUUUCUUUUGGUAUAAACUCUAUUUUCUUUUAUUUAUAUUUUUCUCUUUAUUUUUCUUCCAUCCGAAACUGUUUGAUCCUUUAUUCUUAUUUUUAUUUUUCUUUUAUUUUUAAAAACAUAUAUAUAUAAAUAUAAUAUAUAGAUUUUAAAAUAAAAAAUAAUACCUUUUUUGAAUUUUCCGGCCACCGUACACGGUGGCCGGCGCGACGACGGAGCGGCGGUGACGUGGUGGCCAAGUUCGUCGGAUUCUGGGCAGUGCUGGAGAGGGGGAGAGAAUAUUUUUGAGAAGAAGAGUUUUUUUUUUUAAUGAAAGCUGAAAAUGAUUUUUUUUGGGGGAAACCUUGACUUUUAUAGGCCCCCCAAAACGACGUCGUUUUGGGAAAGCCUCUUAGGUACCAAAACGGUGCCGUUUUAAGGCCGGCCCGAAAACCGACCCGACCCGCCUGAAGGAUCCGCGUGUUUUUGACGAAAGGGAUAAUUGCGUUUUCAGGCCUUCCGCUUUUAAAUAAUUUUGCAAUCAAGUUCUUUCCUUUUUUUAAAAUUCGCCCUAUAUUUUAUUUUCAUUCACAAUCUGGUCCACUUUGAAAUGCAGUGUUUUGGAGGGUGGGAUUAUUUCCAUUUUGGUCCCCCUCUUUCCGCGCGUGUCACAAUUUAGUCUUUUCAGUCUUUUUUAUUUGAAAUUCGCUCAGUAUUUUUAUUUUUACUUCGAUUUAGUCCCUUUUUUAGUAUUAUUAUUAUUAUUAUUAAUUAUUGCUAGUUUUAUUUUCCUUAAACCUAUUCGUCACUGCUUUGAUUAGUAUGUUAACUUGUUUCAUUAUUAUUAUAGCUUUCUUUUUUAUAAUAUAUGUACAUAUACCUAUGAAUAUUUUAUAUAUAUAUAUGCAUACAUAAUUAUAUACAUAUAUAUACCUUAUAAUAUUAAUGCGUACAUAGUUUUAUUUAUUAAAUAUUUUUAUACUCUAUAUUUUUAUACACUUGUAUAUAUACAAACAUCUAUGUUUCAAUUCAUAUAAAUAUAUGUACGUAUACAUAGUUAUGUGCUUUAUGUACCUAUUAUAAUUUGUUUACAUGUUUAUAUAUAUCUAUACAUAUAUUUUUAUAUUUCGUGAUAGUUAUAUGUACACAUAUACAUGUAAAUACUUAUAUUUUAUGCCUCAUAAUAUAUAUAUUUUCAUAUUUUCAUAUUUUAUGAUUUUCAUCUAUUUUCCUUUAUUGUUAUUGUAAUUUUCAUGUGUAUUUGUUUAUUUAUUUAUAUGUCUAUUUUUUUAUGUUUUAGUUUUUUUUAUUUGUUAUGAUAUAUGCACAAUUAAUUUAGUUUAUUAUUUGUUUUGUUUUUUUUUAUUCACACAAUCAUGUUCAAUAUUUCAUUAUGCAUAUAAAUAUCAUAUUUCAAAAGGAAAAAUAUUUCUAAAUGAGGCAAUGUUUUGCGUUUGGAAGUUCGAGAAAACAUGCCCUAAGGUGCUGGGUGUCGAUUUUUCUCGUUCAACCAAAUAGCUUAAUAUCCUUUUAAAUUUUUAAAAUAAGGCAAUGUUUUGCGUUUGGAAAUUCGAGAAAACAUGCCCUAAGGUGCUGGGUGUUGAUUUUUCUCGUUCAACCAAAUGGCUUAAUAUCCUUUUAAAAUUUUUAAAAUAAGGCAAUGUUUUAUGUUUGGAAAUUCGAAAAAACAUGCCCUAAGGUGCUGGGUGUCGAUUUUUCUCGUUCAACCAAAUAGCUAAACAUCCUCUUGAAUUUAAAUUCAUGCCAUUCGAGUUUUUAGGAUCGUAUUUUAAAUUUCUUUGAAGUUUUCAGUUUUUCGACACUAAGACAUUAAGUAAUCAACUAGGUACCAAUUUUGGGCGUAUCGAGGGUGCUAAUCCUUCCUCGUGCGUAAUCGACUCCCGAACCCGUUUUUCUGAAUUUCGUGGACCAAACUUGUUGUUUUAAUAAAAUCAAAUCGUUUAUUAAAAACAACCACUUUUUGAGGUGAUCCGAUCACACCUCAUCAAAAAGGAUCGGUGGCGACUCCCGUUUUCGUUCUCAUUUUUCAAAACCCAAGUCGACCCCGUUUUCCAUCCAAAAAAAUGGUGUCAACAAUCCUUAUUACCUAAAUUUUACCAUACCAAACAAAGCCACAUUUAGCUUUUAUAUCAUUUUUUAAAUAAUCUAAUAUAUCUUUAUUUAAUAAGUAAUAAUCCCAUAUGCAUUAGAGAGAGUAUUAAGUUGAGUUAUUAAAUUUAGGGUUUGUUAUAUUCUAACGGGUUAUUUUCAAUUCCAUUGAAAUGAUUUAUAGGUGAUAACUUUUACAAUUUAAUACGAUUAAUUUUAUUAUAUUACAAUGAAAAACAAAAGAAAAAGAAGAAUUUAAUAUGGUUCAAAGUUUUUAAAUAAAUCUGGACCAUAUACUUGUAGACAAACCUUUACCAUUAAUCUAUUCCAACUUCAAUGAGAACGACCAAGACAAUGCAAGUCUCAAUAGUCCUGUUUGAAACGCAAAAGCAUUCAAGUGGUUGAGAGCAGCAAGCCUGAUCCCUUUUGUCCUUUUGUGUUAUGUAAGUCAAUUGUAGAGAACGAUUGUUGGAAAUUUCUAAAACGUAAGUUAAUAGUUAGAACCCUUGAGCAACGCACAUUCCACCCCAACCCAUGCAUAACGUUAGACGAGACUCAAUGUCUCAUUGUAUACAUUUUUAAUUUUAUUCAACAACUACAUAAGUAUAUUUUUAAAUGAUUUUUAAUAUAAUUACAUGUAUUUUCAUCUAUUUUAUAUGAAUUUAAAAUAUUACAAAUUAAAUAUAAUUAAUAUAAGAUAUAAGUUCUAUUUAAUUAAAUUCAAAUUCAAAUUCAAAUUCAAAUUUUAAAUUAUCCAAUAAUAUAAAUAGUAGACAUAAAUUUAAAGAAAAAAAUUGGGGUUUAGUUGAGAAAUUACCUCUCAAAUUCAACUAAAAUAAAUAAAGAGAGUUUAACUGGAAAAUUACCUUUCAAAUUUAACUGAAAUAUGAAACAUACUCAAUAAUAAGGGUAUCAAUUCAAAGGUAUAAAGCUACAUAAAUUCUUAGUUAUGCCUUUGAAAUAUUUUCACAAAGGCAUGUGCAAAACUUUUUGAUUCUAAGCAAAUUCAUUGUCUCAAUAUUACUUAUUUAAAAUCAAAUCCACAUUUAUUUUUAAACAAAAUCCAACAAUGUAUUUGGCUCAUCCAACAAUUUAUUUUUAAAUGGCAUUUAUUUAAAAAGAACCAAAUGAGAAUUAUUAUACAACUUUAUAAAGUCGAUGACACAUCCAACAUUAAAAGCACAAAGAAACUAGAUUGGCCAACAACAAAACAAUAAUGCCAACAUUCUCAAAUACCGCAACAAAUUUGUUCUAAAAACAAAAGAUAGCGCAUCGCACUUAGAGCGUAGAAAUACUUGAAUUCAAUCAUUGUAACAACGAAAAAGGAAACAAGACAUCCAACAUCCUCAUCACAAUGGAUUCGCCUCUCACCCGCCAACAACGUCUGCAAUGCAAUAAAACAAGAAGAGGCUAUUGUGGUAGCAACUCUUAUAAAUAUUCCAAAAUUAACUUUUAGAUGCAUCAGGUCUUAAUCUAAGGUAAAGGGUUUAUCCAAACAUGAAAAAUCUAACCAACUCAAUUCAAUUCAACCUAACCUCAACCUAUCUAUAUAGUUUACUUUUAAUUUAUAUAUAAUUUCUUUUAUGAUUUAAAUUUAAAUAUUUUUUAACAAAAAUUUUAAAUACUUAAUAUUGAACAAAUAGUCAUAUUAAUGAAAAUUUGUAAUUAUGAUCAAUAACUUAACACAUAGGUAAAAGUGUUUUUUUUUUUACUUAAUAAUAUUAUUAGCAAUAGUACGUUAUUAAUUGUAUAUGAAAAUAAUGAAGCUUAAAAAUUAAAAUUUAAAGACAAUGCCAUUGUCAAAUUUACUCAAAAUUUAUUUUUAACUAUAGUUAUCCAUGUACAUAUGUGACACACAUAAUAAGAUGCUAAUAUAUAUAAGGCAAAAUAUUAUAAAGUUAAAUGGUGAGAUAAUAAAGUGAAAUGUUUCUAACCUUAUGCAAUAUUUGAACUUGUUAUAGUAACAGUAUCCAAUGAUGUACUUGGCUCAUCAUUAGAGUUCUCACAGCUAUGAAUCUCCAUUGAUGUUUCAAGCGGAAGUUGAUGGAAUGGCUUAGGAGGCAUAUCAAGGAGUUCAACAUCAGAUUCAAGCAUCUUCAAAACUUUACUCAUUGAAGGACGAUCAAAAGGCAGUAAUUGUAUACACCAAAAGGCUGUUAUUACCAUUUUCUUUACCAUUGCUUUUUCAUCGUCAGAAACAUCUCCCAACUCCAAGUCCUCUCCUUGAUCUAAUCGGUCAUAAAUCCAAGAUGGAAAAUAGAUCUGACUAGUGUGGUCAGCAAAUGCAUUCACAUUCUUUCUCCUUCCAACCAUUUCCAUCAGUAACAUUCCAAAACUAUAAACAUCAGCUUUGUAUGAGAUGCCUCCAAGAUUUUUGUAAACCAAUUCUGGAGCAAUAUAUCCUAUCGUUCCUCGUGCCGCAGUGAGAGAGACAAUGCUAUCAUCUACUGAAUACAAUUUAGCAAGACCAAAAUCGGAAACUUUUGGAUUAAAAUUCUCAUCAAGAAGAAUAUUGUGUGGCUUGAUAUCAAAAUGUAGAAUUUGCAUGUCACAUCCUUGAUGUAAGUAGUGAAUUCCUUGAGCCACCCCAAGUACAAUAUCAAACAUUUUUUUCCAGCCCAAAGUGUUCUUAUUUUCUUCUGUAAAUAUGAUUUUAUCUAAAGAUCCAUUAGACAUGAAGUCAUAUACUAGAGCUUGCUUUGAUCCCUCCACACAAAAUCCGAUAAGUUUUGCCACAUUAGCAUGAUGAAUUGUCCCAAUGGAAGCAACUUCGUUUAUGAAAUCUUGGCCAUUACCUUUUGAUUUGCCCAACAAUUUUAUUGCCACAUGAUGGCCGCUACGAAGCUUUCCUUUAAACACUGAGCCAUAACCCCCUUCACCUAAUUUAUCUUUAAAAUUUUUAGUCAUUUUUUUAAUUUCUUUAAAAGAAUACCUUAAUGGCACUAGAUUAUUUUGGCUUUUAAGGAACUCUUCGAUCAUAUCAUCCAUGGAUAAAUGUCUUCUCCUCCAUUUGUACGUGACAAAAGCAAGCAAACAAAUGAUCCCAGGAAAUGACCUCAAGAUAACUCCACCUUUAAAGAAAUACAAUGUAACAUGUUGAAAUUAAUCACAUAAUAUAUAACUUACAUUCUCAGAAAAAAGGAUAUAGUGUGAUAGUUUUAUGUUAACUAGUAUUUGAGAGAGUGGCAUAUUUCACUAGUCUAUGGACUUAACCGAGAGUAGUCUGAAUUAUAUGCAUUGUUUUUGUCAUUAGCAGGUAUAUCUCAACAAAUUAAAAUUCAGAAUUUGAAACACAAAAGGAGUAAAUCAUGCAAAGUGGAUGCCAAUUAUUCUAACCUCACACAUUCCAAUAGAUUUGACAGGGUCAUGACAUUCACCCAAAUUAACACAUUCGUAACCCCAUCCAAUUAGCAAAUUCUAAAGAAAGAACAUGAUUCUUAACCAUGAAGGAUACUCAACUGUUGUUUCUAUUCAUGCCAAAUAAAAUUGAAGAAGGACAAAUUAAAAAUAUAAUAACCUUCAAAUUUCAUAAAUGAAACAAAAUCUAGAACCACCAAAAGAUGCAAGAGAACCCCCCAAAAAACAGAUUUGAUAAAUUCAAGAGCUAACUUUGUUGAAUGUUUUAGCAAAAUGAAUAUCCACCAAACUUAUAACCUGUGAAAGUUCUAAACAAUACCAUUAUGAAAACAAGCUUAACUAAAACUCUAACAUCUUUCUUAACUUGACAAAAAAUUUCUUUCAUAUAGAAGAAGAUUGUAUUCUGCAUUCAAACUCCGUAAAGAGUGUCAUAGCUUUCUUAGUUUUGUAGUGAAAUUAAAUAUAAACUUGUAUAAUAUGAUAGGCUCCUUAUUCUUUUUUUCCCCCAGAAUAUAGCUAAUAUUUGUUCUCAACUAGUGCAAAUGCAAAUCUGCAAAUCUAAAAUUAAAUAUACCUGUUAUUAGCAAACAGAGACGAUAAGCUCCGAAGAAUCUGGAUUAUAUAUUCAACAAAUCAAAGUAAAAUUAAUAAAGGGGUGUAAAGAAAAAUUCCAAAUUUGUAUAAAAAAAUCAAUGGAAGGUAAUUUAAAAAAUUAUAUUAUGUUUUGUGGUAUAUACUCAAAAAAGAAAUACAACAAUUCUUUACAUAUGUUUGCUUGUAAAAAGUAUGCAACAUGUGUUACAGUAUAAGAGUUUUUAGGUAACUAAUAUGAUUUAAUAUAAUGAAAGGUGAGACAAAAUUUAUUCAAAUUAAUUAAUCCAAAAAGUAUAUAUUAUAGCAUUAAAAGAGUUUUUGCCAAAAAAAAUAAACUCAUCCACAAUGGUGGAAUAUUUACGUACUACCAACUAAAUUGAAAAUUCAUCAAAAAUAAAGACAAAAUAAAAAGAUAGACAUAAUCAAAUAUAAUUGUCCAAAAAGAAGACAAAACAGCAGAGAAAGCAGAGGCAGAUACUAAAUUAGAAAUGCUUUUAGUUCAUUUGAUUGUUAGAUGUUGAUCAAUUUUAGAUGCAAAAUCAUCAUACUUAAUUACCAUCAUAAUAUUUAAUUGUGAUAAAUGUAACAUAAAAUAAAACAAAACAAAAAGUAGAUGUUGUAACUAAAAAUUCCAGUAUGAUUCACACUCAAAAUGCAAACUUAAAUUAUUAAAGAAACUUACAUAUCUUUAAACCAAACUUUGUUUUUAUUGUAGUAGCUACUCUCGCUAUCCCAUCAACUCCAUUGGACCCAAAAACCCUCCAAUAAUUUUUUGUAUAUAUCCAGCGUAGACAUGCCUAUUAUAUUAUCAAUCAUAAUUGGAACCUCCGCUUUGAUAGUGCAAGCUUGAUUGAUAUCAGAUGGGUGGGUGUUUCCAUUUAAAAAAUAGAAAUAGAAAGUUGGAAGGGAAGAGGAGGUAUUAGAUUUAAUCGUACAACAAGAAGCCUCAAUAAAAAGUGAUGAUUUUAUAGGUUUCGUGCAAUUCAUAACAUAAAUAAUGUUAAAAUUAUAAGAAAAAUAAUAAUGAUAAUUAGAAAAAAGGUAAAAAUAUGGUUUAAAAUAAGGAUAAGUAUCAUAAUAAUCAGGAUAUACAGAAGUAAGAGGAAGGGAGUUGCAAUCAUCCGUGUCCAAGCUUGCAUCCACCAUUCGUAUUGUAUAAUUUUCGUAAAAGAUUUGUUGGACAGAUAAUUUCCCUCCUCUCCCAACCAAAGUGGUGCGAUUAUUGUUCUCACACUCAAGUUCCAUGACAGGAGAACCACAGUGGGGAGGUUGGUUUUUUAAUCGGAAUGGAAAACUGAUAUUCAAAUUCCCACAGAAAGUAGAGCCGCAGUCUUGGUUAAUAAGACUCCUAGCAAAACAAACAGCAGGAAAUAGAAUUACAAAUAAAGCAACAGAGGGCAUUAGGUGACCCAACAAUGGCAGUUUUGCUUUUAAUUUUGGCAUGCUAAAAUUUUGGGUAAGGAAGAAGAACAGUAAUGGGGGGUUAAUGAUUAAGUUUCUAACUAAACCAGGGAAAUAUAUAAGAAAGCUUCAGUGGGAGAAGAAGCAUUAAUGGGGACACAAGACUUUGACUACUCUUCAGCUUUAUUUGGGAUGAAUAUUUUAUUUUCAAUAAAUUGUUUACACCUUUUAUUCUUUAAUCUUUUUUCUGGGAAGAGCCAUGGUUAUCACAAGCAAAAGAAAAAGGAAUUUUAAUAUUAUUCAAAAAAAAAAAAAAUUGGACCAUAUGCUUGUAGUCGUAGAUCAACGUUUAUGACCUUAAUAAAUUCCAAUUACAAUGAGGAGGACCAAGACAAUGCAAGUCUUUAGUCUUCUUUGAAACACAAAAACAUUUGUUGCAUCUUUUGUAACUAUUUGUUGCAUCAUUCUAAAAAGUAAGUUAAUAGUUAGAAGUGUCAAGCAAGGCGACUCAAUGCCCAAUUGUAUAGAUUCUUUUUAUUUUAUUCCACGAAUACUUCACUACUUUUCAAAUAAUUACAUGAAUUUAAAAUAAAACAAAUUAAAUAUAAGAUAUAAUUUCUAUUUAUUUAAGUUUAAAUUCAAAACUAAAUUCUAUUUCUAAAUUUUAAUUAUCCAAAAUUAAUUUAAAAACUUAAAUUUAAAAAUACAUUAAGAGACUUCAAAUUCCGUUUUAUUUUAAAUGAAAUCGGUUUAGUAAAGAGGUGACUAUGGAUCAAGUCAAGCCGAAUCGAAGUUCAGUUUCAAAAAAUUCCAAGUCCUAGAGCCUAUUUUUGAUCCAACUCACCCAAAAGCUCGUUUUCUAUUUGAAAAUAUUAAAAAUAUUUUUAAUUGAUAUUUUACAUAUUUUUAUAAUUAAAUUUAAAUUUUAAUAAAAAUUAUUAUUUAAAUUAAACUAUAAAAAUAUUUAUCCAAAUCUGACCCAAAUCGAAUUAGGCCGGGUGGGCGAUCCGAUCAUGACAGGAAAGGAGAAACAAGAAAGACGAAGCCUAAACAGGCAGUAAAUUCAUUUUAAUUCUACAUACAUUCCAUAUUAUUAUUUAGGGAUAAUAUAGUUUUUGACCCUAAUCUUGAUAGUUAAGUGGACUUUAGUACAUAUAUCUUUUUUGUUCUACUUUGACACUCGAACUUCAAAUAUUUUGGUUCCUAAACUUGAAAAAUAUAAAAGUUUUAUGAUGCAACUCUGUAAGAUUGUGUUACAUCAUCACUUAAAAAUUAAAAAAAUAUAUAAAUAUUUUUAAUUAAUAUUUUAUAUAUCUCUAUAAUUAAAUUUAAAUUUAAAAAAUAUUUUUUAUUAUUUAAAUUCAACUCAGAUUAAAUCAAAAUAAAAUGUAAAAAUACUUAUUCAAAUCUGACCCAAAUUGAGUUGGGCCGGGCAGGCUACCCAGUCAUCUCAAGUCUACUUUAGCACAGGUAAGUAAAGUUGAAUCAUUAGAUUGGGAUAUAUGUGUGCUUCGGGUAAAUACUUAUUUGGGCUGAAUUAUUUGGACUUCAAUUAUGAAUUUAAUUUUUUACUAAUAUGUGUGAGAAGCCCAUUCUUUUAUGAAUUUUGGGCCACUUCGGUUUCGUCUUCAGGAAUUAAACAUUCAUAAAAAUCUAAAAAAAUUUAUUAAAUUAUUAUUUAUUAAUUAAACCAGUUGAUUAUUCAAUCGGUUUGACCACUAGUUCUUGAUUCAACUCAUUUGAUCGGUUCAACUACCCAACUAACAAUAAUUAAAUGAAUGAUUCAACAUCCAUAAAAAUCUAAAAAAGAAUAUUAAAUCGAUUACAUAUGUUCAAUAGCCAAGUUUUUUUUUUACUAAUUUCAAACAAUUUUUUUAAUUUAAUUGAUUCAACCAUUUUGUUCAAACUAGGGUGUUCGCAAAAGUCUCGACUCUCCUAAAAUGGAAAAGUUUUUAUUUAAGUCAUUUAAAAUUUUUAAAAUUUUAAAUUAAUAAAGGUAAAUUACACUUUGGCCCCAUAAAAAUAUAAAAAUUUGAUUUAAUCCUUUAAAAAUUAUAAAGAUAUAGGCUAUUAAAAUGGUGAAAUUAUAUUUUUACUUCGUAAAAAUUACAAUUUAAUUUCGACUCCCUUUUUUUUUUUUGAUUUCGCCCCUAAUUCAAACCAUUAUACCGGUUGGUUCUUAGUCCAAUCAAUCCAACCAACCAAUCCACUACUAUUUCAGUAAAAUUGGUCAUAUCAUCAAAUCUUGAUAGAAUCCAAAUUUAAAGGACCAAAAUAGAUCUAAUUGUCAAACUCAAAUACCAAAAUGGAUCUAACUUAAAAGCAAUAUUGAAACAUGUCUUUCUUGUUUUCUCCGUCUCUUAAAACCCCCUGACCUUUGUUUUUUUUUUUUUUUAGUCUUUGAGUUCCUUAGAGAGUUGGUUCAUAUUUUAGGAUAUUGUUUCAUGCUUUUGGCUUGCGAGUUCUUUGUAUUGUAAUGGUAUUUUUUGUAUUAGUGUGAGGAGUAUUGUGGUGUUAUUUUGCUAUCCAUUGAUUCGUUUUGGGUGAAGGUUUUAUUUUGAGCCUUUGUGUUUGUAUGGGAUACCUUAUCUUCGAGUUCUGGGUUUUUCUUUAAUAUAUUUCUAUCGGUUCGAAAAAGAUGGAAGUCUAGAUUUGAUUUGGAGAUAAAAUUGUGUUUUAAUUUUUGUGUACUUUCCUGAUUUUUCUAAAUAAUAUUUUUUUCUGCUUCAAUCCAACUACAAUACUUGCAUUAUAAACAACUAUUUCAUUGAAUUUCUUUUUUAUUUUAAAAAUACUUUUUAAACUGUUUUUUUUCUAGAGAUUCUCUAAAAUUUUCUAUUAAAAACUUUAUAUAUUUGGUAAAAGGAUUAAAGAAGUUCCUGUACUUAGUGAUGGAUUGCAUUUCAACCCUUUUAUCGAAAAAAAUUGACAAAUUAAUUUUUAUACAUUUCAAAACAUACAAAUUUGUCGCUUCGUUAAAAUUUUUCUACAUUUUAACCUAUUCAUCAUUUCCUUUGCAGAAAAAUAGUUGAUAUACCAUUAGAACAUGAGCCUCAAACAUUAUAAAUGAAUAAUAAUACCUCGGUCUAUGAAGAAGUUAUGUUACAUUUGAUGGAAUAUCAAAGGAAAAUUUUUCGUUUAUUUUAAAAAGAUUUUAUUCAAUUUUCUAAUUGUAUAUAUAAUUGAUAUUAAUUAUUUUUUAUUUUAAGUUUAAUUAUUUUAAAACAUAUUUAUUAAAUAACUUUUUUUGGUGUUAUUAAUUAAACAUCAAAUGCAGCAUUAAUAUUGUAAGUCUUCCGUUAUUUAAUAUUUAAAUAAUAUGAAAUUGAACAUUUAAACGUAAAAUAUAAAAUUAUUCUUAAUAAUUUAUAAUAAAGGGAAUAAUAAAACAGAUGAUUAGAUGAAAUCAAGAAUCAGGUUAAAUUCACACCUGACCAUGGAAAUAUUUGUGUCGAUAUGAUUUAUAAACAGGGUUUAGCCAUGAUACUUUUCUGUGAGAGGCAAAAUCAAAAUUUUUCUUUUCACUUAAAAACUUAAUAUUUUAAUUUUUCCUCAAUUUUGUCCAUUCAAACAUGUUAAGACUGUAUGGUUUGAUUUACCUGUUGGUACGUAAGCUUAUUCAUGCAAAAGUGUCCUUUUAUCAAUUAAAAAGAACAGCAAUAAGGUAAAACGUCAGUUUUUAAUAGAGUCUGACUGCGUCGUCGGCAAAUGAGUGUAGAAUCUUUUACGGUAAGCAAAAGCAUGCUAUCCUAUUUUCCUCCAAUAGCAUAUUUAUUUAUCAUUAAUAAUUACUUUCAUUUUAAUUGUAAUAAAAAUUUAUGACAUAAUUCAUCGUUUACAAACACCAUCUUCAUAUAAUAUUUAAAUUUUCUUUUAGAUAAUUUAUGAUUAUAAUUCUUGAACACAUAUGACAUAAUGGAUGAUUAUUUGGUAUAGCUGAUAGUAAAUUUUUAAUUUCAUAAAUAGAUUUGAAAGUUUGAUAUAUAUUUUAAGUUGUAUUUAAAAAAAAUAGGAUAUAUGAAAAUUUUUCAAUCUCGCUUAUUGAGUUAAUUAAUAAUCCAUAAAAAAAUAUUACUUUGUAUGUUUUAAUUCUUAAUUAAUUUUAGAUAUUUGACUUCUAUUAAUUUAAAUGUUUUAAUGUUUUUUUUGAAUUAAAAAAAGUGUGUAUUUAAUUCUUCAUAAAACAAAUUAUUUGUAAAUAAUCAUAAAUCGGUAUAAGAAGAUCAAACCUAAUAUAUCAAAGCAACUAAUAGCGGAUUGAUUGUUUGAUUUCAAAUGUUUAAAUUUGAUAAUCAAUCAAUUUAAAGAUACAAUGAGAUGUAAUUUUGUAAAUUAGAUAUCUCAAUCUUAGUAUUAAAUGAUUGAUGACUCUAAGCUACUUAAAAACAAGAAGACAAUCAAUCUUCACUUUAAUUUAUAUGAUCCAAAGUUCUUAACACCAUUUCAAAGAACCGUUCAGAAAUUAUAGAUACAAGAUCUAAUCAAAACAUCAAGUAACGGCCAAAUCAAAACCCACCAAAGAGAUAUCCAAAGUCUCAAAUCUGGAAUUAAAGGUCAACGUAACCACAUCAUACAAAGAAAUGCUCCCACCACUCCACUUCGGGACAUGUACAAAAUCUGAUUUCUUCGAUCACUACUUGAAAGAGUUGAUAAUUCUCAUAUUUAGAAUUAUUUUAAUUUAGUUUUUAUAGUAUUUUAGGAGUAAAAUCUUUUUUAUUAUAGUUUAUAGUUUUUGAAAUUAAUUAGAUUUUAUUUAAUUUUCCGGAUUUAUUAGCUAUAUUUUUCUCCAUUGUAAAUUUGAGAUAAAAAAAAUGAAAGAGUUGAAAUAUAAAGUAAGAAAGGAUGAAAUCUUCUACUCCACUUGAUCAACUUUACAGUGAACAUAUUUUUAAAUUCAGAAAUUUUGAUAGCAAUUAUUCCUUCUACCAUAAUUUUUUAUUUGGUGGAGCUCCUAAUAAAAGUCAAAAAGAAAAAAAAAGUAUGGGUUUGACCAAUAUUUUAUGGUUCAUUUUUUAUAUAUUUACUCUAAUCUCUGUUUCUAAAAAAUAUCUUAAAACAUUGAAAAAAUAUAUAGUUUAAUUAGCAACAAAUACGCGUUUUUUAUUCUCAAAUUAUUGGUCCAAUCGGUUGAUUUAGUUAGAGAUUCAAAUAUUAUUUAUGAUUUUAAUAUAAAAUAUGAGAAAUGAUGUUCACAUUUCAAAUGAUGUUCAAAUUGAUGGAAACAGUCAAAAAAGAAAAAAUCCUGAGAUGUCAAGUUUACAUUUUAAAACUGGAAGAAAGAAAUCCUCAAAGCAAAUUGGAGGGGCUGCAAGAUUGUCCAGUCAAAUAGAAAAACUAUGCAAUGCAGCUGACAAUAUGAGUCAAGCCACAUCUAGUUUGACUCCUGUUAUGGAUCCAUAUGGUAUUCCACAAGCAGUCAAAAUGCUUGACAGCAUGUCGGAAGAAGUUCCAGAAGCUAGUCCGCUAUACUUUUUCGCACUUAGAUUAUUGCUCAAUAAGGACAAGCGAAUUAUGUUUUUAUCAAUUAAUCCUAAUAUUAGAGCUUUGUGGCUUAAGACGGAAAUGGAGGAUAGUUGAAAAUUUUUUGAUCUUCUAGGGUUUAAAGAUAUCUAUUUAUGUGUAAUCUUCUAGUUAUAAUGGCUUAAGCGAAUUAUGUUUUUAUCAAUAGUUAUUUAUGUUUAGUUUUUGGAUAUUGAAUUUAUGUGCGAAUUAUGCUUUUGGAUAUUGAAUUUAUGUGUAAUCAAUUAUGUUUUAUUAAUAGUUGUUUAUGUUUGGUCUUUAGAUAUUGAAUUUAUGUUCCACUUAUUUUUUAUUAAAUUAAUUUUAUUAAUGGUUGUUUAUAUGUGAUUUUGGAUAUAAAAUUUAUUCACAGGUGAUGAGUAUAGUUGAGGAUUAUAGCAGUGAUGAAAGUGAUGAUCAAAGGGAAAAGAAAGAGAUGUUACAACGCAUGGAAUGUUUUAACCGAAUAUUUGUUGUUGCAUCUUCUUCCAUGCAAUUAUAUUACGAGAAGUAUAUAUUGAGGCAACCAUGCAUGGAUUCAAAACAGUCAGGUGAGACAUGGAUCCGAGAGAUCCUUGACGGUCACGAAUCACGUUGUAUGAUUAAUUUUAAGAUGUCUAAAAUGGUAUUCACAAGUUUGUUGAGAGUUUUGGAGACAAGAUACAACUUGCAAACUUCAAGAAACAUAUCUUCUACUGAAAUGUUGGGAAUUUUUUUAUACAUCUUGGGCACCGGUGCAAAAGUUUCCCAAUGUCGAGAAAGAUUUCAAAGGUCUGGAUCAACAAUAAGUCGAUACUUUGCAGUUGUGCUUGAGAAAGUUUCAAGGAUGGCCAUUGAUCUAAUUGCACCUGAAGAUCCUUUUUUUAGCUCAAUACCCGAACAAAUACAUAAUGAUUCUAGAUAUAUGCCGCAUUUUAAGGUUAAAAUUUAAUUUCAUAUUAUUAUAUUUUAAUAUAUUUGGUCGACUAAAAAUAUGCACGAGAGUAAUAUGAUUAUUUGUUCAGGAUUGUAUAGGUGCAAUUGAUGGUACUCACAUUGCGGCUAUUCUUCCACCAAAUGAACAAAUUCCCUAUAUUGGAAGAAAAGGUAUCCCGACUCAAAAUGUUAUGGCAGUAUGUGAUUUUAAUAUGUGUUUCACAUUUGUCAUGGCUGGAUGGGAAGGAUCGACACAUGACACUAGAAUAUUUCUUGAUGCAAUUCGAGAUCUAAAAUACAAAUUUCCGCACCCUCCAAAUGGUUAGAUAUUUUAUUUAUAUGUGAUUUUUUAAAUAAUAAAGUAAGUUCUUUAAUUGAUUUUUUAUUAAAAAAAUUCUUGAAUUAAUUGUUUGUUAUAUUAUGACUUGUAGAAAAAUAUUAUCUUGUUGAUUCUGGAUAUCCUCAAAUGAAAGGUUAUCUUGGACCAUAUAGAGGUCAACGAUAUCAUUUACCUGACUUCCGAAGAGGUAGACCGAUUUCUGGUAAAGAAGAGAUAUUCAAUCAUUCACAUUCAUCAUUACGUAGUGUGAUUUAACAAACUUUUGGUGUUUUAAAAAAAAUGGGCCAUUUUAAGGGAUAUGCCAAGUUAUAGUUUUGAAAAGCAAACGGUGAUCGUUGUUGCUAUAAUGACGAUACACAAUUUUAUCCGAAAACAUGUUGGUCAAAAUGAUGUAGAUUUUAUGGAAUACGAAGAUAUUAACUCGGCAUAUGAGAAUAGUAUUGAUUCAGAAAAUGCGCAUGGGCCACAAAGUGAUGAUGAUGACGACGACGACGACGAUGAUAGUAAUGAUGAUGGUGAAUCAAACAUUUUUAGUGGUUUUGAAAUGGAAUUAACAAGAGAUGCUAUAGUUUCUAGUUUAAUGAAUUCAAUUUAAAUUGUAAAUGCUAUUGUAAAAUUUUUAGUAUUUAUAUCUGAUAUAUAAAUAUUAUCCCCUUUUUAAAACUUCAAUCCAAAUAUAUCUAAUAUUUUAAUUUGUUAAGUUUAUGUUUUCUAUGUUAUAUUAAUAUCUAAUAUGAGUUAUAUAUUCAAAUAUAUUUUAAAAUAAAAUAAUACAAGCGUGUUAAAAGUAUUAAUUAAAAAUAAAAAAUAAUUUUUAUAAUAAUACAAUCGUGUCAAUAUCUAAUUACAAAUAUUUAAAUAUUUAAAUAUAGUUUAUAUAUUCUAAUUAAAUUUUAUAAAUAAUUAAUAUUAAUUACUUAGAAAUAUUUAAAAUUAAUAUUAUAUAUUAAAAUAUUAACAAUAAGUUAUAAUAAAUUAUUUUUUUAUAUUUUUGCUAAAAUAUCAUAAUAUUAACUAAUUUGAACAUUAUUUAAAAACAUAUUUGUUACUUUAUAAUCUCAUGUCUAAAAUGGACAUUUUAUUCUUCAAAAAUACUUUUUAACACUAAUAGCAAACACUCAAAUUUUUCAAAAGCACUUCUUAAAAAUAAUUCUCAAAAGCAUUUCUCAAAAGUAACGAAAAACUAGCCCUUAACGCCCCGUUCUUCUGCACGUUUUAGAAGUGCUUUUGGCUGAAAAAUCCUUUUCCUUUAAAAGGAAUGAAGAACAGCCUCCUUUUCUUCUGAAAAUUUCACCAUCAGAAAAGGACUUCUCUCCAGAUGAAAAGUUAAAAUUUCUCUUUUUUUUCAGCUUAAAGUGCUUUUGGCUGAAAAUUGACCAAAUUAACCUAUCGUCUUCUCCCACAAACUUUCUUUCCCCUCCUCUGCUGGUUCUUUGGAACUGUCUUCUCCCACAAACGUGCUUUUGGCUGAAAAGAACAGAAAUUUGAUUUCUCAAAUUUUUCCACAAACGUGCUUUGGAACUGUCUUCUCCCACAAACGCUCUCCCACUCCCGCGACGGGGCGCUGUCAAUCGGCUGUGCUUCAGGGUCGAAGGAAGCAUAUGGAAGGUCUCACUGUCUGCAUGCUCGAUCUCCACAUUCCCUUCCCGAGUAUCUCUCUUUCUUCAUAUCUUUUUUUUUGUGCGGCUUCGUGGUUUUAUUAGAAUGCGUUCAUAGGGGAAUUAGUCUUACGAUUAAUAUUUUCUCUUGUAAAAAGGAUAAAUUGAUGUUGCAAUUUAAUGACAGUUUUUAUGCUAUGGAUUGAGAAUGAGAUUCUAGGGUUUUUCAUUGAAUGAAUUUGCUUUUGGUUGUUUUAUUAACAAACUUCAUCGCUUCGCUUAAGAAAAAAAAAAUCCUUCUUUUAAGAUUGAAUUUAUGAAGUUUUAUCGGUUAAUUAAAUGCUUAGCUCUUUUCUAAUGACUGUAACCAAUGUAGCAAUGAUAUUAAAGAAGGUUUAGUUAUAAAAGUGGAGAGAUAUUAUGCUAAACCGAACUACUAACUUCAAUAGUUUACUUCUUAGUGUUCUUAUAGAGGCAAUUUUGUUUGAAAAGGAUCUUUCUAAACAAUGUAAGAUUUGGUAUUUUUGCUUAUUUUGUGAUGGUUGAAGAAGUUUGUGCGUAUCACUGAUUUAAUAACUUUGUCUAACGUCUCAUCCUAUGUUUUAUUUUUAAUACAUAAAUUUUUGAUACAUUGGAGCAGGCAAAAUUGGGGUUAAGGAAGUUUCAGUCGGAGUUGUUGCAGUUUUUGAUGGUCAUAAUGGUGCUGAAGCUAGUGAGAUGGCUUCAAAACUUUUACUGGAGUAUUUUGCUCUAUAUACAUAUUUCCUUUUGGAUGCAACUUUUUCCUUUGUAUUGAAGAAGCAGUCAAGUAGGUUGCCAAAUGUAGGAGAAGGGGAUAUUGUUUUCUGUUGCGGAAAGGAUCGAUUCGAGAACUCCGAUAUGACUACAAGUAAAUUGACCGAAACGAAAAAUAAAGUGAACACAAGGAUUUACGUGGUUCGGCUUUAAUGCCUACGUCCACGGGCAGAGGCGAAAAGAAAUUUCACUAUAACAAGAUGAAGAUUACAAGUGUUUUACACUCAAGACACAACCCGAGAACCUCACAACUCUCAACCCCUAUAGAAAACCCGAAAGCUAAAAUCCUAGCUUUCAAAGAACAAGCUUUGCUCUCUCUUGGUUUGGGAUGAUCAAUAUGGCUAAUGAACCUCUCUAUUUAUAAGAGAGUUCAAGGACAUAAUUGUCCAAAACUUUGGCAAAGAUUUGUGGUUGAAAAUGGACACCAACAACCAUCCACUAAUCCACUACCACCAACAACCCACUACCAACAACAACAAUCCACUACCAAUUUUAAGCCAUUUCUUAACAAAUCUCCACCUUGGCUUGAAAUUUACCAAGCUGAACAUCAUAGAAACUCCAAGCCAUUAUCCGUCCGGAAUCGCUUGAUCUUCUUUCCUGUUUGAUUUUCGAUCAAAGCUUUAAAUUGCUUGAAGUUGAUGAGAACCUCAUACUUGCUCUUCAGAAAAUACACCCAAACCUUUCUCGAGUAAUCAUCGAUAAAGGUAAGCAGAUAUCUGUAACCACCUUUAGAAAUUGUCGGAGAAGGCCCCCAAAGGUCAGAAUGGAAGUAAUCCACUGUGCCUUUUGUCUUGUGAAUCCCAGUGCUGAACUUUACCCGAGUCUGCUUACCGAAGACGCAGUGCUCACAGAAAUUCAACUUUCCUGUACACUGCCCAGACAAUAAUCCUCGUUUGCUUAGCACCGAUAAGCCUCUCUCGCUCAUAUGCCCGAGCCGCAUAUGCCAUAACUUCGUGGUGUCAGAAUCUAGAUCAUCUGAUGAUGACACUCCCGCAACACCUGUAACCGAGGAACCAUCGAGGAAGUAAAGGCCCCGCUCCAAAUUACCACGUAUCACAGUCAAAGCACCCGAGAAUACCUUGAGAACUCCACCUUCAGCAGAGUACCGAAAGCCUUUCUUGUCCAACGUACUCAAAGAGAUCAAAUUUUUCUUCAUUUCUGGAAUGUGCCGAACAUCAGUUAGAGUUCUAACAAUACCGUCAAACAUCUUUAUACGAACUGUGCCAAUCCCCAUGACUUGACAUGCGUGGUCAUUUCCCAUUAGUACUGAACCAGAAUGCUUCUCGUAUGUUGAGAAUGCAUCUUUCGAAGUACUUAUAUGAAAUGUAGCUCCCGUAUCAAGAAUCCAUCUCCCACCAGCGUAAGAGUCGGAUACUGCAAGAACGAUCUCGGCAUCACUUGAAGAAUCUGCAUCAGCUACAUUCGCACGAUCAUUUUGUUGCUCCUGUGAUUCUGAUUUCUCCUUCCUUUUCGGACAAUCUACCUUCAUGUGCCCGUACUUCUUACAGUAGUAGCACUGUAUUCUCUUCUUGGACUGCGAUCUAGGAUGGCUUUUACUUGAACUUCCACCCUUUGCCUUGGAUCUUCCUCGAGCAACCAAGCCUUCGCCUUCAUUGUUUUCGACCACCUUACCAGUGAUUUUCUUCCUCAACUCACUGGAACUUAAGGCAUUUUUCACCUCCUCUAGAGUCAGGUCAUCACGACCGUACAUCAUUGUAUCAACAAAAUUCUCAUACGAGGGAGGCAAAGAACACAAAACAAUUAUUGCUUGGUCCUCAUCAUCGAUUUUGUUAUCGAUAUUAUUCAAAUCCAUGAUAAUGGAAUUGAAUUUAUCCAGGUGCUGGGAAACAGGUGUACCUUCCUCCAUCUUCAGGGCAUAGAGUCUUUGCUUGAGGUAGAGCCGGUUCGUCAAUGACUUCGUCAUGUACUUGCUCUCUAACCGGAGCCACAAACCGGACGCGGUUUUCUCAUCCGCUACUUCUCGUAGCACUUCAUCUCCUAGACAUAGCAGAAUAGCACUAUGUGCUCUUUCUAGCAUGUCAUCCUUUUGCUCUUCCGAAAGCGUGCUUGGUAAUUUAUCUUUACCAGACAAUGCUUUUAGCAAUCCUUGUUGAACCAGCACUGCCCGCAUCUUGAUGCGCCAUAAACUGAAACUAUUUUUCCCGGUAAAUUUCUCGACAUCAUACUUAGUCGAUGAAACACUUGUAGCCAUAAUUUGGAACCUUUGAAUGAAUGAUAAUAUUUUCUUCCUGAUGUGAAAGAUCAGACAAAGCUGCAGUCACAGGGCAAUUCAGAAAAUAUUAUCACUCCUUCAACUACGCUCUGAUACCAAUUUGUUGCGGAAAGGAUCGAUUCGAGAACUCCGAUAUGACUACAAGUAAAUUGACCGAAACGAAAAAUAAAGUGAACACAAGGAUUUACGUGGUUCGGCUUUAAUGCCUACGUCCACGGGCAGAGGCGAAAAGAAAUUUCACUAUAACAAGAUGAAGAUUACAAGUGUUUUACACUCAAGACACAACCCGAGAACCUCACAACUCUCAACCCCUAUAGAAAACCCGAAAGCUAAAAUCCUAGCUUUCAAAGAACAAGCUUUGCUCUCUCUUGGUUUGGGAUGAUCAAUAUGGCUAAUGAACCUCUCUAUUUAUAAGAGAGUUCAAGGACAUAAUUGUCCAAAACUUUGGCAAAGAUUUGUGGUUGAAAAUGGACACCAACAACCAUCCACUAAUCCACUACCACCAACAACCCACUACCAACAACAACAAUCCACUACCAAUUUUAAGCCAUUUCUUAACAUUUUCCAAGUGCUUAAUUGGGACAAAGAGAUUGGAAAGCAUGGCUUGAACCUUGAAAGGUGAUAUCAUGUGUAACUCAGACCAUAUUUAUGUUUGAGUUCCUUGUUUUAGAAAAUGGAUAUAGCUGUUGCUUGCUGUUGACGAUUCUUAACCCAAAGUAUUAAUGCUUGCUCAGAUUAUUAACCCAAUGUUUAUUUCAUCAUCUUAAAGUUGCUUCCUGUUUGCUUCUACCUGCUAUUCAGCUGGUUGUGGGAAUUAGCCAUCCCUGGUGGAUUUCUCUGACAUUUUUCAUUGGAAGCUGUAUUAGGCUAGUGGAUUGGUCUUUGACUAGCAAUUUUCUAGGACUAUUCAGGUGAUUGCUUCUUGACUCUUUGUACAUUGUUCUAUUUCAUUUUCUUUGUCAAUGAAUUUGGUUUUAUCAUUGGUUAAUGUUUUUAGUAGCUUAUGUUCUGUUUCUUUUUUGUCAAGGUUGUGGAAGGCUCUCCAGUUUUAUGCAGGCUUCAGCAUUUUCAUGCUUUAUGUGUAUCAACUCCUUAUAGAGUUCUCAAGUAUGUUACAGUGGAUAGCUGAUUUUGUUGGUCUAUUCAAAAUAUGUUCAACAUCUGAGUGGACUGAAAUUUGCUCUUCUGUUUCUCUUGUACUUUAUUACAUCAUGGUAUGUACUAGUUUUAUUACUAUAGGUCUGAUUCUGUUUAAAGAUUUUAGCUGAACCUUUUAAUGAAAUGCAAUUCACUCUUCCCUCUUCCUAGAAUCUUAUAUUAUGAAAUUGACUUCAUUUGAGUCUUUCCUGUGUCUGACAUUUGUCUAUCUAAUAGUCUUUUCCCCAUAUUACUAAUUUAAGAUGGUUUGAAGUGUUUUCUUUCUAUAAGAAAAAUUUCCCGAACAGAUAUGAAGUAAUUAGUUGCAAACUAGACUUUGGAGAUUGAUGACAUUUUUGCCAUUCUGGAUGCAAUUUUUAUUCAAUUUGCUCAAUGAAAUUGCAAUUGAAAAUUUGAGAGCUUCCUAGUUAGAAACCACAUAUUUAUAUAAUAUAUGUUUUUAAUAGUUUUGAACAAGUUAAAUUAAUUAUAAAGAAAUAAUAUAAUUGAGAACAAGAUUAGAGCAGCUCGUUUGUACAUCUCAAUCUUAAUAUUAAGUGAUUGAUGACUCUAAGCUACUUAAAAACAAGAAGACAAUCAAUCUUCACUUUAAUUUGUAUGACGCAAAGUUUUUAAAACCAUUUCUAAGAACCGUUAAGAAAUAAUAGAUACAAGAUCUAAUCAAAACAUCAUGUAACGACCCAACCAAAACCCACCAAAGAGAUAUCCAAAAUCUCAAAUUUGGAAUUAAAGGUCAACGUAAACACAAAAUUCUCCAAAAGUAUUAUGAGUUCUAACCUUUUAAUGGGUAUAAUUUUUAAGGUUUUACAAUAGCCUAUUUACAUGCAAAAUUUGUAGCCCAAAUAAUAAUAAAAUAAUAUAAACUAAUCAAUGUUUAACUAAAAUAAAUAAAUAGAGUUUAGCUGAAAGAUUACCUCUCAAAUUUAAUCGAAAUAUGAGGCAAGGUAUCACUUCAAUGGUAUAAAGCUACAUAAAAUCUUAGUUAUGUCUUUGAAAUAUUUUCAUAAAGGCAUGUGCAAAAACUUUUUCAUUCUUAACAAAUUCAUUCCACUCAAUAUUAUUUAUUUAAAAUCAAAACCACAUUUAUUUUUAAACAACAUCUAAUAAUGUAUUUGGCUCAUCCAACAAUUUAUUUUUAAACGACAUUUAUUUAAAAAGAACCAAAUGAGAAUCAUUAUACAACUUCAUAAAGUCGAUGACACAUCCAACAUUUAAAGCACAAAGAAACUAGAUAGGCCAACAACAAAACAAUAAUGCCAACAUUCUCAAAUACGGCAACAAAUUUGUUCUAAAAACAAAAGUAAGCGCAUCGCACCUAGAGCGUAGAAAUACUUGAAUUCAAUCAUUGUAACAACGAAAAAGGAAACAAGACAUCCAACAUCCUCAUCACAAUAGAUUCUCCUUUGACCCGCCAACAGCGUUUGCAAUGCAAUAAAACAAAAAGAGGUUAUUGUGAUAGCAACUCUUAUAAAUAUUCCAAAAUUAACUUUUAGAUGCAUCAAGUCUUAAUCUAAGGGAAAGGGUUUAUCCAAACAUGAAAAAUCUAACCAACUCAAUUCAAUUCAACCCAACCUCAACCUAUCUAUAUAGUUUACUUUUAAUUUAUAUCUAAUUUCAAUUAUGGUUUAAAUUUAAAUAUUUUUUAACAAAAAUUUUAAAUACUUAAUAUUGAACAAAUAGCCAUAUUUAUGAAAAAAUUUGUAAUUAUGAACAUAACUUAACACAUAGGUAAAAGUAUUUUUUUUACUUAAUAAUAUUAUUAGCAAUAGUACGUUAUUAAUUGUAUAUGAAAAUAAUGAAGCUUAAAAAUUAAAAUUUAAAGACAAUGUCAUUGUCAAAUUUACUCAAUUUAUUUUUAACCAUAGUUACCUAUGUACAUAUGUGACACACAUAAUAAGAUGCUAAUAUAUAUAAGGCAAAAUAUUAUAAAGUUAAACGGUUAGAUAAUGAAGUGAAAUGUUUCUAACCUUAUGCAAUAUUUGAACUUGUUAUAGUAACAGUAUCCAAUGAUGUACUUGGCUCAUCAUUAGAGUUCUCACACCUAUGAACCUCCAUUGAUGUUUCAAGCGGCAGUUGAUGGAAUGGCUUAGGAGCCAUUUCAAGGAGUUCAACAUCAGAUUCAAGCAUCUUCAAAACUUUACUCAUUGAAGGACGAUCAGAAGGCAGUAAUUGUAUACACCAAAAGGCUGUUAUUACCAUUUUCUUUACCAUUGCUUUUUCAUCGUCAGAAACAUCUCCCAACUCCAAGUCAUCUCCUUGAUCUAAUCGGUCAUAAAUCCAAGAUGGAAAAUAUAUUUGACUAGUGUGGUCAGCAAAUGCAUUCACAUUCUUUCUCCUUCCAACUAUUUCCAUCAGUAACAUUCCAAAACUAUAAACAUCGGCUUUGUAUGAGAUGCCUCCAAGAUUUUUGUAAACCAAUUCAGGAGCAAUAUAUCCUAUCGUUCCUCGUGCCGCAGUGAGAGAGACAAUGCUAUUAUCUACUGAAUACAAUUUAGCAAGACCAAAAUCCGAAACUUUUGGAUUAAAAUUCUCAUCAAGAAGAAUAUUGUGUGGCUUGAUAUCAAAAUGUAGAAUUUGCAUGUCACAUCCUUGAUGUAAGUAGUGAAUUCCUUGAGCCACCCCAAGUACAAUAUCAAACAUUUUUUUCCAGCCCAAAGUGUUCUUAUUUUCUUCUGUAAAUAUGAUUUUAUCUAAAGAUCCAUUAGACAUGAAGUCAUAUACUAGAGCUUGCUUUGAUCCCUCCACACAAAAUCCGAUAAGUUUUGCCACAUUAGCAUGAUGAAUUGUCCCAAUGGAAGCAACUUCGUUUAUGAAAUCUUGGCCAUUACCUUUUGAUUUGCCCAACAAUUUUAUUGCCACAUGAUGGCCGCUACGAAGCUUUCCUUUAAACACUGAGCCAUAACCCCCUUCACCUAAUUUAUCUUUAAAAUUGUUAGUCAUUUUUUUAAUUUCUUUAAAAGAAUACCUUAAUGGCACUAGAUUAUUUUGGCUUUUAAGGAACUCUUCGAUCAUAUCAUCCAUGGAUAAAUGUCUUCUUCUCCAUUUGUACGUGACAAAAGCAAGCAAACAAAUGAUCCCAGGAAAUGACCUCAAGAUAACUCCACCUUUAAAGAAAUACAAUGUAACAUGUUGAAAUUAAUCACAUAAUAUAUAACUUACAUUCUCAGAAAAAAGGAUAUAGUGUGAUAGUUUUAUGUUAACUAGUAUUUGAGAGAGUGGCAUAUUUCACUAGUCUAUGGACUUAACCGAGAGUAGUCUGAAUUAUAUGCAUUGUUUUUGUCAUUAGCAGGUAUAUCUCAACAAAUUAAAAUUCAGAAUUUCAAACACAAAAGGAGUAAAUCGUGCAAAGUGGAUACCAAUUAUUCUAACCUCAAACAUUCCAAUAGAUUUGACAGGGUCAUGACAUUCAGCCAAAUUAACACAUUCGUAACCCCAUCCAAUUAGCAAAUUCUAAAGAAAGAACAUGAUUCUUAACCAUGAAGGAUACUCAACUGUUGUUUCUAUUCAUGCCAAAUAAACUUGAAGAAGGACAAAUUAAAAAUAUAAUAACCUUCAAAUUUCAUAAAUGAAACAAAAUCUAACCACCAAAAGAUGCAAGAGAACCCCCCAAAAAACAGAUUUGAUAAAUUCAAGAGCUAACUUUGUUGAAUGUUUUAGCAAAAUGAAUAUCCACCAAACUUAUAACCUGUGAAAGUUCUAAACAAUACCAUUAUGGAAACAAGCUUAACUAAAACUCUAACAUCUUUCUUAACUUGACAAAAAAUUUCUUUCAUAUAGAAGAAGAUUGUAUUCUGCAUUCAAACUCCGUAAAGAGUGUCAUAGCUUUCUUAGUUUUGUAGUGAAAUUAAAUAUAAACUUGUAUAAUAUGAUAGGCUCCUUAUUCUUUUUUUCCCCCAGAAUAUAGCUAAUAUUUGUUCUCAACUAGUGAAAAUGCAAAUCUGCAAAUCUAAAAUUAAAUAUACCUGUUAUUAGCAAACAGAGACGACAAGCUCCGAGCAAUCUGGAUUAUAUAUUCAACAAAUCAAAGUAAAAUUAAUAAAGGGGUGUAAAGGAAAAUUCCAAAUUUGUGUAAAAAAAUCAAUGGAAGGUAAUUUAAAACAUUAUAUUAUGUUUUGUGGUAUAUACUCAAAAAAAAAAUACAACAAUUCUUUACAUAUGUUUGCUUGUAAAAAGUAUGCAACAUGUAUUACAGUAUAAGAGUUUUUAGGUAACUAAAAUGAUUUAAUAUAAUCAAAGGUGAGACAAAUUUUAUUCAAAUUAAUUAAUCCAAAAAGUAUAUAUUAUUGCAUUAAAAAGAGUUUUUGCGAAAAAAAUAAACUCAUCCACAAUGGUGGAAUAUUUACGUACUACCAACUAAAUUGAAUAGACAUCAAAAAUAAAAAGAAAAUAAAAAGAUAGACAUAAUCAAAUAUAAUUGUCCAAAAAGAAGACAAAACAGCAGAGAAAGCAGAGGCAGAUACUAAAUUAGAAAUGCUUUUAGUUCAUUUGAUUGUUAGAUGUUGAUCAAUUUUAGAUGCAAAAUCAUCAUACUUAUUUACCAUCAUAAAAUUUAAUUGCCAAAAAAGUAACAUAAAAUAAAACAAAACAUAAAGUAGAUGUUGUAACUAAAAAUUCCAGUAUGAUGCACACUCAAAAUGCAAACUUUAAUUAUUAAAGAAACUUACAUUUCUUUCAACGAAACUUUGUUUUGGUAAUCGCAUCUUUUCCAUUCGACCCAAAAACCCUCUAAUAGUUUUUUGUAGAUAUCCAGCGUAGACAUGCCUAUUAUAUUAUCAACCAUAAUUGGAACCGCCGCUUCGAUAGUGCAAGCUUGAUUGAUAUAAGAUAGCUGGGUGUUUCCAUUUAAAAAAUAGAAAUGGGAAGUUGGCAGGGAAGAGGAGGUAUUGGAUUUGAUGGUACAACGAGAAGCCUCAAUAUAAAGUGACGAUUUUAUAGGUUUCGUGCAAUUCAUAACAUAAAUAAUGCUAUAAUCUAACCUUUUAUAACCAGAAAGAAAAUAAUUAUUAUUAUAAAAAAAAAAUUAUUAUUAUUUUUAUUAAUACCAUUAUAAGAAAAAUAAUCUACAGAAGUAAGAGGAAGGGAGUUGCAAUCAUCCGUGUCUAAACUCGCAUCGACCAUUCGUAUUGUAGAAUUUUCGUAAAAGAUUUGUUGGACAGAGAAUUUCCCUCCUCUCCCAACCAAAGUGGUGCGAUUAUUGUUCUCACACUCAAGUUCCAUGACAGGAGAACCACAGUGGGGAGGUUGGUUUUUUAAUCGGAAUGGAAAACUGAUAUUCAAAUUCCCACAGAAAGUAUAGCCGCAGUCUUGGUUAAUAAGACUCCUAGCAAAACAAACAGCAGGAAAUAGAACUACAAAUAAAGCAAAAGAGGGCAUUAGGUGACCCAACAAUGGCAGUUUUGCUUUUAAUUUUGGCAUGCUAAAAUUUUGGGUAGGGAAGAAGAACAACAAUGAGGGUUAACGAUUAAGUUUCUAACUAAACCAGGGAAAUAUAUAAGAAAGCUUCAGUGGGAGAACAAGCAUUAAUGGGGACAGAAGACUUUGACUAGUCUUCAGCUUUAUUUGGGAUGACUAUUUUAUUUUCAAUAAAUUGUUUACACCUUUUAUUCUUUUAUCUUUUUUCUGGGAAACACCUCAAUCAAAGCACAUCUAAUUCCAAGAAUAGAGCCAUGGUUAUCACAAGCAAAAAAAGGAAUUUUAAUAUUAUUCAAAAAAUUUUAAAUAAAUUUGGACCAUAUACUUGUAGAUCAACCGUUAUCACCUAAAUAAAUUCCAAUUACAAUGAGGAGGACCAAGACAAUGCAAGUCUUAAGUCUUCUUUGAAACACAAAAACAUCACUGCAAAAUAGACUUUUAGCGGCAUUUUUUAGGCCUAUAGCGGCGCUUUUAGGCGUCGCUGGAAAUAGAGCGUCGCUAAAACUAUUUCCGGCGCUUUCACAAGCACCACAAAAAUGCCGCUAUAAACAUCGCCGCUAAAUUUUGCGGCGUUUAUAUGAAAAAACGCCGCUAUAGAACAUGAUCUUUAACGACGCUUUUAUCACAAACGCCGCUAAAGAACAUGGCCUUUAGCAGCGUUUUUAUCACAAACACCGCUAAAGGUAAUAAUCUUUAGUGGCACUUUUAUCACAAACGCCGCUAAAAUAAUAUGAUCUUUAGCGGCGCUUUACCCACAAACGCCACUAAAGAUCAUUACCUUUAGCGGCGCUUUUAUAAAAAACGCCACUAGCUUUUAAAAAUAUUAAAUAUUAAAAAUCACACAUUAUUAAUAUUACAAAUUAAUUAGUAUUGGAUAUAUACUUCUAGUCAAAAAGAUGGUAUUUAAUCAUAUAAUAAAUUAAUAUUUUUUAGUCAAAAUAUUGAAAAAUCAUGUUAAUAUUUAAAUAGCAAAAUUACAAGUUCAAAUAGUGCAACUAAUUGAUUGGAAAAAAAAUGCACAAGUUCAAAAUGUGCAGUAAUAAACUUAAAAAUUUAUAGGCUAAAAUGGAAAUUACCUUUUGAAAUUAGACUAAAAUAGGUUUACUACAUUCACUAUUUACUACAUGGGUUUAUUGCUUCUAUAAACUCCAAUUAGGCAUUGAAACAGGGGUGUUUAUAUAUUACAAAAAAGCAUGAAAAAAUAGGAGUCCAUCUCCACACCUCAGAAACCAGGGCAAAUGCAUACCCCAACAUUGCCCUCGUAUUCAGCAUCCAUCUCCAGCUGCUUCGACGAAUACGGAACGAGAAUACAUGUUGCAAGUUCCGUAUUCUAAUGCAGUGGGUAGCUUGAUGUAUGCAAUGGUGUGUACAAGACCCGACAUUUCACAGGCAGUUAGUAUAGUGAGCAGGUAUAUGCAUAAUCCUGGAAAAGGACAUUGGCAAGCUGUGAAAUGGAUUCUACGGUAUAUUCAGAAGACCGUGGAUGUUGGAUUACUGUUCAAGCAGGAUAAUACACUUGGUAAAGGUGUUAUUGGGUACGUUGAUUCUGACUAUGCCGGUGAUUUGGACAAGCGAAGAUCAACCACCGGUUAUGUGUUUACACUUGCUGGAGGACCAAUAAGUUGGAAGUCUACACUACAGUCUACAGUUGCAUUGUCAACCACAGAAGCCGAGUACAUGGCUGUAACAGAGGCUGUAAAGGAGGCUGUUUGGUUAUAAGGUAUGGCUAAAACCUUGGGGUUGGUUCAGGAGCAUAUUAACGUGUAUUGUGAUAGUCAAAGUGCUAUUCAUUUAGCAAAGAAUCAAGUCUAUCAUGCACGUACAAAACAUAUCGACGUACGAUUCCAUUUUGUGCGAGAAAUUAUUGAAGAGGGGAAAAUUUGUCUUCAGAAGAUCAAGACUGCAGAUAAUCCCGCAGAUAUGAUGACCAAGGUGGUAACAGCAACCAAGUUCGAACAUUGUUUGAACUUGAUUAAUAUCCUGCAAGUUUAACAGUUGAAGAAGGCACUAUCAAGUAUUGUGGCUAGGAAAGACUUGGUAUUUAAGUGAUCUUCGUGAUCUACCUCUCUUUCCUGGGAAUUGAACUUAGUGUGAUUUUUCAGUACAAUAAUUUUACUCUUUCACACGCUUCCGCGCAACACACAAUCUUGGUUAAUAAGUUGCCUAGCAAGACAAACACCAGGGAAUAGAAUUACAAAUAAAGCAAAAUGGGGCAUUAGGUGGCCCAACAAUGGCAGUUUUGCUUUUAAUUUGGGCAUGCUAAAAUUUUGGGUAGGGAAGAAGAACAACAAUGAGGGUUAACGAUUAAGUUUCUAACUAAACCAGGGAAAUAUAUAAGAAAGCUUCAAUGGGAGAAGAAGCAUUAAUGGGGACAGAAGACUUUGACUACUCUUCAGCUUUAUUUGGGAUGAAUAUUUCAUUUUCAAUAAAUUGUUUACACCUUUUAUUCUUUUAUCUUUUUUCUGGGAAACACCUUAAUCAAAGCACAUCUAAUUCCAAGAACAGAGCCGCGGUUAUCUCAAGCAAAAGAAAAAGAAGAUUUUAAUAUUAUUCAAAAAUUUUAAAUAAAUUUGGACCAUAUACUUGUAGAUCAACCUUUAUCACCUUAAUAAAUUCCAAUUACAAUGAGGAACAAGACAAUGCAAGUCUUAAGUCUUCUUUGAAACACAAAAACAUUUAAGUGGCUGAGAGCAACAACUGUUAUUGCUUUGGUCCUUUUGUGUUAAGUAAGACAACAGUUUGUUGGAUAUUUCUAAAAAGCAAGUUCAUAGUUAGAACUGUCAAGCAAGGCGACUCAAUGCCCAAUUGUAUAGAUUUUUUUUUCUUCCACGAAUAAUACUUAACCACUUUUCAAAUAAUUUUAUUAAUAUAAUUACAUGUUUUUAUCCAUUCGACUGUGAUACUCGAACUUGACAACUAGUUAUAUUUUGGUUCCUAAACUUAAAAAAUAUGAAAGUUUUAUGAUGCAACUCUCUAAUAUUGUGCUACAUCAUCACUUGAAAAUUAAAAAAAAAAUUAUAUAAAUUUUUAGAGAAUGGCAUGAUACAAUCUCUAAGUGUCACGUUCAUUAUUUUAAUAAUCAAGUUGAUGAUUGAACCAGUCAGACCACUAUUACUCGAUUCAAUUAGUUUGAUCAGUUCGACUGCUAGACCAACAAUAAUUAAAUAAAUCAUUAAACAUUCAUAAAAUUCUAAAAAGGUAGAAAACAAAAUUUAUUAAACUGAUUAAACAUGGUCAACAGCUGGGGUUUUUUUAAAAUUUUUUUAAUUUUUACCAAUUUCAAGUAAUUUUUAUAUUUAAUUGAUUCAACAUCUUUGUUCAAACUAUUAUACCGAUCGAUUCUCGGUCCAAUCAAUCUAACCAUCCAAUCCACUCCUAUACUAGUAACACUAAUCAUAUUAUCAAAUCUUGAUGGAAUUCAAGUUUAAGUUUAAGGGACUAUAGUAGACUUAGCUGCCAAGUUUAGAUAUCAAAGUGGACCAAAAUUUUCGCUUAUUUUAAAGAGAUCUUAUUUUUCUAAAAGUUUUUACUCUUUUUUUUAAUUACUAUAUAAUUUGUACUAAUUAUUUAAAACAUGUGUUAAAUCAUUUUUAACCAUACUCAAAACCAUUUUUUUAAUCAAAUAUAAGUACUUAAUAUUUAAUUAAAUUAAAAAGAUCAAAGAGAUAAAUUUCAAAAUUAUAUAUGAACUUUAAUUUAAUGUACUGCAAUUGUAUAUAUGAAUUUUAAUUUGGUGCAAUUAUACACUUGUAACUCUAAUUGUGGUUCAAAUAUAUACUUUAAACUUUAUAUAUACAAUUACACAUUAAACCAUAGUGUAUGUAUACAUAAUUCAUAAGUUGUACAUAAGAAGUAAGUUUUGGUUAGUGUAAUAUAACUGUGAUUCAAGAUUACGCAUUCAUUUCAGACAAAGCACACCCUUUGAAAUUCAAGUUUUGAUUCUGAUUCUUUCUUCUUCUUUUUUUAAUAAAACCUCUAUGAAAGAAUUUUUUUUUUAAUUCCUUAACGGUAGUGAUUUUGGGUUAUGGAGAAAAAAGGAGUGAAAAGUUGUGAUUUAUGUGGAAGUAGGGAUUUUUCUGUUUUAAUAGUUUUAGAAAUGGAUUUGAUGGAGAUUUCAAUAAUGCUUCAUGUUGGAUUAGUUUUGUUGCUACUUUGGAUGCUUUCUCAAUUCAAUCUUUGCCAUCCACUUCCUUAUUUCCUGUCUCUCAUCUACCUCUAUUUGGCAAUUCAUUCAUCUUCUGCUGAGAAUAAAAAAUGAAACUUUUUUUCUUUAUUUUUGAGCUUGGAUAUUGAACUUUUUUUUUAUUGUUUUUGUUACAGAAAUUCCUUUUAUUUCUUUGUUCAUCAAAGGUUCAUGAAAUGUAUGUGACGAGAUUGAGGAAGAAAUUGGAGUUGGAGGAAAUAAUGCACAAAGAAACUAGACAUGUCAACAACAAAACAAUAAUGCCAACAUUCUCAAAAGCAACAACAAAAAUGUUUUAAAAAAGGAAAUAGACAUCACACUUAGAGUAUAGAAAUACUUGGAUUGUAACCAUGAAAAACGAAAUAAGAUAUCCAACAUCCUCAUCACAAUGGAUUCUCCUCUGAUUCAUUACUAGCCUCUGCAAUGUAAUAACACGAUUAAAAGUUAUUGUAGCAGUAACUCUUAUAAAUAUUAAAAAACUAACUUGUAAAUACAUCGAUCAUGUCUAAAUCUAAUCUAAGUCAAGGUUGAUCUAAACAUGAAAAUUCUAACAAAUUCAUCUCAAUUCAGUCCAACUAAACCUAAACUAAAUUGACACAAAAAUCUAUUUAUAUAAUUUACUUUUAAUUUAUAUAUAACUUUACUUAUGAUUUAAAUUUAUACAUUUAAUAUUGAACAAAUAGUCAAAUUAAAAAAUUUUGGUAAUUAUGAACAAUAACUUAAGACAUAGGUAAUUAAAGAAAAUACUAAUAUAUAUUUAUAUUUAUAUAUAAGGCAAAAUAAUAUAAAGCUAAAAAGUGAGAUAAUGAAGUAAAAUGUUUCUAACCUUAUGCAAUAUUUGAAUUCGCUAUAGUAACACUAUCCAAUGGUGUACUUGGCUCGUUAUUAGAGUUCUCACAAUUAUGAACCUCCAUUGAUGUUUCAAGAGGAAGUUGAUGGAAUGGCUUAGGAGUUCAACAUCAGAUUCAAGUAUCUUCAAGAUUUUACUCAUUGAAGGGCAAUUAUUAUCUUCUUCACCGUUACUUUUUCAUCGUCAGAAAUAUCUCCGAACUCCAAGUCCUCUCCUUGAUCCAAUCGGUCAUAAAUCCAAGAUGGAAAAUAUAUUUGACUAGUGCGGUCAGCAAAUGCAUUCACAUUCUUUCUCCUUCCAACUAUUUCUAUCAAUACAUUCCAAAACUAUAAACAUCGGCUUUGUAUGAGAUGCCUCAAUAUAAAGUGAUAAUUUUAUAAAUUUCGUGCAAUUCAUAACAUAAAUAAUGCUAACCUCUAACCUUCCAUCAUAAUAAUUACCAUAAGGAUAAAUAUAAGAAUAAGAAUCUACAGAAGUAAUUAAGAGGAAGGGAGUUGCAAUCAUCCGUGUCCAACAAUCAACCCCUCCCAUAGUAGGCUGUCGAGGAGCCUCCUGCACAUCAUAAAUAGCACGAGUUGUACGCCCCAAAGCAUUUGCCAAGGACCAUCAAGACGAAGGUCAAUAACAUUUGUGUAAAUUUGGAGUGCUACCUUACAGCCAAAACUAACAGAAUAGUGACUGCUGUUUGGAUUGAAAUGUCAAAUGAGUCAGUUCGGAGUCGGAUACAAGCAAAGUAGCAUUCGAAGCAUCCGUUGCGCAUCAUAGGGGAUAGAAGACCUUGAGUUACAUGAUUUCAUUUUGAGUAUUGAAAAUUGAAAAUAGGAUAACUACCAACCACUAAUAUAUUAUCAGCAAAAUCUCCCAAUUGAAAGAACAAAAGAUGCAUCUAUACUAUGUUUAAAAGUUUAAUAGAGUUUAUGGUUAUCUAUCAAUGAGGUAUCAACUCAAUUGUAAAAUCAUUAAAAUCUUAUUAUUUUUAAAAACAAAAAAUAUUAUUUUGAAGGUAUUUUUAUUUUUAAUUAAACUUUAUAAAAUACAUCAAUUUAAUAGAAUUUGAACCCAAAACAUCAUAAUCCUUAUUACCUAAAUUUUACCAUAUUAAACAAAGCCACAUUUAGCUUUUAUAUCAUUUUUUAAAUAAGCUUGUUAUAUCAUUUUUUUUCACCCAUGUGAGGGUGCCAUAAUCUAAUAUAUCUUUAUUUAAUAAGUAAUAAUCCCAUAUGCAUUAGAGAGUAUUAAGUUGAGUUAUUAAAUUUAGGGUUUGUUAUAUUCUAACGAGUUAUUUUCAAUUCCAUUGAAAUGAUUUAUAGGUGAUAAAUUUUACAAUUUAAUACGAUUAAUUUUAUUAUAUUACAAUGAAAAACAAAAGAAAAAGAAGAAUUUAAUAUGGUUCAAAGUUUUUAAAUAAAUCUGGACCAGACAAACCUUUACCAUUAAUCUAUUCCAACUUCAAUGAGAACGACCACGACGAUGCAAGUCUCAAGUCCUGUUUGAAACGCAAAAGCUUUCAAGUGGUUGAGAGCAGCAAGCCCGAUCCCUUUUGUCCGUUUGUGUUAUGUAAGUCAAUUGUAGAGAACGAUUGUUGGAUAAUUCUAAACGCAAGUUAAUAGUUAGAAUCCUUGAGCAACGCACAUUCCGCCCCAACCCAUGCAUAACGUUAGACGAGACUCAAUGACUAAUUGUAUAUAUUUUUAAUUUUGUUCAACAACUACAUAAGUAUAUUUUUAAAUGAUUGUUAAUAUAAUUACAUGUAUUUUCAUCUAUUUUAUAUGAAUUUAAAAUAUUACAAAUUAAAUAUAAUAUAAGAUACAAGUUCUAUUCAAUUAAAUUUAAAUUUAAAUUCAAAAUUUAAAUUAUCCAACAAUAUAAAUAGUAGACAUAAAUUCAAAGAAAAAAAUUUAGGGUUUAGCUGGAAGAUUACCUCUCAAAUUCGACUAAAAUAAAUAAACAGAAUUUAACUCGGAGAUUACCUCUCAAAUUUAACUGAAAUAUGAAACAUACUCAAUAAUAAAGGUAACAAUUCAAAGGUAUGAAGCUACAUAAAUUCUUAGUUAUGUCUUUGAAAUAUUUUCAUAAAGGCAUGUGCAAAAACUUUUUGAUUCUAAACAAAUUCAUUGUCUCAAUAUUACUUAUUUAAAAUCAAAUCCACGUUUAUUUUUAAACAACUUCCAACAAUGUAUUUGGCUUGUAAUACCCAAUUUUAGCUCGGGCUCACAUAUGGAAACAUAAUCUUCAAGGAUAUGUAAUCUUAGAUAUGAUAUGUGCAAUCUUGGAUAUGAUAUGUGCAAUCUUGGAUAUGAUAUGCAAUCUUAGAAGAUAUGAUUUUGUAAUAUUAGAGAUUUAAUUUGUAGAUACCCUUUAAUCUUAGCCGUUGAUGUAAUUGGUCUGUACCGUUGGAUUUGGGGAGGCUCAACUAUAAAUAGAGGCCUCUCCCUUUAUUGUAAAGGGGGGAGAAAAAACAAUAAAAAAGGGAGAACGAUUGGCAGUUUUUUAAAGGUGACUUACUGUUUUUUUUUCAAUUAUUUAUUUAUGAUUUUAAAAAAGGAAGAAGGUGAUACCACUACGAAUUUUAUUUAUUUAUUUUUAUUUAGCCCUAAUAAAGUGACGCGUUUCAAAGGAUGGGAAUAUUUUUCCAUUCGAGGCCUAUGAGUUAUUCGCGCCUUUUAAUUGGGCCCUACAUUUUUUUCCCUUUAAUUAUGUUUUUGUUGCAAUUUAAUCCCUUUUGUAUUUGUGCUUUUACUAAUUAAUUGAUUAUUAUUAUUAUUUAUUAAUCCUAUUAUUAUUUCUACUAUUAUUGUUAUUAUUAUUUUCAUUAUUUCUUCUUAUCAAUUUACUUAAAUUUCAUGCGCAUAGCUUUAUCUUACUUUGUAUUUUAAUUUAUAUUACUAUUAUAUGUCAUUAUUUAAUUUUAUAAUAUAUUUUUCCUAUUCCUUUUAUAUAUUUGCCUCCAAAUAUGGUAUAUCUUCAACGAUUUUGGUUUUAUUUUUUAUUCAUUUAAAUAUAUUUCUAUAUUUUAAUAGAUUUAUAUAAUAAUAUUUUUUUACAAUACCAUGCUUUGUAUAUAUACAUGAUUGAUAUUAAAUUAUUCUUGUUAUAAAUUAUAGAUUUCAUUUUCGUCUUAUUACCAUAUAUAACUUUCCUCUUAAAAAACUAUUUUAUUAUAUUUUACCUAUUUUAUUGUAUUUCGUUUACUUCAAAUUCUUUUUACAUAUAUUAUUGUAUAUUAUUAUAAAGUCUUCUACUUUUCUAAAUAUACGUAUUUUACAUAUAUCACUUUUUUUCCCUAUUUAUUGCCAAUAUGGUGCAAGAUUGUUGUACUUGUUAUUGCGACAUUAUUACACACAUUCAGUAUCACAUUACAUCAUCUUCUUAUUCAAAUUUAAAAAAAAUAGGAAUUUUAAAAAUUGAGAUAAUGCUCGUAUUUAGGAUUUUCAAGGAAAUUGAGCCCUAACGUACAUUGGGUUUCGAUUUUUUUUGUUAAAUCUAACGAUCGAGAGUUGCUCAUUAAUCAUAAAAAAAAUAAAAUGAAAAGCUUGUUGUCGGGAAUUUAAUAUGUUGUGUCCUAACGUAUUGGAUGUGAUGUAUUUUUUUCUCGAUACAAAGAUUUUUUUUUAAAUAAUAACAAAGGAAGUAUUCCAAGUUUAGGAUUUUGAGAAAUUGUGCCCUAACGUAUUGGCCCGCGAUUUCUUAAAUCUUAAACAAAUGAAUAUUCUUUUAAAUUUUAUCGCUCGAGUAUUUUGGCCUAAUUCAUUUUUGAGGGAUUAGAAUGUCGUGCCCUAACGCAUUGGGUGUGACAUUUUUUUUCCUCCGAAAUGAUAAGAGUCUUAAUAAGUAACGUUUUUAAGUUUUUGCUAAGGAUUAUAUUUUUCAAAAUUUUUGACAUUAAGACACUAAUUAAUUAACUAGGUACCAAUUUUAGGCGUUACGAGGGUGUUAAUCCUUCCUCGUACGUAACCGACUCCCGGAUCCAUUUUUCUAAAACUCGUAGACCAAAUCUAUUUUUUUAGGUGAUCCAAUCACACCUCAAUAAAAUAUUGGUGGCAACUCCCAAUUUUUUGUUUUUUAAAAGUCGACAAAUAAAUUUUUGUUUUUCAAAAAAAUGGUUUCGACAUGGCUCAUCCAACAAAUUAUUUUUAAACAACAUUUAUUUAAAAAGAACCAAAUGAGAAUCAUUAUACAACUUUAUAAAGUCGAUGACACAUCCAACAUUUAAAGCACAAAGAAACUAGAUAGGCCAACAACAACAAAAAUAAUACCAACAUUCUCAAAUAUCGCAACAAAUUUGUUCUAAAAACAAAAGAUAGCGCAUCUCACCUAGAGCGUAGAAAUACUUAGAUUCAAUCAUUGUAACAACGAAAAAGGAAACAAGACAUCUAACAUCCUCAUCACAAUUGAUUCUCCUCUGACCCUCCAACAGCGUCUGCAUUAAUGCAAUAAAACAAGAAGAGGCUAUUGUGAUAGCAACUCUUAUAAAUAUUCCAAAAUUAACUUUUAGAUGCAUCAGGUCUUAAUCUAAGGCAAAGGGUUUAUCCAAACAUGAAAAAUCUAACCAACUCAAUUCAAUUCAACCCAACCUCAACCUAUCUAUGUACUUUACUUUUAAUUUAUAUGUAAUUUCAAUUAUGGUUUAAUUUAAAUAUUUUUUAACAAAAAUUUUAAAUACUUAAUAUUGAACAAAUAGCGAUAUUAAUGAAAAUUUGUAAUUAUGAACAAUAACUUAACACAUAGGUAGGUAAAAGUGUUUUUUUUUUACUUAAUAAUAUUAUUAGCAUUAGUACGUUAUUAAUUGUAUAUGAAAAUAGUGAAGCUUAAAAGUUAAAUUUUAAAGGUAAUGUCAUUGUCAAAUUUACUCAAAAUUUAUUUUUAACUAUAGUUAUCUAUGUACAUAUGUGACACACAUAAUAAGAUGCUAAUAUAUAUGUAAGGCACACUACACCAAAACAGGUUUUUAGCGGCAUUUUUUUAUGCCUUUAGCGGCGCUUUUUAGCGUUGCUAAAAGUAUUUGUGGCGUUUUUGGAAGCGCCGCAAAAAAUGCCGCUGUUCUCAACGCCGCAAACGUUUGUGGCUUUUUUAUAAAUAAACGCCGCUAUAGAUUAAGACCUUUAGCGGCGCUUUUUCAACAAACGCCGUUAUAGAUCAGGAUCUUUAGCGGCGCUUUUUUACAAACGCCGCUAUAGCUCAAGACCUUUAGCGGCGCUUUUUCAAAAAACGCUGCUAUAGAUUACGACCUUUAGCGGCGUUUUUUUCACAAACGCCGCUAUAGCUCAAGACCUUUAGCGACGCUUCUCGCAAAAACGCCACUAAAAACAUAACAUUUAAAAAAAGUAUUUUAAUCAAAUAAUAUUUAUUUUUAUGAUAAAUAUUAUAUUAUGUUUUAUUUUUUAAAUUUGAACUUUAAAUAUACUUUUAAGGAUAAAAAGUAUUAUUUAAUAGAAAAUUUUAACUUUAAAACUAAAUAUAAAAAUUAAUGAAUUUAGUUUUAGAAUUUAAAAUAAUAAAUUAAUAACACAAUUAAAAUCCAAAAGUUAGAACUCAAGUUGUCGUAAAUAUUAAAGUAAUAUUUACACAUUGCAAGGUAAUAAAAAAUACAAUGCAUUUUCUUAAUCAAGUAAAUCUUGGUAAUAAAAAAUACAAUGCAAACUACAUCUGCUACAUUCCUGGUUAUCCAAUCUUCAUGUACCCUGCAGAAUUGGGAAAAUAAUUAUAGUGCAUUAAAACAAAAAUUGAUAUUGACAAGUUAAAUGUGAAAGGAAAACAACAUGAAUGCAAAAAUUAAUACUCGAGGAAAUUGACAACUUAGCUAUCUCAACCAUGGAAAUGAAUUAGAUAUUGAAUAAGAGAGAUUACAGCAAUGAAACCAAUGAAUUCCUAGUUUACAUAUGUAUGUGCCACUGGACUUGUUAAGUGAAGAAUGAGAACCAAAUUUUUUUCAAUGACUACAGGACAUAAGACCAAGAGCAUCAAAAGUUUCCAAACAUGAAACAACUAAUCUAUUAAGCAAGUCAGAAAAUCAACGAGCUUAUUGUUUUAGCUAAUAGUGGAACAAGGAGACAAUUGAGAUCAAUUGAGACUAACCUCGGCUGAGAUGCAGAAGUUUCACGACAAUCAGAAAAGAUCACCUUGAUAUACUUAUAAUCUUCGCACCAUAAAUAAUCAAAGUAAUAAUCAUCGAUAUUAUUCACCUUGUUGCCUAACCUCACAUAAUAAUCAAAAUAAAUUUUAAAACCGCUCAAAAAUUUUAAAUAGAUUACAUCAACAUAUAUUGAGCAUAGCAACCUUCUAAAGAGAAAAUCAAACAAAUCAACUAAACGAACAUAGAAAAAUUGAUGCUUCAAACCAAAACACCAGAAUUUACUUUACCUCCAUCCCAUGGGGUGUCAUCAAGUCUGCAAAUCCAUCAAGUAAAGACAUUAGCACAAUUUAAUAGAACUUUAAUCUAAAAAGAAAGUACAUAAAGAUUCUCUAGUCUUAUUUCAUAAUAUACCCAAAUAUAACAGCAUUCCAAAGCAUAAUGUUGUUAUCUUGAGGUGCACCACUAAUUCCUGCACAAAAUAAAUGAUAAAAAAGGCCACAGUUCUUUAGCAUAAACAGCAAACAAAUUAGAUGAAAACCGGACUUCUACAACUAAACCGAGUUGUAGUAACAGUAUCCAAACGCCGCUAAAAGCCUGUUUUGGUGUAGUGGCAAAAUAUUAUAAAGUUAAACAGUGAGAUAAUGAAGUGAAAUGUCUCUAACCUUAUGCAAUUUUGAACUUGUUAUAGUAACAGUAUCCAAUGAUGCACUUGGCUUAUCAUUAGAGUUCUCAUAGCUAUGAACCUCCAUUGAUGUUUCAAGAGGAAGUUGAUGGAAUGGCUUAGGAGACAUCACAAGGAGUUCAACAUCAGAUUCAAGCAUCUUCAAAACUUUACUCAUUGAAGGACGAUCAGAAGGCAGUAAUUGUAUACACCAAAAGGCUAUUAUUACCAUUUUCUUUACCAUUGCUUUUUCAUCGUCAGAAACAUCUCCCAACUCCAAGUCCUUUCCUUGAUCUAAUCGGUCAUAAAUCCAAGAUGGAAACUAUAUUUGACUAGUGUGGUCAGCAAAUGCAUUCACAUUCUUUCUCCUUCCAACCAUUUCCAUCAGUAACAUUCUAGAACUAUAAAUGUCAGCUUUGUAUGAGAUGCCUCCAAGAUUUUUGUAAACCAAUUCAGGAGCAAUAUAUCCUAUCGUUCCUCGUGCCGCAGUGAGAGAGACAAUGCUGUCAUCUACUGAAUACAAUUUAGCAAGACCAAAAUCAGAAACUUUUGGAUUAAAAUUCUCAUCAAGAAGAAUAUUGUGUGGCUUGAUAUCAAAAUGUAGAAUUUGCAUGUCACAUCCUUGAUGUAAGUAGUGAAUUCCUUGAGCCACCCCAAGUACAAUAUCAAACAUUUUUUCCAGCCCAAAGUGUUCUUAUUUUCUUCUGUAAAUAUGAUUUUAUCUAAAGAUCCAUUAGACAUGAAGUCAUAUACCAGAGCUUGCUUUGAUCCCUCCACACAAAAUCCGAUAAGUUUUGCCACGUUAGCAUGAUGAAUUGUCCCAAUGGAAGCAACUUCAUUUAUGAAAUCUUGGCCAUUACCCUUUGACUUGCCCAACAAUUUUAUUGCCACAUGAUGCCCACUACGAAGCUUUCCUUUAAACAAUGAGCCAUAACCUCCUUCACCUAAUUUAUCUUUAAAAUUUUUAGUCAUUUUUUUAACUUCUUUAAAAGAAUACCUUAUCGGCACUAGAUUAUUUUGGCUUUGAAGGAACUCUUCAAUUGUAUCAUCCAUAGAUAAAUGUCUUCUUCUCCAUUCGUACGUGACAAGAGCAAACAAACAAAUUAUCUCAGGAAAUGACCUCAAAAAGAUAACUCCACCUUUAAAGAAAUACAAUGUAACACGUUGAAAUUAAUCACAUAAUAUAUAACUUACAUUCUCAGAAAAAAGGAUAUAGUGUGAUAGUUUUAUGUUAACUAGUAUUUGAGAGAGUGGCAUAUUUCACUAGUCUAUGGACUUAAUCGAGAGUAGUCUGAAUUAUAUGUUAUGUUUUGGUCAUUAGCAGGUAUAUCUCAACAAAUUAAAAUUCAGAAUUUCAAACACAAAAGGAGUAAAUCAUGCGAAGUGGAUACCAAUUAUUCUAACCUCACACAUUCCAAUAGAUUUGACAGGGUCAUGACAUUCACCCAAAUUAACACAUUCGUAACCCCGUCCAAUUAGCAAAUUCUAAAGAAAGCACAUGUUUCUUAACCAUGAAGGAUACUCAACGGUUGUCUCUAUUCAUGCCAAAUAAACUUGAGGAUGGACAAAUUAAAAAAUUAAUUAAACUGAAUUUUAGUAUUUUUAUUUUAAUAAUUUAUUUAAUCAAUAAGAUUAAUUAGAAUUAGAGGUGUUCAUGGGCCGGGCGGCCCGGCCCGGCCCGGUCCGGUCCAACAGCCCGUCCGAAAUAUGGGAGGGUUUGGGUAAAAAUAUAGGCCCGAAAUAUGGGCUUGGGCAAAAAAACGAGGCCCGAUUAAAAAACGGGCCGGGCCUCGGGCACAACUUUUUUUGGCCCGGGCCUGGCCCGGCCCGAAUAUAAUAAAUAUUUUAUUAUUUUUUUAAUUUUAAAAUACUUUAAAAAUACUUUUAUUAAAUUUUUUAAAUUUUAAAAUUUUUUUAAAAUGCUUUUUUAAUUUUUUUAAUUUUAAAAUAUUUUUAAAAUACUUUUUUUAAUUUUUAUUUUAAUUUUUAAAAUAAAUUUUUGGUAUUUAUUUAAAAAAUAGGAUAGGCCCGGGCUACAAAAUUUUUUCCUGGGCCCGACCCGAACCCGACCCAUGAGCACCUCUAAUUAGAACAAUGAACCAAUGAUUUAAAUUUCAUCAUAAUCUAACUCUAAAAAUUGUGGAUUUGAGCGCUCCCAAAUUUUCCUUCGCUUUCUCUCUCUCUCUGUUCUUCAACAUCGUGUUUAGAUCCGUCCCUCCCAGCCUUGAAAGAUUCCGUCUUUGACCCUUCUUCGUUGAAUCUAUCAAACAAAUUAGGGUUCCGAUCUGUUACCUGUUGUGUUCGUUUAAAAUUUUUUUUUCUUUGCCUCAAAAUUUCAUCUUCAGAAAGAGAGAGAGAGAGAGAGAGUUUUCGAUUUUCCUUGAUUUUGCUUGAGAUUUAUGUUCUAAUCUGAAAUUCAUUACCUUAAUGAUUUGCUAUAUCGGUUCGAUCUCCAUUACGAUUGCUUGCUUUUUGUAUCGGAUUUGGGGUUAAAUCCAAGCUUGCGUGUUUUUACAUUAAAUCAGUAACCAUCGGCUCAAACUCUACCCCUCUUUCUAUCUGGAAAAUUUUUACAUUAAAACAAACGGAGUUUGAAAGUUAAAAAUUGACAUUCCAUUGAGUUUAAGUUUGAAAGUUUGGCUCAACUCACCGAUUACAGCCGCUUACAUGAAGUAGAAGCCCUUAUUACAUCAAUACAUCUGUGUGUGUGUUUUUUUCCGCUUCCUCUUCUUUCUUUUGGCCUUUUUUUUCCUCUAAAAGCCGCACCUACAGCUUACUCCGUUCCCUGACAUUUGCCCUUAAAAUUACACUGAAAAUGCCCACAUGUUCCCCAAACUUCAUAUAUUACUCAAGUUUCGAUUCCUUGUCUCCGCAUCGAACCGCCACUUUACACAGUCAAACUCUGUGUUACGAAUUACCGCCUGCGCCACCUAUUGGACGAUAUGCCCAAACCAAGUUGAAAGCCCGAAUGAAGAAGCUAUAGAGCAUCCGAGAGUCUCCAUCGAUAUUUUCAACCAAUGGGGUUGCUGUGAAAACGAUUUGUUGAAGAUCUUUUCACGCCAACCUUCUUUGCGCAACGCUCAAGCUACUCCCCUUUUAUCCAAACUCAACUUGCUGAGUAGCUUGGGACUCACCGGUUCCGACAUUGUCAAGAUGGUCAAUUGUCGUCCUCGUUUCUUUUGUUCUCGUAUCAAUAAUUGCUUCGACGAGCGGAUUGAGUUCCUCGUUAACCUGUUCGGGUCGCGAGAAAUGCUUCGUAAAGCACUUGUUAGGAACCCUUCCCCCUUGACCUAUGAUUUUCACAAUGCCAUGAAACCAGUCAUUGCAUUGUACGAAGAGAUUGGCAUUAGAGGAAAUGAUUUGAUUGCUAUGCUCAUCUCACGUCCCACAUUGAUCCCAAGGACUUCUUUCAAUGAGGAGAAGAUGGAAUACAUAAAGAAAACAGGGGUUUCAAAAGGUUCCAAAAUGUACAAGUACAUAGUUUCACUCAUCGGAAUAUCGCGGAUCGAGACUAUACGUGAAAAGGUGACUAACUUGGAGAAAUUCGGAUGUUCAGAGGAAGAGAUUUGGAGUUUGUUGGGACGUUAUCCUCUUAUUUUGACACUUAUUUUGAAACUCUCGGUUGAUAAGGUUCAAAGGAACAUGACCUUUGUUUUGGGAACCAUGAAGCUGUCUCCAAGAGUGGUGCUUGAGCACCCCUUUUCUUGUUGUUCAGCAACCUCGAAGCCGUAUCGAAACCGCGGAUAUCGUUGGCUAGGAAACUAAAGGAAAUGGAGCUUGAUCCGCAGAUUAAAGGACCGAUCAUGUUGGCGGCAUUGAGGAUGACGGAAAAUCGAUUCUUGAAUGUGUUUAUUAAAUGCCAUCCGCAAGAUGUAGCAAAUGAACUGUUGGAGUUCUAUAAACAUGCCAAAGGUCUCAAGCCAUUGGCCGAAUCAUCGAAAAAAAUACUGCGUAAAGGAUUUCCAUUUUGAACAUUUUCGUUUGUUUGUUUGGUGCUGUCUUCGUUUUCUUUUUGUUCAUUCAUGCCAAGGGAUAUUUCGAUUAAAUUUUCAGAUUUAUAACUUUUAUUCUCAAAGGGAUAAUGUGAGACUCAAAAUUUUGGGAUAUAAAAAGGGAUGCCUCUUCGUGUUUCAUUGGUGUUCUCUCUCUGCUUAUAUUCCUUUUACUCCCCGUGAUGAAGAGUUGAAAUUUUUUCUAUGUAUGAUGGCUGGAGGGAAUAUAGAUUAUGGAACUCCACCAUUAUUAACUUUGUAGGCUCAAUUGGCACCAUUGUUGUGGUGCAACUAGAAAUAUGUGGGUUAAAACGUGUUUAAAGGCGUAUUUUCUUUUUAUUUAAGAGUUUAAAGGAGAUUAUAAUUUGUGAACAGUAAUUUUUUAAGGUAAAUCUUAUUCUAUAUAUUUUGACCGAUGAUUAUUUUUAUCCUUAAUAUAAAUUUGUGUUAAUUUUGGUUUGGAUGAUGUUUAUUAUUAUUUUUAAUUACUUUUCAAUGCGGAUAAAAUCUUGCACCAAUUAAAAUUCAUAUAUUAUUAUUAAAAAAGAUAAAUAAACAAAUUAAAUCUUUUUAAACUUCUUAUUUAUUUUCAAAGUUUAUUAAAUAGUAUUAUUUUAUUUUAUAUAAUUAAUGUAAAGUAAUAUAUGGGGCAAAAUAAUAUAAAGCUAAAAUGAAGUGAAAUGUUUCAAACCUCAUACAAUAUUUGAACUUGUUAUCGUACCAAUAUCCAAUGAUUUACUUGACUCAUCAUUAGAGUUCUCACAUGAUGUUUCAAGAGGAAGUUGAUGGAAUGGCUUAGGAGGCAACUCAGGGAGUUCAACAUCAGAUUCAAGCAUCUUCAAGACUUUACUCAUUGAAGGAUGAUUAGAAGGCAAUAAUUGUAUACACCAAAAGGCAGUUAUUCAUCUUCUUCACCAUUACUUUUUCAUCGUCAGAAACAUCUCCUAGCUCUAUGUCCUCUCCUUGAUUUAAUCGGUCAUAAAUCCAAGAUGGAAAAUAGAUCUGACUAGUGUGGUCAGCAAAUGCAUUCACAUUCUUUCUCCUUCCUACCAUUUCCAUCAGUAACAUUGCAAAACUAUAACCAAUUCAGGAGCAAUAUAUCUUAUCGUUCCUCGUGCCGCAGUGAGAGAGACAAUGCUAUCAUCUACUGAAUACAAUUUAGCAAGACCAAAAUCGGAAACUUUUGGAUUAAAAUUCUCAUCAAGAAGAAUAUUGUGUGGCUUGAUAUCAAAAUGUAGAAUUUGCAUGUCACAUCCUUGAUGCAAGUAGUGAAUUCCUUGAGCCACCCCAAGCACAAUAUCAAACAUUUUUUUCCAGCCCAAAGUGUUCUUAUUUUCUUCUGUAAAUAUGAGUUUAUCUAAAGAUCCAUUAGACAUGAAGUCAUAUACCAGAGCUUGCUUUGAUCCCUCCACACAAAAUCCAAUAAGUUUUGCCACAUUGGCAUGAUGAAUUCUACCAAUAGAAGCAACUUCAUUUAUGAAAUCUUGGCCAUUACCUUUUGACUUACCCAACAAUUUUAUUGUCACAUGAUGCCCGCUACGAAGCUUUCCUUUAAACACUGA
rnacentral:lncRNA from 1 species